UCCAUAAUCUUCCUCAGUAAGAUUAUAUGUCCAUUUCAACUUUCUAAAGAAUCUUUUGGCUUUUUCUUUCAUGAUUUACGUAACAUAAUCAUGUUCAUAACUUUAAAUUGUUUGUAUUAGUACAACGCAUCAAGAGUCUUUUUGUAUUAGUACAACGCAUCAAAAGUCUUAUCCCAUGUCCAAAUUUGAAGCCUUUCAUUAUAGUUUAAAACGCGUCUUGAUUUUUUUUUUUGGAUAACAAAACACGUCUUGGUUCCUUCUAUUGUCAGUUAGUUUUGAAUUAGAUGCUUUAAUGCUGCUUCACUUGUUUAACAUAAUUGACACGUGAGCGGACGAGCUGAGUGUAUAAGUAAUAAUUGCGUAUGUAUUAUUAAGUAUAAUCAAAGUAGGUAAAAGAAGCUUUGAACCAAUUUGAAAAAUGGAAGAAUACAACAGAAAAAGGUUAUCGGUCAUUACCAUGAUCGUGUUACACGUCAUGAUAUAAAACUUGUUAAAUAAGAAACGAUCAUGUACAACUAACAAGUGCUUUCACAAACCAUUCAUUCAUGCGUCUCUUAUAAUUUAGAUGGUUUGAUGAUAAUAUUCGUUAACCAAAAUUAACAUGAAGAGCAAAGCCACUUGUUUCUGCAUACCUACAGGCCGCAAACACAAAGAUCAUCAAGAGAAACUGCAGGAUGAUCGGUCGUCUCAUUCCAGCUCUCGUCGAAGCCGCAAGAGUAGAGGACAUCAUGAUGGUGCAACGGCUCCUGGUGGUGGUCAGGUUGAUGGAGGCACCACCACUGCCUCCGCAGCCGCAAGCAGUGAUGUUGGUAGCGCAGCUGUUGUAGUGAUGACUGCUGCCCACCUGUCUAUUAUGGAUGGCGGUGACAGUGGUAGUGGUCAUGGUGGUGGUGAUGGCGGUGGUGGCGACGGUGGUUGAUGACAUUGUAGAGUUGGUGCUUUCUUUGUGCACUUUUGUUCAAUUAUUGCCUACAAUUGCAUCACUAUUUAAAUUUUUUUUUUAUUUGUUUGAAAGGAAUUUGGGAGGUAUCCUUUUGUGUUUAUUGUACUAGGAUUGUUUACUGCGUGCGAUUGUGAAGUUUUGCAUUUGAAUCAUGCAUGGUGCCUUCGGUAGCAAAUUAAUCUGUCUCAAAAGCUUUGUUAGGCUGAUCUUCAAACCAUCAGUUAUUGGUUGCAAUUAUCGAAGUCUGACGCAGUGUGACAUAGAGAAGAUCAAUCAAUGUUAAUUUUAAAAAACGAGAAAUUUGGGAUCCACCACAAAGAAAGAAAAAACCUCAAAAUUUAUUGAUUCAUAAUUGAUAAGAUAACAAACCUAAAGCCAAAGAAUCUUAUAUACAGUGUAUCUUAACCUAGAAGCCCUUGGAGUCGAUGGUUUUUUUUUUUAAACAAACAAUAUAUCUACACGAAAGGAGAGAGAUAGUCUCACAAUGUGUUAGCAAUUAUGUUAUUCAAAUUUGUUUUUAACGAGAAUCAAAUCUAAGACAUCUCACUCACAAGUAAAGAGAAAUAUCACUAGACCGUAGUACUAAGUGGCAAGUCUAUGAUUAGAAUCAAACAAUUAACAAAAUAAUGACGUCCAUAAAACUUAGAACCCUAAUAAAACACUAAAAACGAUAAAAUUUGACUACAAAGCCCAUAUAUCACAGCAAAACAGUGUGCUUAAUGCGCGUCGUCAUCACUUCAACAACAUAUCAUGUCCCAAAUUUGACACCAAAGCAAUGUGUUUGUUGCCCAAUUUGCGCCUUUCAACUUGAUCCUCAAUCCAAUCCGCCAUAUGAUCUACAUCAAAGCUAGAUUGCACUAUUAUACUAUUUUGAUCACAUCUGAUGGUUAAGAUAUGAACAUGUAUUUGCACUUUAAAAAGGCCUCCCAGAAGAAAUAAAACCAAGCUCACCAGCCCAAAACAAACACUAACAGUAAAGGCCCAACAAAACUCAAUCCACCAGCGACCAGCAACACAUACAUAAACCCAACCAAAACGCUUUUGCCUUCAUCUCUCUAACUCGGCACCACACACUCUCUCUUAAAGCCCUAAUCUUUAACCCUAAAAAAUCCCCAAAUCUCAUCAUCUCCUUCUCCCCGCACGUACAGCGAUGGCUCUAGUGAGACCCGGAUCCGGAAACCAACCCCCAAAGCUCCGAUGGGGAGAGCUCGAGGAGGACGACGGUGAAGACCUCGACUUUCUCCUGCCGCCGAGGCAAGUGAUUGGGCCCGACGAGGACGGGAUCAAGAGGGUGAUCGAAUACAAGUUCAACGAGAAUGGAAAUAAGGUCAAGAUGACGACCAUUACCCGGGUUCGGAGACUCGCCCAGGCCCGGCUCAGUAAGCGGGCCGUGGAGCGCCGCUCCUGGCCCAAGUUCGGGGACGCCGUGCACGAGGACGUCGGUGCUAGGCUCACCGUGGUCUCCACCGAAGAGAUCUUCCUCGAGCGCCCCAGGGCUCCUGGUAAGCUUUUGAAUUCUUCUUUUCGGGGUUUCGGUAUUAGGGUUUUUAAUUUCGGAUUUUGAGGAAGAUUAUAUGGAAUUUGUGUGAAAAACUACAUUUGGCUAAUUUGGAAUAUUUCCCAUGAGAUUUUGAUCAUAUAUUCCUCUGUUAGUAUUUGCGAUAGACAUCUAUUAAUCCUUUAGAUUAAAUUUUGUCUAAAUAAAUUUUUGCAAUUGGAAUAAAUGAAGCUAAAAUUGAAUUGUAUUUGUUUUAUUUUGUUGUUUGGAGGAAGGAGAGUGGAAUUUUAAAUGGUCGAUACGAAUAACCUAACCAUUACUCCCUUGCUUUUAUCUUGUUUAAUGGAAAUGUCUGUUUGAGGCAAUUGCUAUGUCUGAAUGAACAAUGCUGGCUUGGUGCAUGAGUCGGUAGACUGUCUAGCUGACCAUCGGGAUUGGUUUAAAUCUUAUAACUUCGUACGGACACGUUUGCAUGUCUAGUUAUACGAUGUAGAUUUCUAACCUGAGAUUGUGAGUAUGUUUAGUUUAAAUCUUAUAACGUCAUCUGGUUCCAUGCUCGAAUCCCCUAAUUAGGUUUGUGGAGAGGUUAAAGGUUGUUUUAGUCAAGAGGCCUACUGUUAUUAUGGUUACUUUCUCGGAUAUGAUAUAGUUCAAAUUUGUUGGAUCAGUUUGAUUUUUGAAGUUACCUUCACUGGCCAUGUGAUUUUGUUUUGUGGAUGAUGCAUUGUUGACAUGGGGGAAAAUAGAGGAACUAUUUGUUGAUGCCCUCAUAUAUCGCAUUGCAUCUGCGGCUUCUCUGUUAUGUCUUUUGUCAGAGAUUUGUUUGAUUUUCUCUUGAUAUAGAAUAGAUUUAUUUGCUAUCAGUCGAUGCCAAUUGGUCAUGGUAACUGGUAUGUUGGGUUUUCUGAUUAUUAUUUUCUGUAUAUGACUGAACAGGUAGCAAAGCAGAAGAACCAAAGGCUGGAGGAGACCCUCUGUCUCAACUCACAAAAGGAGGGGCUGCUCUCAAACUAUGUAGGACUUGUGGUAAGAAGGGUGAUCACUGGACUUCACAUUGCCCGUAUAAGGAUCUCGCCCCACCAAAUGAAGGAUUUAGUGAUAAACCUCCUACAUCAGAAGUAGUGCCUGGAACUCCUAGCACAGGUAAGUAUGUUCCUCCAGUCCAGAGAGGAGGUGGAGACAGAGUUGGAAGUGAUAUGAGACGAAGGAAUGAUGAGAACUCUGUUCGUGUCACCAACCUUUCAGAGGACACUCGUGAGCCUGACUUGCUUGAACUUUUCCGGCCUUUUGGUGCUGUUAGCCGUGUUUACGUUGCUUUGGAUAAGAAUACUUCCGUUAGCAGAGGAUUUGGUUUCGUCAACUUUGUGAACAGGGAAGAUGCCCAGAGAGCAAUCAACAAACUGAACGGGUACGGUUAUGACAAUCUCAUCCUCAGGGUUGAAUGGGCUACACCGAGGACAAAUUAGAGCUUCCCCCACCCCCUCCUUAUCGUUUUCUAUAAAGAUAUUCGCAUUAGGAAUGUUUUGCAGGAUUUUGGUCCUAUAAUGUUCUGUUCAGAUGCUUUGUUUAAACCUAUGUUCAGGAUUUUGGUGCUCUUGCUUGUAAGAGUACUAAAUGAGAAAUUAAUGUUAGUUGUUUUCAGCUUAAAAAUUGGUAUGCCUGAAAAUUUUGAUUGUCCUUGAAACAUUUUGGAGAUGUGCCUGGAGAUCGUAGGUUUACGCUGCAACGAAAACCGUUGCUUCUGCUGAAUAAACUCGAGGGUUCGAGUUUCGUACACAAUUCUUGCAUUAGUGAACAAACAUUCCAUGUAAAAAAAGGAGAAUACAAGAAACUCAAUAGCAUAUCAUUAUUUUUUCACAAUAGGCUCCUGCUAUCAACAUUUUUCUUAGUUAUUCUGUAAGCACCAGGUGCCGAUUUCUUGUUAGGAUAGGAUUGUACUGGAGGAAGAAGCGCAAACAGGGAACUGGAUCCCAGAAGAGGCAAUGGGUCGGAAGCUCGGGGGAGGACUCAUGGCCGAGGUAGAAGACAAGAGACAUUCAGACAGACGGAGUUGGAUUUCCGCUCGAUCGGAGCUUGCAGAAUCUGCCGGAAUUGUUAUGUAUGGCACGACAGGCAAUUUGCUGUACCAGGAACCUUCCAUGGUCAGUUGCCCACCGGCCUUAUACCGAAGUAUCGCCCUGUAAACGAAGGGUAUGAGGCCCUCCAUCCGAAAAGCGUAUGAGAGCCGGAGAGGUGAACUUUUCUUCUGUGGGGGAAAGACUUGGGAGUGGUUAUAAGCAAGAGGAGGGAUGGAUUAUGGAUAGAGUGUCCGGUAGAAUGUCAUUUUCUUCACGCCUAAAAGUGACCCAGUGAGGUAAAAUGAAAGCUCAUCUCGCCCACUGUUGGAAUUUGGUGCAUUGGUGGAUAUUCUUUCCACUUCCAAUCACUGUUUUCAUGAGACUUAAAACUUAGAACCUCUUUUUUUUUUUUUUUUUGACAAGAAACGAUAACGGUAUUUUAUUGAUCAUCACAAACAAAUACAAAGGUGUCAAUUUGAUACAUUGUUUCAUUGAUCAACACAUUGAUCUGAAAUGAAUUUGCACAAACAAGCGAUUAAUUAAAAGGAGGCAGAUUGUCUGCCCUCCUGUUUGGGGCCCUUCUCAUCCCCUCCUAUUUUGUGCGGUCACUGUUAAGCCACGUCAAAAUAAGAGGGGAUGAUAAGGGCACCAAAAGAGAAUGGCAGACAAUUUGUCUCCUAAUUAAAAACCCCUAAAACAACUACCACAAAUAGGGCUGGACACGAAUCGAGACGGGAUGGGUCCACCAAAUUUUAACACAGGAACCGGACAUAACCCGACCGUUCCUUUUUUUUUUUCUUUCUGUUCUCUCCUUCUUUAUAUCUCCCGACGAGCUCGUUGGAAUGGCGUGAUCUACUACCACAUGCCACCAAAUCUACGACGAGAUCGACAUCCUCCGACGACGGCGACAAAGUCAACAUCACCGACGACACCAUGGGACCUGGAAAAGCUUCGCAGCCAUGAGACCUGGAAAAGAGGGGUUGGUCUUCGACGAAGUAAUCAACAGCGUUAACGACGCCGACUCCUCACUCCCUCUCCCACUCAAACUCGUCCACCGUUUGGUUUUGGAACUCGUCCUGGAUGCUGUCUAGCUCUUAUCUGCAAUCUGAAUCAUUGUAAAUCCCUAAUUGCGCGAAGAUUCCAGAGAGCUUCAAAUGGUCGGGGACGAUUUCGCUCCUGAGGCUGUCAAGCAUGGAGCAAACCUCGCGGCGGAGGGCGUCGUCUCUCGGAUCGACGAGCAAUUUUGUGGUGCUGCGGGAGCACUGGGUGCGGAGGAGGGAGAUGGCCUACUCGACAUCGUUGUUUAAUUGGAGCUCCUUGACGGGGAGGUUGUCAAGCAAGGUGGAGAGGUCGAGGGUGAGCUUAGGGAAAAUGUUGGCGAGGGAUUCUGUCGAGGAGCCACAUCCGACUCCCAUUUGAAAAGUCCUCGAUGAAGGUCUGGAUCCUCUGGAGUAGGAUGUAGAGCUCAUGAAAGCAGAGGAGGGCGGAGAGGGAGAAGAUGGUGGUGGAGCUCCUGAUGAUGUCUUCGAAGAUCAAUUUGGGGGUGGAAAUCGGUUCGGGCUGGGGCCCCGUUUCUUCCAGGAGUUGGACCCGUCCCGCCAGCCCCGUGUUGAAUUUUAAAAUUUUGGACCCGCCCUGAACUGCUUAGACCCAUCCCGAUCAGCGGGUUCAGGACCCGUUUGCCCACCCCUAACCACAAGCACAGGUGCACUAGUACAAAUUUGUCACAAGACCGAUAGAUGUAACAAAACCUAUACCAGUGCACACACCGAUCUUCGCUAAUGAACCAGGCCACACAACAUCAUCGCUAGAGGAUGAGACCAUAUAGAGUUACCUCUGAAAGAUGAGACCAUAGAAUUAUCGCUCAAAGACAAGACUACAUCAUCGGCCAAUCGCUGAACAAACUCAAAUUUCUUCAGCAAAGACUAAAUAUUGGUAAAGCACGGACAAAAACAGGAGACUCUUCUGUAUUUCUGUACGCAAAGACAUUUAUUUCUUUGUAGCUUAAUCCACAUGCAGAGUUGCUGUCUCACUAUAUUAGUAGUUAGCAUUAUAGUUUAUGAAUUGUCCAACAGUGAACUGUGAAUGAUGGGGACAUGGGACUAUUAUAUUAUCAAUAUCUAUUAGAUAUAUAUGCUCUGUGAAAUUAGGUUUAAAAUUUUCAGAAUCUUUGUUUGAUACCGUGUCCUCCUGCCUUUUUAACAAGAGAUUUUUCAGUGUGCUUUAGGGUCGUUCGAGUUAUUGGAUUCUCAUCAAUGUUUGAAUUACUCAAGUAGACAUUCUCGCUUCUACUUCGUCCACUGUCGCUUGCACAGUUGCUUUCCUAAAAAAAAUGAUCUAAUACAUAAAGUGAAAUAAUACAAUUGGUUGGAAACUUAAAAAAUAGAUAUACAUCUUUUCUUAAAACAGGUCAUUAUGCAAAAUGUGGACCUAUAAUCUAAAGUUUCAAUUUCUUCAGGGCGGUACUAUCCACAUACUUCUUUUUACCUUCUCGUCGGGUGGAAUGAAUUGAAAAUAAUCAAAUGAUACAAAUUAAUAAGAAAUGGUGAGAAAUGUAAAAAUAAGUGUGUGGAUACCAUCACCUUAGCACCCUCCCUUUAUUCUUGUUUUAGUGAAAAGUUCAAUUUCUCUUGUCAAUUAUUCAUGUAUUUUAUACAGAUGACUUAACCAGUUCAUAAACAUAUUUUUCUUUCACAAAUUAUAAAAUUCGAAUAAAUAUUUUUUGGCAUCGACAAGUAGUAGGAAAUUCGAACGUAAAUACUUUUUUAAUAUCUGUACUGAUGAACUACUAUACGUUUGUUGAACUUAAAAUCUUAGAGAGUCAAUUUCAGUCACUGUGUCGAUUAACCCCUAGACGUUUAAAAAUUAAGAAUGAACUGCUAGACUUGUUUAGGCGCCUGCCUAGACCUGCCUAGGCACCCACUUAGAUCUUGACUCUCACUUAGACAAAAAAUACAUCACUAUCAUUUUGCAUUUUUUAUAUAAAUUAUAAGAGACUUGUUGAAUACUUGGAUAAACACUUAUCAUAUUAUGUUUCCCCAUGUUUUUAUUAUGUUUAAUACUUUGUAAUUUAUAUAUCAUUCUAUUUUAAUUUAUGUAUUCUAAUACAAUUUUAUUUUUAUAUGAUAUAUAAUAAGUUUACUUAAAUCUGCCUAGGCGCUAAGCCUCAGUUCGCCACCCAAUUAGUGCCUAGUAUCUUUUAGAAUCUUGAUUUCAACACACAUUUGUUCUCCACAUUCACACGCUAUACUUAUUUCUGAUGGUUAGAUCGAAUAAAAUAUAUAAAAAUACACCAGCGAAUAAGAUAAAUUAGCAAAAAAUUUUAUACAAUAAAAAUUAAAUUUGAUUAUUUUCUAAGAUUUAGAAAGAAAAAAAAAUACCACUAAAUCAAAAGCAAGUUAAUUUAAGUUGAUUGACUAAGAGAUAAGUGGCAGAAUUAUAUGAAACUAGCCUUUCUGCAUGCGCUCACGCGCGUGCGAAAGACAUUUUUUUUAAUCACGGCGCGCUACGCGCAACUUGCGCAUUUUAGAUGUAUUUAUAUGCAAAAAUUGGUUCAAUAUAUAGAAACAUAAAAUAAAGGCGAUUAUAACCUCUAAUAAUACAUGCAGGAAUUUAAAGUAUUUUAUCUAGAAUAUGUAAAAAAAAAAAAAGUAAUAAAUAACAUAGAAGAUCCUUAUAAUGUAGUUGCAAUUAAAAGCUAAAUAAAAAGUAUAAAAACAAUCCAAGAACUUAAAUUGACCUUGAUACACUUGACAGCAAAACAUAUCAUAAACUCAUAUCGUUCUGUCAUGUUGAAAAUUUAAUGCUUUUGGUUAAAAUCAAAUAUUAGCAUUAUUUGUAAUUGAAUUGCAUUAAAAGUUGAAAAAGGGAAUUAAACAUUAAAAGAAAGAAUAUAACAUUAUGUUGAGGGAAGCAAAAUAUCUUUGUACACAACAUUUCUUGUGAAGACUCCUUCAUGAUCGUGUAAUUCUCAUUUCUUUACCAAAACUUUUGUUGUAGACGCUGAAACUCCUCUUGAUAAAGCCACGUACAAUUGUCUAUGACUGAAUACGUGAUUUGGUAGCUAAAUACCCAUAUUUGGUAUUGUCUGCCCUUGUGAUUUAUUUAUGGUCAGUGCAAAACUCAAUUUCACUAAAAACAGUUUUCUCAUCAUUUCAAAUGGGAGUCCUGCGCUUUAUGUGGUCUUUAAAAUAUGAACAUGUAACACAAUAUGAACAGGUAUACAACUCUAAAAUAUGAAGACAUUAAUUCCUGUUCAAAUCACUGACGGCAGCUGCGAUUCACAAAGGAGAACAUCUUAAAUAAUCUGUCAUCCUUUUCGACUAAGGAAUUUUUCAAAACUUCGACUUUGUAUUCCCAAUCUUUAUUUACAAAUCUGCAAAGAACAAAGAAAAUGGGUAUUGCUGAAUGAACUGCAGUUAGAAUGAAAGAUUUUGGAUGCCAAUAUGAGAGUUAAAAGAUUUUGGAGUGAGAAAAAAAAAUGGAAUUGUAAACUACUUUGCGAAGAGAAAGAGGGUUUCUUUCCUAUUUAAAAUUUGGUGAUGCAGGAGGUGGAAGUGGGUAUGACUCAUGUACUUGUGGAACGGAUGCUGACAUCAGCUAUUUGUGGGAAAUGUUUUUGCUUCACAACAAACUGAUUCAAUUCUAGCUUUAUAAUCUCCGGCAAUUUUUCAAUUAAUAGUUAAGCAUGGUGUAGGUUUUGAAUUUAAUUGGUGAUGGGUAAAAUGGAAAAUGAAGACAUCAAUACGGUGAAUUUGAAUCACUGGCGAGACAUCUCCAAUUUCAGAACGAAAAUUUUCACAAUUUGCAGUUUAAUAAACACUUAUUAUCCAAGACUUGAAAGUAAAUGAACCAAAAAAUUAAAAGAUAAAGCAAUUAAACGUAAAGCAAGUAAAUGCUUGCAAAAAUUAAAAGAUUAGGCAAUUAAAUGGAGAAUUACCCUUGGAACUGAAAAAUUACUACAAAAGGUUUGAAAGUUACACAGUUAGAUACUAAAAAGGAGAGAGAUGAGAUGGACUGGGAAGGCAAAAUUAAGAUCGGCAAUGGUUAACAACCUACUCCCUUUAAUCUUUGCACUGUAUUCCUUGUUGGAUUGUUCCAACAUUGGGCAAGGCAGGGGGCACUGGUUCUGCCAUAAUCGCAACUACACAAUCCUAUCCAUCAGAGCGGUUUGAUAAUGCUUCCAUGGUUCUCAUGCUCCACGAUUUUUUCAUUCAAUCGUAUCCAUCAGAUCAAGAUUCCCAACUACACAAUCUGUUCAACCAAAAUUUAAUCAAAAUCUACUCAUCUCUAUUAAUCCCAAAACAAACAAAAGCAAAUAAAAGGUUAGAUUUUGUUUGCAUAUAAAAUUAAAAGUACCAGCAUUAAACAUCCAUGUUACGAAGUCAAGAAGGGGACUGAGUCAUACCAUCGACAAACACGAUCAUCCACAGAAUAGAUUAUUGACCCGUUGAAAUGUAUUUUUCGGUGGUUUGGCAGCAAUAGUAGUUAAACAGAAUGACAAAUUCAUGAUAGAAGCCAGUAAAUGAACAAAUCAAACCAAAUAAAAUAUAUCAAAGAAAUAGAACAACUUAUAGCAAAUAUGUUGUUUGAAUUCUUCUGAAGACUGGCUUCUCCUUCACCUUCACAUACUCGAAAACAAAACCUAUCUAAUAAUCCAACCACAAAAAUGCAUAUAUACUGAUUUAUAUACAUUCACAAACGAAUAUGUACACCGAUUAGGGUUUGCAUAACCCCUAGAAGAGAAAAUGGAAGCUUACACCCCGAUUAAUUUCCUUUGAACACCUGGAGAGAGGAAUCACUGCAAAUUCCGCCGUAUUCAGAAUUGCACACUUUCAUUCACAAAUCGCAAAGCAAGAAACCGAAAAAACUGAAAGAAAAAGAAUCGAGGACACGAACGUUGGUUUCUACCUCCUUUUAUCCCACGUUGGAGUGUGGCAAUCUCCAAAAUCGAGCAUCAACUCUUAGUAUCAGUUGCAAAACUGAAAAUUUUGAAUUUGUAUAUGGGAGUGCAUAUAAAAUACCGGAGUGGAAAGCCUAUCAAUCAUAAAGCGACAAAUUGUAGAAACAUAAAAGAAAGCAAAUAAAAGAUCACCAACAUCUUACAUGGAACUUGGAAGCAUCAAUGGGUGGACUUCUUCUUAUCUGCAUAAUUUUCGUAAAAAAAUAACAAUGAGAAUAGCAAAUCAACCAUGAAUGCUUGGCGUUGGAUUCAUGGAAGCAAAAUUGAGAACGUAAACGAAAUCAUUUAAACUGAAACGAAAUUAAACAAUGCCAGUACUCCAUGCAUGUGUUUUCAAUUCCUCUAUCCUGUUCUUGGAUUGCUGUGUGGACCAUGAUUGGGAGAGGUGGGGUAUCAUUCGCUCUUGAUAAAUUGAGUUGGAAAAGAACCCCAAUUGAUGGAAAAAUUUGUAGAACGUGGAGGGUUAAUUUUUUGACUUUGAAUCCCACUUUCGGCAGUUAUAUCUCUUUUCUGCAAAACUUUUUCUGUUUACAGCUUAACCUACUGGCUUUAAUCCAAUUUUUUAUGAUAAAAUUACCCUUGCGAAUUUGUCUAAAAUUUUUUGAUGAAGCCUUGAGACACUAAACUCUUAUUCUAGUUUUCUAAUAUUAAAGAUUUGGAGACGCUGCCUUACCCCCACUAAUUACUGCAAGCCAAGUGAUUCUUUCCCAAAUAAAAAUCAACUCCUCAAUGGGUAAAAUAUAUAUAUAUAUAUAUAUAUAUUUUUUUUUUUUUUUUAACAAUCAAUAUUAUCUACAUUAAGGGGAGGUGAUGAGUUUAUCCUCACAAUGAACUAGCAAUAAUAUGGUUCAAAUUUGCCUUUAACGAGAAUCGAACAUAAAACCUCUUACUUACAAUUGAAGAAAAGUACUACUAUUAGACCGUGAUACUAAGGGCUAGUUUGGUAUUGCUGUGCUUUGAAAAAAAGCUGCUGUGAGAAUAAAUGGAUGUGCUAUGAGAAUAAGCAACUGUGAAAUAAAACAGCAGAAUGUUUGGUAAACUUUUUUGUAAAAGUGCUUUUGGAAAAAAAAUCAGUCUGAUAGUGGGUCUUUUCAUUAAAAGAGCAUUGUAGCUCCGUGUGCUUUGAAAAAAAGCCAGUUUUCCAAAGUUGCAAAUAGCAGCUUCAACUUUUUCCUUUGAUUUCAGCUUAUUCUCACAGCAGCUUUCAAAAUAAGCUCUUUUUUUUUUAGUUUACCAAACAUCUAAAAUCCUCACAGUUUUUUUUCAUGGGUGCUUUUUUUUUUAAGUAUCUCACCCCAAACCACCCCUAAGUUGCCUCAAUGAGUAAAUAUUAAAAAUUCAAAUUUUCAUAUGCAAAGGGAUGCAAAGAGGUUAAAUUGGGUAAACCACAGAAAGAAUCAGAGGAGGAGCAAAACUCCAAAGUGGCAGAUAGACGUUGUUUUCCAAAAAAAAAAAAAAAAAAAAAAAGAAGAGGUGGCAGAUAGACGUGCGCACUCUGAACUCCGCUCGUCAGCUCCGCUAAGGUUAUCGUAUAUAAAUCCAACGGGGCCCAAAUAUACAAAGACCUCUCCAGAUUCCUAUUUGCGAGAGACAGUCUGUCUCAUCUCGCCUCGUGGGCUGCUUCUUGUAACUCUCCUUCUUCUUCUUCCUCCGCAUUUUCUUGGGUUCUCAGAUAUCUGCUUCUUCUGCCCCCCAGAAGCUGCUUUUCCAUGGCUUCCAUUGUUGAAUCUGGCUGGAGGGUACUUUUUUUAACAACCCCUUUGGUUUUAUAGCUCAAAGAUUUCACUUGGGGUUUAUUUAUUUAUUUGUUUUUUGGACCAAGGUUUGAUCUUUUUGUUGGGCAUUGGUUGCUUUUGAAUUGGAAUUGCUGUGUUUGUUUUUACCCGUGUGUGUGAAUUUGGUGAUAAUGCUGGCAUGUGGAUUAUGAUUGGUGUGAUGGGUUUUUUAUUUUUUUUUUGUGUGUGUGUGUGUGUGGUGGGAUUGGUGUAAUGAUUUGAUCUGUAUGGUGCAUUUGAGUAUUGUGGUUAUUGAAUUUAGUAAUGAGAUCGCUGGGUUGUUAUUUUUUGGAUUUCUUUUGAGGAAUAUGGAUUAGGGAUGGUGGGGCAGCAUUAGGUGUUGAAAGUUGAUUUUUGGUGAGGAUUUUGGAGAUAUUUUAUUAAGAAUAUGUUUCUUCGCAAAGAAGCGGGUUGGUGUAAUUUAUGGUCAAACAUUGUGAUCAUAUAUUUGAAGCAAUGUAAUUAGAUUCAAGUGUUAUUAUCUGUUUGUGGGAUAACGCAAUCAUUUGAUGCGCCUAGUGCAUUUAAUUGUCGUUACUGUUUUCAGGGUGGCGGGGUUAUUUGGUUUUUGGUUCUCUUUCAGUUGUCAAUUUCUGUCCUUUUUCCGUUAUAGUGACAUUAGGGAAGCAUUAGAUGUUCAAGAUUAAUGCUGCGGUGGAUUUGGAGGCACAUUGUUAAAUUGUUAGGAUUAUGUUCCUUCAAACAUAAGUGAGUUUCACGUAGGUUGUGUUCAAACAGUGUUAGCCCAUGAUGCUUGGAUGUGAAGUAAUACAGAUUGAAGUGGAAUUAUUCUAACUUCCUUUUCAUUAGCUAACUAACUACCUGGAGGUAUAUGGACAGAGAACUGAUACAUGGGCAGAGAAUUCAAAUGGAGGCUCUGUUUCUCUAUCUGAUUGAUCUUGUAAUUAGCUGCUAUUGAGAUCUGACUCAGAAAGUUCUGUUAAUCUUUUUUUUUUCCCUUCCUGUGGUUGAUGGUGGUUUUGUUUUGUUUUUUUGUUUAGUUUUGUGGGUGUGUGUGUUUGGGGUGGGGGGGGGGGGGUGGAUUGAGAAAUAAACAUUUUUUUUCAUAGGCGCUGAUACAUUUUAGGUAGACGGUCCUAAAAAAUCAUCCAACCUGUAUGUCAUUCAAGUUCAAACUUCAUUACUUUUUCUAGUAUAUAUUGGGCUACCGAGAACAUGGAUUGGGAACUGAGUCUAGGUUAAUAGCAACACAGUUCUUAGGUAGGUAUCAUUGUACUCUAGAUGCUAAAUGAUAGAAAUUACUUUAAUUCUUUUAACUACCUUUGGUGUUUACUUUUAAACAUAGUUCCUUGGUUGUUUGUUGCUUUUAUUGCCAUGUCUGAAUUUUGGAACUAUUGGCGAGCACAUGAAAACUAUAAGCGUUCCCAAAUGAAAGGAAAAUGUAACUGAUUUCUCUUGGGCAGCUCCUGUGGUCUGCGAUGAUGAAUUUCCUACUUCAUGCACCUAAUGGUCUCUACUGUUAUCUUAUAUUUUCUUACUUUUUUGAGAUUCUUCUAUUUUGACUGUGCAGUAUCUGAUCACAAAUUUCAACGACUUUCAACUGGCAUGUCUAGGAAGUUUCUUUCUCCAUGAAAGUGUUUUCUUCUUAUCUGGACUCCCUUUUAUAUAUCUUGAGAGGGCAGGAUGGCUGAGCAAGUUCAAGAUUCAGGUUCAUCUCUCUUCACUGAGCUCAUAGAUAUGAUUUUUUAGAUGAUGAAGUUUCUUUCCUUUUCUCUAAGAUUCAUCUGGCUAGUGGCGUUUGUAGGACAUGUUUUUCCAGCUCUGUUUAAUAUAGCUUCCUUAAGGAAGUAUUUAGUUUGCAAUUAUUUGGAGAUUGUAGGGACAAAUGUGGUCUGGACUGUAAUUUUAGCUGAAGUCUAAAUGAUUGGGGAUGGUUGGGGUUGCGUGAAGUUAGAAUUGAAGGUGAUGGAACAGCGCAGUUGGGUGGAGUUUAUGUUGUAGGAAGAAGUAUGAGACCAAGGCUUCUUACUGGGCCUUAUUGCGGCUGUCUCAGCUUUUGUCUCUUUGGGGAAGGGCUUAGGGGGCAGGUGAUGCUCUAAAGGUAGCUCCUUAUACAGAGGAUGCAGGUCUUAAGAAAAUAUUGACAUUUUAUAUAUGUGAAUCUGUGAUUAAGAGAAAGGAUUAUGGUUAUUUUUAGUAGGUGUAAGGGGAGGCAUUGUAUAUAUUUUGUUUUAGGCAUUUAGCUUACAGUGGUCUAUGGGUGGGGUGUAAUGGGCUAUCUCUUUCUUUGAUUGGGGUGACUCAGUUUAUAGCUAGUUUGGUGAGUGAGCUAUUAUUGGGUUCAAAUAGUCGAAGUGCCACGAAGCAAAAUAAAAGUUAUGUGUUUUUUGUCUUUGUGGAUGGAGUGGAGGAGCUGAUGUUCUAUAGUGGAGGUAAAGGCACAUAUGUUAAGAAGGGAUGUUUGAAGGAACUAGAUGGGCUAUUGCUACUAAUUUUGCAGAUUCAUAACAGUUUUCCUUCUCUUUAAUGCUUCUUUGUUACCUUCCAUUCAUACAGCUCGUGUACGAAGGUGCUGUCCCCUUGGCGUUUCAGCAAAAUCUUAUCAAAAUAGUGCCAUGACUUGAUUCUAGUUUUGUGCAGACAAAAAAUAACAGCCCUGCAGCUCAGGAGAAAUGUAUUACUCGCCUAGUCCUGUAUCAUCUUUGUGUCAAUCUGCCAGUUAUGAUUGCUUCAUAUCCCGUCUUCAAAUUCAUGGGCAUGCGGAGUAGUCUUCCAUUGCCGUCCUGGUAUUUUCAGGUUCUUUAUAUGCUAGAGCAUAUUUUCUCAGACAUCGUGGAGUUUGAUGCCGUUAUCAUAUGACCCAUUUAGAAUUAACAAAGACCCUAAACUUUUCCGUUUCUGAACAAUUUAGACUUUUAAAAUGCUUAGUUCUGUAAUUCUGCAUUUGAUUUGGCAGGAAAGUUGUUUCCACUCAGAUCAUUUUCUACUUCAUCCUUGAGGAUUUUGUAUUCUAUUGGGGACAUAGGGUUCUGCAUACAAAAUGGCUGUACAAGCAUGUGCAUAGUGUCCAUCAUGAGUAAGUGAGAGUUAUAAGUAACUUACUCGGUGCUAAGAGUUUUGAAUGUUGUCAUUUAUGAGUUGAAUCUUUGCAGGUAUGCUACACCAUUUGGACUGACUUCUGAAUAUGCUCACCCCGCCGAGAUAUUAUUCCUUGGCUUUGCCACCAUUAUUGGUCCUGCCAUUACUGGGCCCCACCUAAUUACUCUGUGGUUAUGGAUGGUACUUAGAGUGCUGGAGACUGUCGAGGCACAUUGCGGUUACCAUUUCCCAUGGAGCCUCUCAAACUUUUUACCUUUGUAUGGAGGGUGAGUGUGCUUUUUUCACCACUUGGCCAUUUUAAGCAAUGUGUAUACAAUGUAUUUUUCUCUGUUUGGUCAUUUGUAGCUGAAAAUGUUUCUGCUUUCAUUGUACAGCGCUGAUUUUCACGACUACCAUCACCGUUUGCUUUACACCAAGUCUGGCAAUUAUUCAUCAACUUUUGUUUACAUGGACAGGUAAAUUUUUAGCAUGUGCUGCUUAGGUAUCUCUGAACUAUUUAGUGAAAAGGAGAUGGAUCAGUUACGAAAGAAUUUCUUUACCUUUUCUUUAACAGCUGAUUGUUCAAUAGUUUAAAUAAGUAUUUUAACAAGGAUAAGUGUUACUAAUCUAACAAGAAACCAAAUUUUGUUCAUUUUAAGAACGUUAUUGUUAUGACUGACGUGCUCUGUUGCGUACUUAUAUUUUGCACUUUCCUAAUAUACCGUCAGGGGUUUGCUUUAAAAAUGUUUUAUAUUACAAGAUGAACUGGCUCUCAACUUCUUUUUCAUUGUUCAUAUUUGUGCGGAUGAUGUUGUUAGCCCAAAGUCUUACCGAACGGUUAAACAUUGAGACCAGUGAUGCUUCCAGACUCUGGCCAUGAAGUAUGACUGGUUUUAACCCAAAUGAUCAGUCAUGUUUUAUAUCACAAAUUAAACCAACAGAUGCCACAAUGCAGCUGAAAGUACGCUAACCAUCUCUUUCUACUAUACUUUUCAGGUUAUUUGGAACUGAUACAGGUUACAGAAAGCUGAAAGCGCUGAAGAAAGCCGGAGUAGAAGAUGACAGCAAGGAAAUGUGAUGUGGGAGCCAGAAUUUUUAUGAACUAACUGGACAUGAGUAAAUCGGUUCUUUGAUUUAUGGGCAGUACUGAAGAUGUUUCUGUGUCUGUCCCCGCCUCAUCCCGUAUUCCACCGCAUUUUUGUGUUUGAUUUCUUUCUGAUUUAGAGCUUAUGUUAGUGUGGAAUCAGUGGAAAUGCUUGAUGGACAUUUGUGCGCUCCUUUUUCUUACAUGAAUGAAGAAGCUGCCCUUCUAUUCUUUCCUCUUCUUUCGGUUCAAUUAGGAGCCUCCAAGAAAUAUGAUUAUUGAAUCAUUCAAUGAUACUCUGGAGUAAUUUUUUUUUGCAACAGACGCAAAUUUUGAUGAAAAGAUUUCCAAUUUCGCGUGUUUAAGAGAACGAGCUAUUGUUUCGCCUAGAAAUUCUACUGUAACAUAAAUACGUAAGAGAUUUAUUAUCAUACAAAGAAUGCACUUAUUUCAGUUUGGAUUCAAUGUGCUCGUCAUCUGGUAAUUUGGAAAACUUUUGUGUAUUAUAUCCUACAGAGCUCCUUAAUACACUUGAAUUCAAUGGUUUGCAUGUACGAAGCUUCACUUUAAAAAUAGGAAUGCCUAUUAUGUUAUUAAGAUAUUUAAAUCAGUCUUCAUGUUUAUAUAAUGGAACUAGAUUGGUUAACCCAAAUGACUAAUAAAGUUAUUGAAGCUAAAAUACUUAUUAGUAGCAACAUUGGUUAUAAAGUAUUUAUACCUAGAAUCGUUCUUUCAACAACAUAACACAAAUGACUUUUUAUUUUUAAAAGACGUCAAUUUUCAAUUAGACCAUGUUAUGUCAUGACAUUAAAUAAAAUUCACAGACAAUAUUUGAAACAAGUUGGAUUAUAUCUUUCCUAACCUAUAUUCACUCUGCAUUAUCAAGAGUUACAAAUAAGGCCACAAAAUAUUACUAGACAAUAAUAAAGAAAUACUAAAUAAAUAUAUGCAUAAUGUUUAAAGAUAUUCUUCAAAAUUUUAUGGCAGGUUGAACUUUAUACAUGCAUUGUUAAAAAUUUCUAUAUAUUUGACAACAAAUUACAUAAUGUUACACAUUUGUUUACUAACAAUAACAUUUAGCACAAUGAACAUAGUUCCAAUCUGCAAUUUGGAUGUCUUUCAAUCUGGCAAAAAAAAAAAAAAAAAAAUUAGAGUUCACGUGGGCAGAAUUUGGAGAUUCAAACAUUUCAACUCGACAAACAGUUCUCUAACUUGCACAUCAUAUUGGUUGAUGCAAUCGUAACCAAAUCAUUCUCUCAUACUAUUUUUAUCUAUUAACUUAAUACCUUUCUUGAUGAGCCAUGCUUUAAAACCCUCACAAUCCAUCCUCAAGUGCUCAGAAUAAUUGCAAUGAAAACAUCUUUUAAAGUGAGGCUUGUUAGGUUUAAGGUCAGAACUAGUGGUGGCAACAUUACCCUUAUUAGGUUUGGUAGAACUGUUUGCAUUCUUCUUGGUUCCAGAAGUUCAACCGGACUUGAAAUUCUUUGUUUUGGCUUCCACUUUUCUGAGUUCUGAAUAUCAGCAACCUUUUUCUUGCCUUUCCCUAUCUAAACGAGAUUCACUCUCACCCCUAUCUGAACGAGAUUCACUCACUUUUUUUACUUCUUCAUCACCUCCUCCUCUUGGCAACAAAUGGAAAUGAGUUCAUUAACACCCCAAGUCUUAUUUUGAGUGUUUUAGCUCACUUGUAACUACUCAUAGCAUUGAGGUUGUUGGCAAGGUUAACCAACUUGAGGAAAUGUAAUCUAACACUUCCAAUGUCAUCAUGCUUGGCAUGGAUGAGUUCUGAUAGGUAGACACCAGUCUCGACGUUAUUUGACCUCUUGCACUUUUCUUCAAUUUUCACCAUAAACUCAUUUGCCAAACCGCAUCUUGGAAUGCCCCCUCUUAUGUGAUCCUCCAUAGCAUUUUGCAUGAUCAAAAGUGACGUUUGAUUUGCUUUAUGCCAUUUGACAAAUUCCUCUCGCUGUUGACUGUUGCUAUCAGUAUUCAGAGCUGAAGGUUGUGGCUGUUUGAAGGUAAUAUGAUACUCCAACAUGCCCAAAUGCAUCCCGAUUUGCUGCUUCCAAGUUUUGAAAUUGUUCUCAUCCAACUUUUCAAUAUUAAUGAGAUUGAGCAGAUGUACAACAUGAUUUGCAAAUCCACAAGUUUGUGAAAAUUAAGAGAAUCAUAGCUACAUUGUCACACUAAAGUUAGGGUGGUGCUAUCUACACACCAAUUUUUACCUCUCACACACCCUUCUCAAUUUCCGGCCGUCGGAUCGAAUGAAUUGAAGAAGAUCAAUAGACAAAAAUUAAACGAGGGUGUGUGAAAGGUAAAAUGAGAUAUGUGAAUAGCACUACUCUAAAGUUAUAUAACCAAUCACACCUUUGAGCAAAUAUAUAUAUGAAUGAAUUACAAGUCUUGCAUAGCCAAGUAUACAACGCAUAAGCAAAAAACAUCUUUAGGCAAUAACUUUUCACAGAAAAGAAAUUUCAUGUCAAUCAUGUCAUUAUACAUUAGUUUAUAAUGAACCCAAUAGACAAAUUUUUUUUUUUUGGAAAUAAAUAUACCUAUUUAUGUAUAUAAAUAAAAAAUCAGUCAUUUAAGCUAUAGGUAAAUAACUCAUUCAUUAGUCGAUUAGACAAAACAAAAUUAGGUUUCCAUUUUUAUUCAUUUCAACAAGCAACCAAUUCAUUAUCUUGUUGACUAGCCAGAACUCAUUGUCCAGUUAUCAAGAUAAUUUUGACUAGACGAAAAGCAAUAAUCACCGAAUAAAUGUAAAAAACAAAACACACAAAAUUAUCGAAAAUAAAUGCAGCAGCAUUUAAACAAUACGAUUCUGAUCUUUAAACAAGUUUAAAGUUUUGAUUGACUGACUCUGACACCACAUAAAGCAUUGCAUGGACACCCUAAGCACUAUCGAAAUUAGUAAAAGCCAUUACCCACGCUAUAUGAAUAUUAGUUCGUCUAUCAUAAGUUAACCCUAAUCAAUAUUAGUUCGUACCUGCAGAAGACUCAUCAAGAAUGAAUUCAAACUUUGUGUUGGAAAAAUAUAAACGAAAGUAUUUUAGAGAUUUGAUUUGAUUUGAUCUAAUUUUCCCUGUCUUGUGUACAAAAAUUUAAUUUACUUAGUUAUUUUGUUUUAUUAUGUGAGUAAUGCCACGUAGAUUAAACUAAAUGAUGUGUCACCAAUAAUAAAUAAGCACGUUAAUAACACUUAAGUAACAAUAUAAUCAUUAAUUUACAUGUCAUUUAGUUUACUUAAUUUAAUUUACACGUUUAAUCUUCCUAACAUCAUCCUUUAUUAUGUAGGUUUCAUUAUUCUCAAGGAGUUAGGUUUACUUUUUCAUUUGGUUUACUUAUUCAAUUUGGUUUGUAUUUUGUACUCUUAUACCUCCUCAGGAAGAAGAAUAAAAUUAAAAUUGUAUUUGAAAAUUGUGACAAUGUAAAAGAAUACUAAAUUUAUUCCUCAACCCUUUAAAAAGAAGUGCGCAUUUGAACAACGUUAACUGAGAAGAACUACCAAAGACAGUGCAUAUAUUGACUAUAACCACCCAACAGUUACACCUAAUAGGUUAUAACCAUCUAUUAACAUAAAAUAAGCUCAAUUAAUUUGUUUUUUAUAAAUUCAAAACUAAUAUCUAUUUAAUUAAUUUUCAACCAUCGGAUCGGAUGAAUUGAAAAAAAUCAAAGAACAAAAAUCAAUAAAAAAUGUUUAAAAAGUUAAAAAAAAAAGUAUGGAUAGCACACCUCACCUCUUUGUUCAAUUACUUACUUACACGUCAAAACACAUAUACAUCAACCAUAAUUUGGUUUCACACGCAUUAAGAGUAAUACGUUGAACGUAACUUCUAGCUUCUGUCGGUUUUAGGAAAACAGACUCCAUUAAAAACGACUACAAACACAAGGCAAGGAAACUUUCCAUUCUGUCGGCUUAUUUUCCUUAAUUUGCCGAACAAACCUCUUUCUUCCCUUUUUUUUUUCUAUAAAAAUGUUCCAAAAAAAAAUAAAAAAGCUAGACUUUAAACUUUCGACUCCAAAAUAAUUAAAUAAAAAAAUAAAGAAAAUGCUCCACGCAACAAGCAGCGCAGACGGUCUACGUGUUGAGUCUCAGGUUCACCACGACGACGGUCACGUUGUCAGUGCUCUGCCUGGCCAAUGCCAACUUCGUCAGCAGCAUCGACGCGUCGGAACAUGCCUUGUCCGACGCCACCGCCGCCUCCGGCCCUGCGCGCUCGGCCGCAGCAGCGGCCCGUUCUCUUCUCAGGCACAUUCUCGCCACCCCGCACGCCGUGUCGUUCGACACCACGUCCCAGAGCCCGUCGCUCGCCAAGAUCAGACACUCGUCCUCCACAGUUCGAUCCGUGAUCGUCACCUCUGGAUCGCAGCUCACGUACGGCUUCAAGUAGUUGUCGCCUGCAAAAGAAACGACAAUUAAUAUACUGUCGUAAGAAGGCCGUCCCAUCAAGGUUUUUGCUUUUUUUACAGUUUUCCGUACCUAGGGCUCUUGACAUUGCCAAAACUCCGAGAACCCGUGGGCCGUCCCAGUAUAUGACCCGCCCACCCGCCUCCUGGAUCCGAUUCAACUCAUCGGGGCGAUCCGGCUGUUACAGUAACAAGAAAAAAAAUAAUUGACGCAGGUCCAUCGAAAUAAAGUGGACUCGCAUGAAUUCCACAGCAACCAAACAGAACAUAAACAAUGCGAUGAAGCCAAUUGUAAUUGACCAAUUGACCUUGUGAUCAACAGAGAGGGGAAGGGCCUUGCCGUCGCGGCAAAGCACAGCUCUCGAGUCGCCGCAAUUGGCCACGACGAUCUUAUCGGGAGAGACGACUGCUACGACGGCGGUGGAUCCGACAGCCUCGGACUCCGGAGUUUGAAGCUCGCAACGGCAAUUGCUCACUCCGACGCCGCCUUCGCGGCUCCACGCCACCACCUCCUUGUCCAUCCGCACGAAGCUCCGCUCCAUCGCCGUCUUCCAUUCCUCCAUGUUCUCCACUUCCUCCUUCACCAGCUCAUGCAUCCGCUCUCUGCAUUUCGUCGCCACCUGUAAAAAUACAAAACGACGAAAUUAUUUUUAAAAAUGCAAUUAAUUCAAAAGUCGUUUCAGGGAAAAAGAGACUCUGGAGUCGUUUUAAGUACGUGGGAGCAACCGUGGCCGUCGUAGACACCGAAAUAAUGCAAUUGAGUGGUGGCGUCUCUGAUGCGCCGGCAAAACGAGGGGUGUACAGACACAGCGUCCUCCAUAUCUCUACGGCGGCCGCAGACGGAGGCCAGUCCGUACUUCGGGAGCUCUCUCAAAGCUUCAGGGACGUUCGAUGACGAGGACGCUCGGAACUUCGUUGACUUCUUUUGACUCGGGGGGAUUUUCUCUUCGUCGGAAGAACCGGAGCACUGCAGGGCGUUUUCCAACUCGCGAGAAGCCGACGACGUCGUACGUGAUGCGGCUUUCUUCCGCUUCUCGGAAUUGUCCGGUGACUCCGGCGCCGGUGGGGCCACUCCGGAGACGAAUUUGCAACGUCGGAUCUCCAUCCUCCUCCGUCUCGCUGCUCGUGAACUCGCCUCGCAGGGAUUUGACGACGCGUCGCUUUCACUCACUACUCCGUACCAGAUCUCCGCCAUUUCAAAAUUGCCAAUUCAUGAAUGCUGGAAAGUCGGAGAAUUUUUUAAUUUUAUUUUUGAAAAAUAUAUUGAGAAAAUGUUGCAAGAGUACGCUCGCGCGCUCAUGAGUGAAGCUUAUAAAGAUAGAAGUUCGGUGGGUUCCCGGGCCCACCCCUAGCUUUUUAGGGUUGAAAUUUUUUGUAUUGUGUCGAAAACAUUAUUUAAUAUAUUAAAUGUUAAUAUUUUUAAUAUUAAAUUAUUUAUAUUAUGACCUUUGUUAUACUAAAUCGUGUUUUUAAUAUCUUACUCGAUUUACGUAGAGACAUGCAACUCUAGCUUCUCUCUUGCCCGAAGUCGUCUGGGGCAGACGGGCAGGGAAAAAUGGUGCGUGAUGUAGUGCUCUUCUUACUGAGGAGUAUUCAAUUGCGAUUUUGAACGGUUUUAAUUAUUUUAAUAAAUUUUAGAGUAUUUAAUUAAGAUUUUAAGUAAUUCUUUGAAAUUUAAGAUGUAUUCAAUUACAAUUUUAAGAUAAUUUAUUAAAAUUUUAAGAAAUCCGUGUGUAUUCAAUUAGAAUUUUAAAGAAGUUCAUAAUAUUAGGGGGUAUUUAAUUAGAAAUUGAUUUUAAAGAAUUUUAGAAAGUUGAAGAAUUAGGGGACUUGAAGAGAUUUCGUAGUGUAUUUUAAGCAUCCACAAAUUUCACCUCUGCCUAUAAGAUUUCUAGAGAAUUGAAUAAAAUUUUUAUAUAGAAUCUCUACAAAUCAAUUAAACUCCAUAAAAAUCUAUAAAUUUAUAAAUCGAUUAAAAUCUUUCAAAUUCUCAAUUGAAUACAUACGUAAAUUUUUGACCGUCGAUCUUGUUAUAUAGGUUUUAUCUUGUCCGUCAAGACCAAACACGUGUACCUAACAAUGCGGGAGGGCGGAGAUACGUGGGCGAAUCAAAAUCCGACAGUCAAGAAGGGAGUGAGCUUGACACGUAUGUGGUCCACUGCGCGGUCCCCCUAGAGUUUUCAAUCCAUUUUCCGUUCGACAUUUCAGUACGUGUAGCCAUGUGUCCUCUUCCAUCACGAAAUAGGGUUUUGUUUGAUUAAAGUUAGUGAUGACGCAUUUUUUAUCCCAAAUAGUGGUUCAUGUUUUUCGUUUUAUAUUUCAAACUCAUCGACAUCUAAUCACUUAGUUUUGCGUCUCUAACAUUCUUAUUAAUUUUAAAAUUUUUAAUUAUGAGUAAUGUUAUUCAUAUCAUAUUUUUAUACCACAUUUCUAUACCAUUUUAGGUAUCAUCUGAUGUAGAAAGUCAUAUUAUUUGAAAAUUUUGCAAAAUCCAAGAAAAUAACGGAGAAAGACUCCUCGUAUACGACACUCAUCAUUUAAUUAACUAAGUUUUCUUAAUUAUUAAUUUAUUAAAUAAUGAACUAAAUUUAAAAAUCGGAUUAAUUCAAAUAAUGUGAUUAUUCAUAUCAAAUAUUAUCUACGAAAAUAUGGUACAAAAAUAUGGUAUGAAUAAUAUUACUUUUUAAUUAUUGAUAUUCUUUAAAUUUCAGUUUUAAAAGUAGUUUAGAAUGCAAAAAAUUCCUUAAAAAAAGUGUAAAAGCAAAUAAGAGAGAAAAGGAUCGGCGAUUUCUGGGUCGGGUGCCGGAGCGGUGCGACAGCGGGUUAGAGAGAGAGAGAGAGAGUUGCCGGAGCCGGGCGACGGUGGGGUAGAGAGAGAGAGAGAGAGAGAGAUGCGGGGUGUCAACUGUCAAGGAAGGUGGGUGGGUGGCGCUGGGCAGGGACAGCAGUAGCGCUGCCUCUCCUCUACGUCCAACCUCACCCAACCUGCUGCAGAGUCAUAGCCGGCACCAUCCCCCACCAUAUCCUACGGUCCAUGAUCACGUCGUCUUCUCCCUGUCAUUGUCUUCUUCCCCAACUUUCUUCUCCACGCUUUCCUCAGAGCCGCCAUGGCCAAUGACUAGCCCCCAUCUGUCCUUUAUCCCUGUCAUGGGCCAAUGAUUUUCUCUGCAAAUUUUUUUACAGUAAUCCUAUGCUUACCACAUUAAUAUACCACAUUAGUGUACCAUAUUAUGUGACAUCUAAUAUAGCUGUCCACAUCAUCUAAAUUAAUCAUAAUUUAAUUUAAAUUAAAAACCAUUUAAUAAACCAAUAAUAAAUAAAAAAAUCUGGAAUUAAAUGAUGUUUGUGGCAUACGAGAAGUCUUCUCCUUCCUUCCUUCCUUAAAUGGUUUUUAAUUUAAAUUAAAUUAUGAUUAAUUUAGAUGAUGUGGAUAGCCACAUCAGAUGCCACAUAAUAUGAUAUACUAAUGUGGUAUAUUAAUGUGGUAAGUAUAGCAUUACUGAUUUUUUUAGGAUAAUGUUAAGAGACUAAAUUUAAAGAGAAAGUUUUGAAAACUAAAUAACAUUUAAGAAUAAUUUAUUACUUAAACAUUAUAAACAUGUUUAUUUAUAUUAAUGAUAUAUUAUUUAGUUUAUAAAUUUAGUUUCCAGAUUUAAUUUUCAUUACUCCUUUUUUAUGCUUCUAAACUCAGCGUUUAAUAAUGAAUGCAUGUGGUGAUUGUUAUUUGUUUAGCUUAAUGUGGGAGUGGAAUAUACGUGUCAAAUAAUAAGUGAAAAGGGCCAAUAAAGAACGGCAAUACUAGGAUAGUCAAAAUUUUAAAUUAAAAUUUAUAACCAAUUGAUGUUGGUGGUUUUUUUUUCUUCAAAUAAACGAUAUUAUUUAUAUUAAAAAUAAUGAGCUUAAUCUUAUAAGAGGUCAACUAUUGAUGUAGAUUUGGAUGGUUGAAUUAUUAUUUAAGGGAAGCUUUUAAGGGUAGGGAUUUCAUUUUUUUUUAUAAAAAUUGGGAUUAGUUGUGGGAUCUACACCACAUCGAACUUUAACAAUUUGAAUAGUUUAUUUUUCAAGUUGUACUCAUCCUUGCAAAAUAUUAGUCAAAUCAAAAAUAUUUUAAGAUAUCUAAUUGGGUUCAAAUAAAUGAACGAAUACUUUGUUAUAUAAGAAACAAUGAAAUUUGAUCUUGAUAAUUAAAUAGGCAAAUGAUUUUAGAUUGAAUUGAAUUUUUGCAAGGAUGAUCUAUGAAUCGAGACUUACAAAAUAGAUGAUUCAAAUCGUUAAAAUCCGAUGUGGAGGGGACCCCACAAAAAAAAAAUAGGGAUCCCUUUGCAUAAAGGGUUUGAUUACUUAAGUGUUUAAUAUGCUUAGUUUUGUUGAUGAUAUAUCAUUUAAUUUGUAAAUUUGAUUAGUUGUCGCAAUAAUUGAAACAAUAUCAUAAAUAAAAUUAUAAAAUAACAUUUUUAUUUAACAUUUUUUUAGUACAUCAAUAUUUUUACACUAAAAGGAAGAAUAGUUUGACUAAGCCACACAGUGGGCAACCUAAUUUUGGUAUUGAAUUCGUCAUCUAUAAGAUUCAAAUCGAAGACAUCUCAUUUCCAAGUGCGGAAAAAUAUCACCAGACCAUAGUACUGAAUGACUAUUUAACAUAUUAAAUACAGCAAAAAAAAAAAAAUACAAUUAACACAUAAACCACUCGGCAUCCAAUAUCUUUAUUUUCUUGGUUCUUUCUCUCACUCAUCUUUCUCUCUAUCUCGUCCGAUCCUCUCUCUUUUUUCCCUUUUCUUCAAUCAUCUCCGAUCCUCUCUUUUUUUUCCCUUUUCUUCAAUCAUCUCUUACUUUCUUUCCUUCCCUCUCCUCUUUCUCCCUCUCAUGUGAUCUCAUCUUUUUAGAUCUCUUUGUCAGAUUAAAAAUUUUUAAAUCGCAAACCAAUCAAGUUUUUUAGUCUUAAAGAAAAUUAUUUUCAAGAAAUGUUUUGUGAAAUGAUAAAAAUUUUCAAAUAGAAUACUAAACAGACCCUAAAUGUCUCUUUCAAGCUAAAUCUUAACUAAAUCCAACAUUGAAAAAUUCAUUGUAGAAAGAGAAAUGCUAAGACUCUUAAAGUGGGACGGUCUAUAAACUCUCGUCAUCUCAUCGUUUAACGUUAUUUAUUUUGUUUUAAAAUAUGAAGUGAUAGAUAACUGCUAAAAAUUUCACUUUUAAGAGAGUAUUCUUAACAUUUUUGUUUGUACAAAGCUAUUUAUCUCGUAAGAGUUUUUAAUGGUUUGUAAAUUUUGUUAGACCAGUUGUGUACUUAAAUUAACUAUGAAGAGCAUGAGUUUGUUGUAAUAGAAAACAAAAAGAAUUAUAUUAUUGAGUAAUGUUUGUCAUGUUGAAUAUUAGAUUAAUUUUGUGGGAUUCUUGGUACUGUUAUAAAAAUUCCCACUUUGUGCCGCUAAAUCUUGUCUAGACGCUAGAUGAUUAGAUAUUGACCCGGUUAAUCCUUAGGCAUUUAAAAAGUAAGAAUAGUAUUUAGAUCGGCUUAUGCAUCAUCUAGCCCGAUUAGACGCUUAUCUAGCCUGUCUAGACCCAUUUAGGUACCCAUUUAGAUCAUGACUCUCACAUAAACAGAAAAUCAAUGACUUUUAUUUUUCAUUUUAUUUUUUUAAUAAAUUAUAAUAAAUUGGUUGAAUACUUAGAUGAAUACUUAUUAUAUGCUUGUUCCUCAUGUUUUCAAUGUGUUUUAAUACUAUACAUUCUACUGUCAUUUUAUUUUACAAUUUAUGUAUCUGAAUACAAUUAUGUAUUAUUUAAGUAUAAAUAAACACUUAUUUAUACUAUAUGUUCCGCUUAGUCUGCCUAGGUUCUCAUCUAAGCCCUGCCUGACUGUCUAGACGUUAGACCCCAACUCGCCGUUUGACUAGCGCUUAGCAUCUUUUCGAACUUUGUUUGGUAUUCAAUUGCAACAAUGAUAUCUCCUUCUUAAGAGUGUUGGAGAAAGGGAAUUUAUUUACAAAUCAGUUAAUAAAUAUGUUGUUUUCGUUGAACAACAAAUUUUUAUCUCACUAAAUGGAGUCAGCUAUGUGAAUCUGUAACACACUUAAUUUUGCAUCAAGUCUUCCGAAGUAUGUUGCUUUCAUAAAAUGGAAAAAUACAAAAAUUUAAUAAAACAAAUCCAAGCGUUUUUUCAGAAGAACAAGGAGGAAAUUUCAUUAAAACAGAGGUCAAAAUAGGAUGAAUUUGGAUGAGCACCACAAUUCCAAAUGCUGGAGUUUCAUGCCAAAUACAGAAUAAACAACAAAGAUAAAACAAAGGCAUAAACAGUAAAGAAAAAUCAAUACUAACCUCUGCGCCGGAAGAAAUGGACAUCUCAAGCUCGUAAUACUAGUGUCGGAUCUAGAACACAUGAGUUUGCAAAUCGCCUUAAAUUCGAGACAAACAGAACGACACCAAGAGGAAGGGCAUACCAGCCAGCUUAGAACAAUUUAGGGUGAGACAGCCCCUAUUAAAAAAAGUUAAAAGGAAGACAAAACUCUACAAACGAAUGGGGGAGAGCAAAAACGAUGUUGAGUAAACUCCUUAUUUCCUUAAAGCUAAGAAAAGAUAUCGGAGAAAAACCCCCAAGACCGAAGACGAUCGCUCUGAUUUGUUUAAUUGGAUACGGUGUACGAAUGACCUGAUAGAGAACGUAUAUUGUGGGACAAAACAAUAGUCUCUAGCAGUAUUUUGCUAUUGUUACAUAUACGUUAUUAGCAACUUGAGACUUACAACAUGAAUUCGAACCCAAUUGAUAUUUAAUUUAAUAAAAUUUAUCAUUUAAAAAAAAACCUACAGUGUCAUUUAUUAUUAAUUGACAUGUACAUUGACACGCCCCGAUCUGGAAUGUCCAAUAAGAUUCCGAAUCGAGCUGUGUUGGCCGACACCUAGAAGGUGACGAAAUCAUAAAGUGUGAUGAUGUGGAAAAUUGUGAAUAAAUUUAAACCUAAGAGUGCCUAAAUACUAGAGUGCACGAGUGAGCGAGAAUAAACCCUCUUCACACAUGACGUUAGAGCAUAAGCAAGUACAGAAGAGAGAAUUAAGAAUCGUACCCAUGAAAUAAUCUCCAAUAUUAAGAAUCGCUACGAAUCUUUGAUGAUAAGAAAGCUCAGCUAAUAAAACCUGAAGGGUGAAGACAAGACAAGGGUGAGUGGUCCUGUAAGUAAAAUUUUAAUAGAAACUAUAUAAAACAUUAUAACCCCUCUCUACAACACCUGUGUAAUUUCCAAAAGAAAAAAAAAUCAUAAUAUACCACAACACAACAUCUCAUCAAUAAUUUCAAAUAAUCAUGCAAUUAAUAACUCAUACUACUACGCAAGUAAGAGUCACUUAGGGUGACUUGUACGACUUACCCAUAUCUCAUCACAUGUACUAGUUCAUCACAUAUUUCAUCACAUAUGUUAGCUCAUCACAUAUUCAUCACAUAUGCUAGCUCAUAACAUAUUCAUCACAUAUGCUAGCUCGUCACGUAUUCAUUACAUAUGUUAGCUCAUAACAUAUUCAUUACAUAUGCUAGCUCGUCAUGUAUUCAUUACAUAUGCUAGCUCGCCACGUAUUCAUUACAUAUGCUAGCUUGUCAUGUAUUUCAUCACAUAUCUUAUCAAUCGGGGCUAGCAUAUACGUCGGAGUCACCUCUAGUGACCUAUGCGACUGAAAUCAUAGCUCAUCAAUCAUUGCUAGCACAUAAGCCGAAGCCACCUCUAGUGACCUGUACGACUGAAAUCAUAGCUCAUUAAUCAUUGCUAACAAAUAAGCCUGAGUCACCUUUAGUGACCUGUACAACUGAAAUCAUCGCUAGCACAUAAGCCGGAGUCACCUCUAGUGACCUAUACGGCACUACAUCUGCACAUGAGUCGGAACCAUCUGUAGUGGUCUGUACCACAGGCCUGGGUAUGAAUGUAUACGCUCUAGUGCUACAAUCACGUGAAAGCUGUACGAGUGAUCGCGGGUCACCUACGAGUUGGAACCAUCUAUAAUGAUCUUUACGACAGGCCUAUACACCUAACUUGGAUCCAAGGUGAGCAUAUAGUGCGGGAGGUGAACAUCACGUGAAAAGACUGUGCCCUGGCCACGGGUGGGAGCACUAACAUCGGGGUGCAGGUUUAUGAGCUUUAAAUGCAUCUAAUACAACAUGUACGACUCAUAGGCAACCUGUACGACUAUGCCGGAGUUGCCUACUAUUGCAACAUGUACGACAAUGUCAGAGUUGCUUAAAACGUAAAUGUAGUCAUAUCAUACCCCCAUCAAUUCAACUAAUACCGUAUACUUACUUGAACCUACCUAAACUUACCUAAACUUACCUGAACUUACCUGUGUGUCUUGCGUUCACCUUUGCACUUCAGAGCAUUCACAAUAAUUAUGUGCAAGGAAUAUACGUAUGGAUAUGCCAUAAUGAAAUCUAAAAUUAAACAUUUCAUAAUAUUUCCAAUUAUAUAAUACGGUGUACUAACUAUUAAUCACCAAAACAUAAAGUUAAAACGCACAUUUUUCACCAAUAUCCCUCACAUUGCUCAAUUCCUAAAACAAGGCUAUUGUCUCGAUUAUUUAAUUUCAUUUCUUAUAUGGCUGCAUCUAACGUCUCGUUAGACUGCCUAUGUACCCUAAACAGGAAUCAAGCCAUUCGUAGUUCACGAUAGUAUUUCAAAGCAUUUACAGUAAUUAUAAGCAAUAAUCAAUUUAUAAACAUUUAUUGAAUUGUCAAUCAUAUAUAUGUAUAUAUAUAUAACACACGAUAGAAUGGAAAAACCCACUCACCUGAGGUCCGCGCUACGAUUUUCUAGCACGCAGAUCGAGACAUCACAAACCAUCGUCGCCUAUGACCAAUUAUCAAAUUAUAUCUCAGAAUUCGUACCGAUAAAAUAUACAAUUCACAUAAAACGCAUCUCUACACAAUUCAAUUCGGAAGAUCUGCAUCACAGAUUUCCGAUCCGUUGCUUCCAGAAAUCCACAUUAUACUUCUAAAAUAACUUCCUAAGGUUUCAUUAUGAUCCAACGGUCAGAUCUCCGCCAAUUGCCAUAAUCAAGUAGUAGUCAACAUUUUAUUUUAUGAACUUACAAAUCCAAUUCGGGAAGAUCCGUACGUCGGAUUCCCGAUCUGUAAAUUCUUGUGGUUCUGAAAUAUUAUGUACUAUAACAUAUUAAAGUUUAGUGACAAUCCAACGGUCGGAUCGUCAAUUCAUAUAGUGACCUAUUAACAUAACGUAGAAAAUUUAGAUUCCAACAGUCAACCUAUGUCAUACAACUACCAAAUUGAACUCAAGGCAUCUAAUUAGCCUAAGAAUAACAUCGACAACACCCUGACCACGCGCCGCCGCACCAGCCGUCGCGGGGGGUGGUCAGCCACCCCGGCUUGCCGGAAAAUUCAACUAUUUCUAAAAAUUCUCAAAAAUUACAGAAAUGAAGAUCUCAAAGAGUAGAGCAAAUACCUGCGGCCAAGGUCAAUUUGGCUGGGAAAAGCUCCAAUUUUGCUCAAACCCGUCGAAACCCUAGAAUUAUGUAUGAUUCGAUUCGACCCCCAAACUUAUUCCGACGCCUCCACCAAUGCUUGGGCUUUGUUUAUGGGUUCUAGGGAAGUGUUUUGGUGGUAGUGAUCGAGGGUAAGUGUUUCAGAAAUGAGUGGAUUCUCGACGAAGGGUCAUCGGACCUGUGGGUGGUUCUUCGUGAAACAUGUGAUGAAACUUCAUCGAUUAAGGCUAUAAUUGGAUGCUGGGACACUAUGGUGAUGUUCAGGGGUGAUGAGAGGUUGGAGGAAGCCGAAAUUUGGAUGGAAAACCGUCGGAAAACACCUAGGGAAACCGGGUCACCGCACGGGUCAAGUGAAAACCCGGCCCGUUCCUCUCAUUUUCCUCCUCCCUCCUUUCUCUCCUUCCCCCUUCUCUGGUUGGUCAGCUCCUCCUCUCUUCCUCUUCUUCCUGAUUGGGUAGUAGCCCUUCUCUCUUUCUUUUUCUUUUUCCGUCCCCCUUCCUCUUCUUCCACUUUAAAAUAAUCUAUUAAUAAAUAAUAUCAACAUUAUAAAAUAUAUAAAAAUAUAAUUAGUGACUGAAACAAAACUACUUCUCGAGUUUACAGUUUCGUAACGUAGAGUACUUCAGGAAAACGCUAAAGGAUUAAUUCAUAGACCUCACUAUACGCUGAUCAAUGAAAGUCAAUACCCCCGCCUCUACGGGCAUUUUCAUAAAAUCACGCUUUUUAAAUUAAUAGAAAUAUAAAAUUUAGGACGGGUUGUCACAUACAUACUAAUAAAUUUAAUUUUUAUUAAUUUUAUAAUUAUAUACUUAACAUGUGUCAAUUAAUAAUAAAAAACUUACAAAAAUUCAGAAUAUUUAAACGCUAUUAUCAACACCUUUGCGAGUGAAUGAAAACUGUUAUAUACACCACGUGUAUAUUUAUUAUUGAUAUAUCCUAAGUUGAAAAGCUAUAUUAUGUAAAAGCACUUGUAAUCCUUUAAGAGCUCUCAAUAUUGGAAUAUGAUUCUUUCGGCUUCAAAUUUUCUAAUUUUUUUUAUUUGAAAGGUUAUGAUUAAACCAUGAGCGAGGGAAGAAAAAGAAAAUGACAAACUAGGGGACCGGGGGGAAGGAGACUCCGAGUAGAGAAUCAUACUCUCUUAGUAUCAAAUAAGAGCAAUGUUAGGGAAAUUAAAUUAUAACUAGAGUAAAUUUUAUAAACUAAAUAACAAAAAAAUUAAUUAAAUUAUUACUUAAUUAUUGAUUAAGUACUCAUUUUUUUUAAUAAUACAUUAUUUAGUUUGUAAAUUUUACCUACCAAUUUAAUAUCUUAGUAUUACCCUUUAACGUUAGAGUAAUGUUAUUCAUAUCAUGUUUUUAUACCACAUUUCUAUACCACCUUAGGUGUAAUCUGAUGUGGACAGCCACAUCAUUUGAAAAAUUUGCAAAACCCAAGGAAAGAAAGGAGAAAGACUCCUCGUAUACCACACUCAUCAUUUAAUUAACUAGUUUUUCUUAAUUAUUAGUUUAUUAAAUAAUGAACUAAAUUUAAAAAUCUGAUUAAUUCAAAUGAUGUAGAUGUCCACAUCAAAUGUUACCUAAGGUGAUAUGAAAAUGUGGUACAAAAACAUGAUGUGAAUAACAUUAUUCUUACCAUGUUUUUGUACCACAUUUUCAUACCAUCUUAGGCAGCAUUUGAUGCGGACAACCACAUCAUUUGAAUUAAUCAGAUUUUUAAAUUUAGUUCAUUAAUUAAUAAACUAAUAAUUUAGAAAAACUAGUUAAUUAAAUGAUGAUUGUGGUAUACGAGGAGUCUUUUUCCUUCAUUUUCUUAGGUUUUGCAAAUUUUUCAAAUGAUAUUGUUGUCCACAUCAGAUACCAUCUAAAGUAGUAUAAAAAUAUAAUAUAAAAAUAUAGUAUGAAUAACAUUAUUCUUAUUAUUAACGUUAUCACCAAACGUGAUUUGUUUAACACAUGGUGAAGCACCGUAGGACGACGUGGAGAAGGACAUGAGCUUGUUACAAAUCCUCAAGUUAAUCUCCACGUAUAAAACCUCGCUGUCAACCAGUUGUACUUAAAUAUGCCACGUGAUAAAGAUGCCAAACUCAACGUACUAACCCUAGUUAGAGGUGGUUUGGGAGUUAGAUGCUUAAAAAAAAAAAACCCAUGAAAAAAAAUGUGAGGAUUUUAGGUGUUUGGUAAACUAAAAAAAAAGGCUUAUUUUGGAAGCUGUUGUGAGAAUAAGCUGAAAUCAAAGAAAAAGCUGAAGCGCAGUUUUGGAAAACUGGUUUUUUUUCAAAGCACACAGAGCUACAAUGCUCCUUCAAUGAAAAAACUCACUAUCAGACUGCUUUUUUUUUUCAAAAGCACUUUUACAAAAAAGUUUACCAAACACUCUGCUGAUUUUUUUCACAGCCGCUUAUUCUCAUAGCACAACUGCUUAUUCUCAUAACCACUUUUUUGCAAAACAUAGUAAUACUAAACCAGCCCUUAAUCGGAUGGUUUCCUUCACGCAAAGGAAACGGCCCGGUCCGAUCCUAUCCGGUCUGGUUAUCUCAGAACCCUUCUCCGACAUUGAAAUCAUUAAACCUAAUAAAGCAAAACCUACUCGGAGGGUUCUUUCCUUUUUGCUACGUAGGGGGUUUGGACGGAGGACACGUGGAAAGAGAGUCUAAAUGGGGGCUUCAUGCAUGCCAUGGUUUCAGUACGUUGCUGCUAUGUUCGGACACGUAUGUCGGUGAUGGUGAAGGAGUUUCGCAAGGGUUUUUGGGUUACGUGGUAGGUGGAAGACAAGUCACACGCGGAGGGUUCUGGGGAGCCGUAGUUUUAAGGGCUCGGGUUGCGUAACAUUUGGCGCUGUCUAUGUCAUGCGCGCAGAGAGUGAAAGAGAGGAGAGCAAGCUUUAGAUGCAUAUCUAUUUCUGUUUCUGCAGAGGAACUAGAGUGCCGACACAUUUGCAACUCUUCCUCUUCUCUUAUAAGCAGGGGAUCUUAAAUUUGAAUCUCGUUGAUGAAAAAUUUGAUAUCAAAUUAGACUAUUCAUUGUGUAUCUUAGCAUAACUCCUCAUUCCCUUAGUCUAAAAAUAUCGAUUUACUAAAAAAAAAAAAAAACCUCUAUUUGGCAUAGCCCAAUACAGAAUCAGAUCCUCUCUGGAUCUUCCCCUUCAAAACCCAGGGAUCAAGUGAUCCGAGCUUUUGAAAUUUGAUCUGACGGCUAAAAUUAUUAUAACUUUUAAAAGUUUUUACUAACUUCUUUGUUUUUUAGCUAUUGAAUCAAAUUUCAAAAACCUAGAUUACCUUCAUCCCUGGACUUUGGAGGGGAAAAUCCGAAGGAUCUGUUUCCGCCCAAUACGAGUGACUAAUCAGAAAUAUAAAUUUGUCUGCAUCUAUAUUUUUUUUUCUUUUGACAAACAAUAUGACACUGAGGAGGUAGAAGAGUGAACUAAAUCUUACAAUAGGCUAACAAUAAUAUCGUUCAAUCCAAUAAAUUAAAGGGAAUUUUAAUGAAAAGGGCUUGGACUAAGUUUAUUUUAACAAAAAACCAUGCUAUAAACUUUAUUUAAUAAAAAAGAAUUAAAUUUUAAUAAAAAGGACAAAAAAACUUAAUUUUUAACGAAAAUGACACAAUUUAAAAAAAAAACAAAAAACUUGACGCGCGCGCAGUACAUGUACACUGUUUAUGAAACUGAACACUGUUUAUAAAACUGAACACUAUUUAUGAAACUGAACGGUACUAUACUUUAUUGGUUCAAUUUCCUAAAUAAGGUCUAGUUUUUUGUAUACUUUUAUAAAAUGAUGUCUAGUUCUUGAUCAUUUUGCAUAAAUAAUGCCUAGUUAUUAGGUAUAGUUUCAUAAAUAAUGUAUAGUAAUUGAUACAAUUUCAUUAAUAGUGUCUCUUUCUUGGUCCAGUUUCAUAAAUAGUGUCUAGUUAUUGGUCAACUUUCAUAAAUAAUGCCUAUUUCUUGGUCAUAGUUCAUAAAUAUUGUCUAGUUCUUACUCCAGUUUCAUAAAUAGUGUAUAGUCCAGUGUUCAAACUAUGCUUAAUUCUUGUUUUCGUUUCAUAAAUAGUGUCUACUUAUUGAUCUAGUUUCAUAAAUGAUGUCUACUUAGUGGUCUAAUUUCAUUAAUAGUGUCUACUUAUUGGUGAAGUUUUAUAAAUAGUGUUUAAUUCUUGAUUCAGUUUCAUAAGGUUUGAAACUUAGACCUUUAUUGGUCAAGUUUUAUAAAUAGUGUUUAAUUCUCAGUAAUUAUAUUUAAAAAGCUGUUUUCAAUUACCAAAUUAAAAUUUCCUCACUUUUUUCAUAUACUUACAAUAAUAAAUGUAGCUUUCCAUCUAAUUUCUUGAGCUUAGGUGUCAUAUUCGAGAAAUUUUUCCUUGUACCCAUAACACAAAUGAUAUACCAUAUGUUAUUAUAUAAGUGUGGUGGAAAAUUUUAUUUUUUAUGUUAUUAAUUUUUUAACACAAGAUUUUCAUAACUUGUAUGGAGUGUACCAUCCCGUGUUAUGGGCACAUUGAAAAGUUUCUCAUCAUCAUGAUUACUAUUAGAAAACAACACCACAAAAAUAAAACAUGAGAAUGUAAUUCAAUUCGAAGUUUUUUUUUAAUUCUAUACCAAAAAAAAAACUAUUAAUGUAGCUGAAUAAUGGGACAAAAGGUAGGAGAAAAAAAAUGGAUUGGGGGGGUGGUUGGGGGGGGGGGUACGCGCCCAACGCUAGUGGGUUUGUUAUGUUUUUUUUUUUUUUUGGUCUUUUGUCCUUAUUAUUAAAAUAAAGUUAGUUGGUGGUUUUUGAUUAAAAUGUAAAGAUUUGAAGCAAUUUUCAUUAGUUUUCCUUAAAUUAAAUUUAAAUAAUUUCACUUACAAGUAAAAAAGAAUACCAUUAGAUUGUAGUACUAAGUAAAAAUCUGCAUCUAAAAUUUUAAUAUUUAAUAAAGAGCAAUGUUGGACUAAAUUUGUAAACUAAAUAAGGUGUUGUCAAUAAAAAAUAAGCACAUUAAGCAAUAAUUUAAUGCACAAGUUAAGCCAACAACCCAUUUUGGAGUUAGGGACGGAUUCACCUUAUGGCAAUGUGGGUUAGCUGCCCCUCUCAAUCUCAUAAAUUCUACAUGGAAAGUGCCUCCCUUGAAAACAUGAGAUGUCCUUGAAAGCUGUCAUCUAAUUGCUCGACGAAUUGUCUCUCCAGACAGUUGAUUGGAUAACUGCUAGCCUUAUGCCUUUGUAUGAUGGCUAUGGACAUAUGAUAGGCUCCCUCAUCAUAGGUUAGCAUAUGUUGGCAUGUUCGUUCAAACGUAGUUUAGUCGACAUGCUUCUUCAAAAACUGUAAAUCUCUGUCCACAGGCAUGUAAUAUAACUUGGCAAAUAACUUUAAGCCUCCAAAACUCAAUAAAAUGCCAAGCAUGCAUUGCCGUCCAAUAAUUUGGCAUUGAAUAUUUUUAGCACUAAAAAUUCAAGUUUUUCAUAGCUUUGGCGGAACGACCACUUUAGUUUUUUAUUUUUGGAAUUUUAAGAGUUGUUCUAUGUUUAUCUCUGCUUCAAUUUUGAUAAAAUAUUACAUGCCAAAGACAAAAAAUCUCAAUAAAAAAUAGUUACAAGCUUAUGUAGAGAGUCAAUUUAUAUUUUUGUAUAAAAUCAUAGGAAAACUAAUUAAAAUGGUUUGAAAACUUUGAGUAUUAAUGAUAAAGACAAAAUAAAGGGUAAAGUGAAUAGUAGAAUGUUUGACUUUUUUGUGUAAAAAUGUGGUUUUUCGUUAAAGUGAAUAGUACAGUGGGCUUUUCGUUAAAACUCCCUAAAAUCAUUGACUAUACAGGUGCAGACAUGCCGCAUUUUAUUAAUUUACUAACAUUCAUGCACAUGCUUACGUUUGUGCAAAAAACAUUUUUUGAAUCACGGCGUACUAAGCAUUAUUACACAUUUUUUGAAUCACAUUAUUACUAGCCACUGUUCUAAAAAUCAUUGCCUAGCGCUAGGCGGCUAGUCAUCACCCCGAUGCUUAGGCGUUCGAAAAUUAAGAAAGGACACCUAGACCUGCUAAGACGCUCGCCUAGACCGCCUAGCCGGCCUAGGUUGCAUUUUGUUUUUUUAAUAAAUUGUAAGAGACUUGUUGAAUACUUAAAUGAACACAUAUUAUCUGCUUGUUCUCCAUAUUUUCAUUAUGUUCCAAUACUUCAUAAUAUAUAUGUUAUUUUAUUUUAUAGUUUAUGAUGAAAUUAUACAUAUUUUAAGUAUAAACAAACACUUAUUUACACGAAAUAUAAUAGAUUUACUUAAAUCCGUCUAGUCCGGCUAGACACCCGCCUAGACUCGGCCGCCUAGGCUCUAGGCCCCAACCCAUCGCCCAACUAGCGCCUAGCAUUUUUUAGAGCUUUGUUACUAGCCAAUUGUGGGGCUAAACCCAACCCCUCUCCCUUAGUGUAGAUAAUAUUGUUUGUUAAAAAAAAAACUCAUUUGACAACUAAUUGAAUACAUUAUUAUGCUCGUGCAAAAUAUAUUUUUUAAUCGGCACUAUGCCUCUUAAGAUGUUUUGAACGUGUUUAAAAAUAGAGAAAAUAAAAUUUAAUAAACAAAUGAUUGAAUCACAUUAUUGUUAGCCCAUUGUGAGGUACUAAUUAUUAAAAAAAAUUAAAAAAACUGCACCAAAAAAUUAAUUAUAAAAACAGUGUUUAUAUGCCGAAAAUACCUUUGCGUUAUUUGAUGCAUUAUUUUGACUUGUUUUUUGGACAUUUUUGUUUUGGGGCAUUUUUGUCCCAUUAUUUUUGGUGAAGCCCAUGACCCCAAAUGGGGCUGUUGGCUUUAUAUAGUAGUAUAGAUUAUUUGUUUCUUGAGUUUAUAUAGGACGGCAACAAGUAAUACUUAGGCAUAUAGUGUUAGGCGGUCAAUAAUACAUAGCAAAAAUGAUUAUAGCGGAUAUAAGAAUAAUUCGUUAGAUGUGUAAGCACACAAAAAAGACAGUAUUAAGAAUGAGGAUAUCCGAAGCCAAAUAGGAGUGACUGCAAUUGAAGAGAAUUAAGAUGAGAGAAAAUUGGUUAAAAUGGUUUGAAAAUGUGAGCUGAAGAUCUACAGAUACUCUGUUUAAAUGCAAUUACGAGCUAGAUGCUUAGAGAAAAUGAGUAGAGUAAGACUUAGGAAGAUUUAUAAAGAAACUUUAAGAAAAUACAUGAAGUACCUAGAGCUAAUUGGAAAACUUAGUAUAAAACCAAGCACAAUGACGUUCUAGAAUUCAUACAGUCGACUGCACUUAAUGAAAUAAGAUUUUUUUGUUUGCUAAAUUUCUUUCUUGAGUUUGAUACGAUGCACUACAUAGUUUAUACACAUCAUGACCAAUAGAAUUUAUCAAGACAUUGACCAAAAAAGAUAGUAGAACCGAUUACAACCAAAUGGACUUGUGUUUAUGUUUGAAGCAUGUUACAUGUAAUUAGGUUUUGACACGCCCGGAUCCAAACGUUUGUAGGAUAUCGGGAUGGUCACGUGCUGGCCAACACCCGAAGAUGAUGCAAGUCAUUUAUGAAUGCAAAUGCUAAGAACUUGUGACAACAUGCAAAAAAAAUUUCAUACGAAUACUAAUAUAAUAAAAUAAUAUUCAACUGCCAACAAUGAAUUCACAAUGAUAAUGCAUGGCAUGCUCAGAGCAUAUUCUAAAUCAGAUUACAAGUGGAAUGUGCUAUUACAAUGAAGUCAAGCAGAAGAGAUGGCACAAAGUCACUGGUAUGGGAAUGCCUCAUAAGUCGGAUUGUAGUCCUAUUUCCUAUGUCCUGAAGUGAAGCAAUUGGAAUAGUGUUGAGAUGAACACAUAUCGUUGGAAAAGAACUACUAGAGUACGAUAUGAUGUUUAUGAAUUGCAGCAUGGUAAUGAGUGGUGACAAUUCAAUUCCGCAUGAAGAUAGUGAUGCAAUUUGUUGAUCACCUACACUAAAAUCUUCACCAAUCUUUACUAAAAGACGGCUUAACUUCACACCUACAUGGAACUCUUUCUGGUACGUCUGGUAAACUUGUGGAAUGGUUAUGCUCCUAAGUAUGCUCUGAUACCAAUUGUAAGUUUUAAUAGUAGAAAUGCAUACAUAAAUAGCAUGAUUUAAUGAUUACGUUCUAUGAGAAAUUGAUUAUGAUGCUAUACUAAACUUACAUUGGAAUACCAUAUUUUCUAUCGAAUCCAUGUUCUUUGUAGGAUAUCUAAUGGAUGACGAUAUACUAUUUAGAAGAUGUUUUCACACACUUCUUUAUAUUAUAGAUGAUGAAUGACUUUAUACUAUGAAGAUGCUUUUGAGAUAUAUAUACCUAUGUUUGGAAAGAUUAUUUUCAGUGGUUUUGUGCUUAUCUAGUGGUCACUUAUAUUGACCUUCCGGUUGGUUGUUGUAAGAGCCUGUGGGUGAUUGAUAUUUGUGAAGGAAGUUUCUGAAGGAAGAGUUCUAUGUUCUGCCUUCGGGCGAUUAUGAUACCACUAGUUAGCACACUAUAUACGAUAUAUGAUUUAUGAAAGGUUUUAUGGCAUGCUAGGGUUUUUGGAAAAACCUACUAUAUAUUAUGCUAUUAGUUUUCAUAAAACUCUGGGGGUUAGUAUGUUGAUAACUGUUUCAGUAUUAUAUAUAUAUCAACUUGGUCCACUCAUGUUUGUUUUGCGAUCGAGGUGUACAAUCCCUGCAUCAAGGAAGUUUCACAUCGGCAUUUUCAAGUCCUCUCGGUGUAGGACCCAUUCUUUCCUUCAUUCAAUUUUAUAUUAUUUCUUUUAGUGCUCUAGUUAGUUGUAUGAUCUGAACAUGUCCCCAUUUGUAUAUUAAUUAUAUUUAAGUUUCUUCUAUCUUAUUCAUAUUUUAGUUCUCAUAUUUUCAAUAAAUGGUUUUUGUCAUCCUUGGGUGUCAGCCAGCACGUGACCAUUCUGAUGUCUCACGGAUAUCGGGAUCGGGACGUGUCAGGUUUGGUCAGAACAAAUUUGAAUUGUUUAAAAUAAUGUGAUUUGAAAGAAAACAAAAUUGUGAUACUGCUGCAGUUCCUUCGUGGGCAGGCUAAUAAUGGUCUUUUGGUGUUGUUGAAGUUUGAGUAGUAAAAGUUGGAAGUAGUUAUGCGCGGGGGAUGGUGCGUGUGAUAUGAACCAUUCUUAAUCAAAGGAUUCUACUUUGUUUCUUAGUUUUGUAAGCAAUUUAGCAUCGGUGAGAAAAUUCCGGAAAACUCUCGUACUACCUCCCGCAAGUUCUCUCUUCCCCCUCCUCUCAAAAUCUGCCAUUGUUUCUCCCUUUUCCGGUUAUCUUUGACCUCACGUUUCUAGAUUUAGAGGGAAUUCACUCAUAAUCCACAGGAAAUCUACGCAAGGCCAUUCAAAACCUAAUUGAAUUAUCCGUAGUUCGAGGACUUAUAUUGGUUUUUCUUGUUAUUGCGCGAAUCACUUUUAAAAUAACUUUUAGAUAAUAAAAGUACUUUUAAUAACAUUCCUACAUAAGUAUUUUAAACAAACUCAUUGGGAGUGAUUAUAGAAUGGCUAAUACAUCUUUUAGAUAACUAAAAGCGGUUCUAGUAACAUUCGGCAUACAAACUUAAAAGCUAAUAUAAGUGAAAAUUUUACUUUUAUAGUUAAUUUUUUUGAAGUAUUUCUAAAAGAAGUGCUUCCAAUAAAAGCAAUUAGUCUCAUAAAUUCUACGAAAUCUUCUUAAAUCAUUUUCGCUAAAGUUAGAUUAUCUACAUUCUACCUAUUUAAGCACAAACUUGUUCACAUUCUUGAUCUCUGUAGCUGAUAACUGAUUUUGCCAUGUUUAAUAUUUAAUUACUAAAUGCGACAAAUAUUUUCGGUUUAGACUGCCAUUCAUACUGAUCUUAACCUAGAUUCCUAAAGUCGUACAUGAGUCAAUGAGACAUUUCUAGAACCUCGAUUAAAUUCGUCAUUGACACACUCCGACCCAGAAUGUCCACCUGGAUUCCGAAUCAAGCUGUGUUGGCCAACACCAUAAAGGUGACGAAGCCAUAAAGUGUAGGGCAAUAUGAGUAAAUUUAAACCUAAAAGUGACUAAAUGCAAAUGUGUGCAUGUGAGCGGGAAUAAACUCAUUUCACACGUGAUGUUAGAGCAUAAGUAAAGUACAAUAAAAGUAUAAUGAAAAUUAUACCAUCAAAGGUAAUCUCCUAUACCAACAUUUGUCGAGAACUAAAUGCAAGUGUGCGCAUGUGGGCGGGAAUAAACCCAUUUCACACGUGAUGUCAGAGCAUAAGUAAAGUACAGUAAAAAUAUAAUGAAAAUUAUAUCAUCAAAGGUAAUCCAUUGACACAAAAGCUUUGCCACAAAAACCUGGUGGGGCGAAAAACAAGGAUGAGUGGGCCUAAAAAUAAAGCUUUCUAAAACCUUUUUGAAAACAUAACAACCCCUCACUGUAAACAAGUAUAGUUUCCAAAUAUAACAUACUACAAAUAGUAUGAAAGUUUGGUAUUAGAGCCAGGUUUCGAUCCUGGGACCUGUGGGUUAUGGGCUCACAACGCUUCCGCUGUGCCACUCUUACCUGUAGACACUUUUAGGCUUAAAUUUAUUCAUAUUUUUUCACACCAUUACACUAUAUGGCUUUGUCACAUUUCUGGUGUCGGCCAACUCAUCUCGAUUCAGAGUCUAAAUAAACAUUCCGGAUCGGGGUGUGUCAGUCAUAAACCCUAAACCACAUAUGCACGCUGAUGAGCUAAUGAAAACACUAAUUACAUGAGAUUUCGUCAUGAUUGUCUCGUGUUUCAUGUGCAUCGAGAGCGCAUAUUGUCAAAUAUCUUUAGCUCUACCAAUGACUUUCUAAAUUAUACAAACUCUUCCACUGCGUUCAUAUAUUUUUUGUAAAAUUCAAAUUAGUUUUUUAAUUUAUUUUUAUUUUUUGGAGUAAUGGUCCCUUAAUUAAAAAUCUAUUACCAUUGGUCCCUCAACUUAUCAAAACGUCUAAAUGGUCAUUUUCGUCAACUUCGUCAAAAUGAGUUAUGUUGGAAUGACCAUUGCUACAAUUGGGUUAAAGUUGAGUGACCAAUGCUCCAAUUGGGUUAAAAUUGAGUGACCAAUGCUCCAAUUGGGUUAAAGUUGAUGGACCAUUUCUCCAGUUGGAUUAAAGUUGAGGAACCAUUGAUACAAUUUUUCUUGUUUCAUUUUCCAUAUUUGCCCCUUGAUUUAGCCUCAUGUGCAUGACACGCAACUCAUUUUGACGGAAGUUCUAACGGAGUUGACGAAAAGGAUCAUAGAUGCACGUUUUGAUGAGUUGAGGAACCAAUGGUAAUGAAUUUUAGUUGAUGGACCAUUGCUCCAAUUGAGUUAAAGUUGAGGAACCAUUGUUACAAUUUACUCUUUUUUUCCUUUUUAAAUUCCAAAGUUGAGGAAUCAUUUUUAAAUAAGUCUAUGAAUUCAGGUGCAUUUAUCCAAUAUUUUAAAUGAUUUUAUGAAAUUUCCAAAAUUUGAAAGAAGUUUUCUUUUUGUUUGUUUUGUUUUAACAAAAAAUUUGAAAGAAGUUUUGAAAGUUCAUAGAAAUUCGAGUGUAUUUAAUUAGGAUUUUUAAAAAAAUAUAAAACUUCUUAGAACCAAUAAAAGUUCAGGUGUCUUCAAUCAAAAACUAAUUUUAUAGAAUUUUCAAAUGUAAAAGAUAUUGAAGGAUUUGGAGGGGUUUCAUAGUGUAAUUCGGCAUGUCCCCUUAAGAUUUCAAAGGAAUUCAUUCAUAAUCUACAUAGAAUAUAUGAAGUCCAUUAAAACUCCAUCAAACUCGUAUUUUCAACUCUUUUAAAACCCUUCAAAACUCAAUUGAAUACACCCAUGGAUGGAGGAUUUUUACUAAUUUUGUUUGUUUGUAGUGCUUCUAAAAAAGAACUUCAAGAAAAACGUUUAUAAGCAUAAGUAUUUUCAAACAAGCCCUUUUGCAGUACUUUUAAAAUAACUAAGAGCAAGUCCACUCCUAAGGAUUUUGUGCUAGCACCCAGCGCAUUUAUCCACUCAAGUGAACAGUAAUAGACCAAAGCAUCUCCACCCUUAACAAAAAAUAGCCUAGUCCAUUUUAUUAAAAUAUAAUUAUUUUUUAUUAUAAAAUAAUAAUUUUAUUUUUAAUUUCUGAAUUUAUAAAAAAUAAAAUAAAAUAAAAUAAUAAUAAUAUCUAAAUUUAUUAAAAAAUUUAUGUAUUUUUUAAAAGUGAAAUUCUUAAUUUUUUGGGGGAAAAAACGUGGACCGUUGAUCUGUGAUCGGACGGUCCAUUUUAAAAGUCAAAUUUAAUUUUUUUUUACGGUUGGAAAUCCAAUGGCUAUGAGCAUGCCACGUCGCUGAUGGGCUCCGGAGCACAAGUGGGUUGACAGCCCUCUGCAGCCUUGACGCGCGAUUGUCUUGCACGCGCCAGCCAAAUAGGCCAACUCUUGGAUCUGUCAAAAUUGGGCUGGUCUGUUGCCUGGCAUGGGCUGGAGCAAAUUGACUUAGGGCCAAUUUGUUUUUUGGACUGAGGGCUGGGACAUUUUGUUCCGGAUGGACUUGCUCUAAAAGAACUUAUAGAUAACUAAAAGCGCUUCUAAUAACUUUUGACGUAAAAAAUAAAAGUUCUUUUAGGUGAACUGAUUCUAAUAUCAGAGCUUUCAAUAAAACCACUGAUGACCCGAGGUGGUUUUUAGAGAAACAUGUCCAAAUAGUCUCAUAAAUUCUUCGAAAACGUCAUAUAUCAUUUUCAAUAAGGUUAAAUUAGCUUUCAUUAGUCUUUCCCUAGAUAACGCCAAAUUUAACAACAUUCUCGAUCUCCGUCGCUUAUAAUGGAUUGUGCCUUAUUUAAGAUUUAGUUAACUUUCUUCCAGUUUUUUAGAUGCGACAAAUUUUUUUUUUUCUGUUGAAUCGCAUUUUCCUGUUGAUCUCAGCCCAGUUGCCCAAGGUCAUACGUGAGUCUUCGAGAGUGUCCAAGCAUCGAUUAAAGCACAUGUGCACGUUGACGAACUAAAGAUAACACUAAUUACGGAUACAUGAUACUUCAUCGUGAUUGUCUAGUGUUGCAUGUGCGUUAAGAGCGCAUAUUGUUUUAAAUGUCUUUAGCUCAAUCAUUGACCUCCGAAACACCCAUAGAAUUGAUUCAUGUUCUCAAAUUUUGUCGCUUACAUGACGUAGCCCGGAAAAUUUAUGUACUUUAUUUGUCUCAACUUUCCAAAUAUAACAAAUGUUCCUUUUUUAUAUUCUCUUUUCAUUUUUACCUCCAACUAAGCUCUCUUUAUUCACAGGUGACCGAGAGUCUGUCAUAGUCUCAUUGUUGGUACGUACAUAAUGACUAGGGGCUAUUCACAACAUGCUUCUUUAGAAAGCACUUAUGAACAUAAGAGUUUUUAGUAAACAUGCUUUUGUUAGAAGAAAAUCGAUAUUGGUUGGAAAAAUAAGGUCUAACUGCUCUAUUUUAAUAACAUAAAAAAAACAAUAAAUAAUUUAUGCAACCAAAUACCAAAUUUAAUGCAUACUCAUAAUGGAAAACAAUGUCAAAUGCACAUGAAUAUGUUUUUUUUUUUAACAAACAUUAUCAACACUAAGAAGGUGGGGGAGUAGGCUAAGUCUCACAAUGACUUAGCAAUAAUGUGGUUCAAAUUCACCUUAGACAAGAAUUGAACCUAAACCUGAAAUAUUGUCGAGGCAUGUUAGACAUUAUGUCUUUAAGACAAUUUUUACAGCCCACGAUAGUGCUCAUGGUUGAUUAGCACUUGUUUCCCAAGAUACAACGAUCACGUCUUUGUAAUAAUACCACUCCACAUCACAAGGUUCCAUUAAAUUACGAUUGUGUUAAACUCUCUCAGACUCACUUAAUCUCUAAGCAUGAUCUAACUCAUAUGCACUUGUAAUGACUCAGUGUGAUGAGGUCUUUAGAUAAAUGUGGAAGUGACUCUUCAUAAUAGUUAUGUAUUUCCUUGAAGAGUUAAUAAUUGCAUAUCUUUAAUUAAAAGGCAAGGGUUGCACCUACAACCUGUUCGUGAAAUCACAACACAUCAUAUAUAUUUUCCAUUCAAAUAAAACAAUCAAAUUCACUAUGAAUUGAAUUUUCCAACAACCCUUCACAUGAAUGGAAAUGAACUCAACACUAUGCAAAUGACAAUGCAGGCAUUGGAAAUAAUUCAUUAAUGAAAGAUACCGCAUCAGGAUAGGUAGCUUUUGGCCUUGAACCUUUCGUAAUGAGUUACUAUCGAAUUUACUUGGUUAAUUAAUGGACGCGUAUUUGUGUAAACCAAGACAAUGUUAAUCACACAAUAAAUUUCCUAACACCUCGUGGUUGCACUUUUAUGAUGAGUGCUCUAGAGAAUUAAGCCCUUUAGAAAAUUCUCAUAGAAACGGCUCCAUUCCUGACUUAAGAGAGGUGACUUCCCAUUAAGAGUAUUUCCCCACUUGGACCUCUAAGUAUUCCAAGCUAUAGGAAUCACUAAAAGCAUAAAACUUAAUCUAAUCUUGAUGGCAGACAACAUUGUUAUCAUCAAGGGACAUGGGGAUGAGAGUAUACAGAUCUUUGCAGUGUUAUUCCAAGUUGUCAUAAUUCAGUUGUCUCUUUUUUAUCCUAGAUCUUUGAAUCUCCAAUCAACUAGAUUGGGUUUCCACUAUAUAUAUAUGACUACUCUAAUUACGGGUUUUUAACUUAUUUCCCUCGAUGAUCCACUAGGUUGACUAUCUGUAACAUAUGACCAUCACAAACUUCAUAUCCAUGCAUAGAAAUUAAUUUCUUCCAAGAGUAGUUGUUUUCUAAAGUUAAGUCUUCCAAACAUAAUUGGGACUUACUAAGUAAUUUGCUAACACUUGCGAAAUCCCCCACAUUUAAGAUAUUUGUAGGAAAUUCUCUAUUCUUUCAAUACCUUAACAUUACUCAUUCUAUUUUGGCCAAAAAAAUUCUAUGAGAUAAUUAGUGAACUAAUCAACUAUAUUUUUAUUCUCUCUUUCAAAAAGAAAAUUACGUUUUCUGUUCUUCUUAAUUAAGGAUAAAUAAACACUCAAACAUAACUAAGCUACACCCCCACAAUUCCCUCAUAUUGUAACUGCUUUCAAUGCUAUUAACAUAUCAUUCUUCAUACUUAACAAGUAGGUUAACUAUAAAGAUAUUGUUGUUGAGUGUCAUUGUAAUACCUUUUUGUUGAGUGUCAUUGUAAUACCUUUCCCUUGAUUUAAGGGAGUAGACUUGCAUAAGUUAAGUUUAGAUAGGUUGGCAGCUUUAUUCCUUAUUUUUUUAUUUUCUUGUUGGCUACUUGCAGCAGCUUUAUUUUCCUCUUUCUUCCUACUACUUUCUCCCCAUUUUCCUGAUUUCUUGUCGGCUGCAUAUAGCAGCUUUCCCUCCCUCUUCUCAUAUAUAUCCGGUCUCCCUCUUGUACCAAUACACAUGAAAUACAUAUGAAAACUUUAAACCAGAAAUUCUAUAUGGUAUCAGAGCAGGUUUUGUAACCUGUCUCUGGCCAUUCUUCCCGCUGCAUCUUUCUUUCAAUCGUAAGCCAUGGCUGAAGAAGAUUCAAUAAACAUUGAGGGUGACAUCUCGCAUGCCUCUCUUUCAAAUUUCUCAGACGUCGAGGUUAACACCAAUCAACGUUUGUGUUCAGUUCUCUUGAAUGAGUUUAAUUAUCUCCCUUGGUCUCGAGCUGUGUCACUAGCUCUCGGAGGCAAAGGGAAAUUAGGAUUUGUAAAUGGAAGUGUGGAAGCUCCAGACAUCUCCUCCCCUUCAUACGGUGCAUGGCUUUGCAAGGAUCAACUUGUCAUGUCUUUGCUGCUCAACACCAUGGAGAAACAUGUUGCUGAGAUUUUUAGCUACUACAAUUCUUCAUGUGAGCUUUGGAAAGCAUUGCAAGAUAUGUAUGGAAAUCAAAACAACUAUGCACGUGUCUUUCAACUUAAGAAGGACAUAGCCAGUGCCCAACAAGAAGGGAAAGCAUUUGUUCAACAUCUUGGAAGCCUCAAAGCCAUAUGGAAUGAGUUGGAUGUAUACCUUCCACAUACCACAUAUCCUAUCAUUCUCCUUAAACGAGCCGAGGAAGACAAAAUCUACCAACUGUUGGGGAGUUUGAACUCCGAGUACGAGGAUCUAAGGAGUCACAUCUUGAUGAGUCAGGAGCUUCCCACGUUCAACAAUGUCUGUGCAACUAUCCAACGAGAAGAAGCAAGAAAGAAAGUGAUGAAUGCUGAGCAUAACUCGAGAUUGACUGAGACUCGUGCAUAUGCCUCAAACUACAAGACCUCAGAGGCAAAAGUGUACAAGGGUAAAAAUACACACCUGAAAUGCAAAUAUUGCAAUUUCGUUGGUCAUGUGGAAGACAAGUGUUGGGAACUUCAUCCUGAACUCAAGCCUAAGUUCAGCAAAGAUGGAAAAAUGAUACCAAGGUCCUCACAACAAUUUCAACCUCCUACAAGGCUCAACUUGCCAAUGCUCAUCCCUCUACUAUCUCACAAGGAUCCAUGGAGUUCACUACCAACCCAUUGUCACUUAUCAAUGAGUUUGCAGCUUACCUUCAAAGUAAGGAACACGAAGGAGGUUCACAAGCUCGAGGCAAUGAAAAGAGCAGUCAUACAGCCAUGUUGGGAUAGUUUGCCGGCUUUCUUGCUGGAAAUGAGAAAGUCCCAAAGGAUGAAGCACCAGGUAUACUCAAAGCUUUCACUACUGCCCUAUUAACUAGUACUGAAAAUGAUUGUUGGGUAAUUGAUUCAGGAGCCACAGAUCAUAUGACAAACAAAGUCACAAAUUUGAAUCAUUUUAAACGUUUUUUAAGUCCCUCACAUGUGUCUAUUGCAAAUGGAAAAAAUGUCUUAGUUUUGGGAAAAGGAGAAAUAAACUUACUCUCACACAAAACACCUUCCACUGCCUUAUAUGUACCAACCUUUCCUUUCCAACUUCUGUCAAUUGGAAAGAUCACAAACACCCUAAAUUGCCGUGCCAUUUUCUCACCAGAUAAUGUGAUGUUUCAGGAUGUUCUCACCAUGAAGAUGAUUGGUGAAGGGGUCUUUAUAAAUGGACUUUACUACCUGUGCAAGAAUACCUGUUUUACUCAGGCCCUUCAAGCUCAAUCAAAGUCCGUAGAUGAAAACCAACUUUGGCAUAAGAGAUUAGCUCAUCCCUCUGAAGUUAUCUUGUCUAAAUUAUUUCCAAAUUUUUGUAAAAAUCAUGUUACUUGUGAUACUUGUCAACUUUCUAAGUUUACUAGACUACCUUUUGAUAAUUCAAUGUCUAGGACAAGUAAACUCUUUGAAAUGAUGCACACCGAUGUAUGGGGACCAACAACUGAAUCAAUAGAAGGGUUCAAGUACUUUGUUCUAUUUAUCGAUGACUUCUCUCGAAUGAGUUUUGUGUACCUUAUGAAAUCAAAUAGUGAAGUUCAAACUAUUUUCAAAGAUUUUCAUAUGCAUGUUAAGACACAAUUUCAAUCAGACAUUAAGGUGUUAAGAUCUGAUAAUGGCACUGAAUUUCUAUCCAACAACAUGCUUCAAUACAUAAGUUCUCAGGGCAUAAUACAUCAAACCAGCUGUGUAGGGACUCCCCAACAAAAUGGAGUAGCCGAGAGAAAAAAUAGAGAUAUCUUGGAGAAGACUCGUGCCCUCAUGUUUCAUAUGCAUGUUCCAAAGAAAUUUUGGUCAUUUGCUAUCCUCACUGCCACCUACCUCAUCAACCGAUUCCCAAGUCGUGUGUUAGGGUUUAAAUUUUGGUCAUUUGCUAUCCUCACUGCCACCUACCUCAUCAACCGACUCCCAAGUCGUGUGUUAGGGUUUACAUCUCCCUAUGAAGUACUCAAGGGUAGGAAAAUUAAUUUGAUACACCUCAAGGUAUUUGGAUGUGUUUGCUUUGUUUACAUUCAAGCCUUGAACCGUGACAAAUUAGAUGCCAGGGCAACCAAGUGUGUGUUUGUGGGGUAUUCUUCCACCCAAAAGGGAUACAAGUGCUACAAUCCAACCACUAAGAAAUGUGUUGUGUCAAGGGAUGUGAAGUUUGAAGAAGAUUGUCCUUAUUUUACUCACAAGGGAAAUACUGCAAGUCAGGGGGAUGAACUGUUUGAAAUCUUUCCACUUCCUCAGAACAUUAAUAAUCCAGUAUUGGAAGAGAGUUCAGUUACUGUGAUACCAGAUAUUGAAGAAAUACAAACUGACUCAAUCACUGAUAGUAGUAUCCCGGCCAAUGAGAGAGACGAGGAGUCUCAUUCUGAUAAUUCACAAUCUCCUACAGAGCCUCAAGGGCUUAGAAGAAAUCCUCAUCGAACUAGAAAACCUCCAACUAGGCUGCAGGACUAUGUUACUUAUGCCUCACGGUAUCCUAUCAGUGAAAACAUCAGUCUUGGUAAGUUCUCAACAUCUCAUGCUACAUUUCUCUGUGAAAUUGAUAAACACAAUGAACCUAGAAGCUUUCAAGAGGCUUUUCUCCUCCCACAAUGGAAACAAGCCAUGGCAGAUGAGCUUAGUGCUCUAGAAGAAAAUAAAACUUGGAGCUUGGUUCAACUACCACCAGGAAAAAAGGCUGUUGGAAGUCGUUGGAUUUACAAGAUUAAAUUCAAGGCUGAUGGUUCUAUCGAGAGACACAAGGCCAGGCUUGUUGCUCGAGGUUUCACCCAAACCUUUGGGGUAGAUUACAAGGAAACAUUUGCUCAUGUGGCCAAGAUGAAUUCAGUGAGGGUUCUACUCUCAGUUGCAAUCAAUUAUGGGUGGACUCUUUAUCAAAUGGAUGUGAAGAAUGCUUUCCUUCAAUGAGAGUUACAAGAAGAAGUGUAUAUGCAGCCUCCUCCAGGUUUUGAUGGUAUUAAAGGCAACAUGGUUUGUAAGCUACACAAGGCAAUCUAUGGAUUGAAACAAUCCCCAAGAGCUUGGUAUGCCAAGCUCAGUUCAGUUCUAGAGAAGGCUGGAUUCCUACGAAGUAAUACUGAUUCCUCAUUGUUUGUAAGAACUGGCACCAGUGGGAAAUUGGUGGUGCUCAUCUAUGUAGACGAUCUCAUCAUCACAGGAGAUAGUGUUGCUGAAAUUGAGGCACUAAAAGUCUCGAUAUGCCAAACAUUUGCUAUCAAAGAUCUGGGGAAACUAAAGUAUUUUUUGGGCAUAGAAAUGGCAACCUCUUCAAAGGGGCUAUUUCUACAUCAACGGAAAUAUGUAUUGGAUCUUCUUCAGGAAGCAAAAAUGCUUGAUUGCAAACCUGCCAUCACUCCCGUGGAUUCUAAACUAAGGCUCAACACAGAUGGAGAAGCCAUGCAUAAUGUGAGUUACUAUCAACGAUUGGUGGGCAAACUUAUAUAUCUCACCAUCACACGUCUGGAUAUCACAUAUGCAGUGAGCCUGGUAAGCCAAUUUAUGCAUUCUCCUACAGUUGAUCAUCUUAACAUGGUUAAGAGAGUUCUGCGUUAUCUCAAGGGUUCGAUAGGGCAGGGAAUCAUCAUGCGUAACAACAACUCCACUGCCAUCAGUGGCUACACUGAUGUAGAUUGGGCAGGGAAUUCUCUUGAUAGGAAAUCUACCACGGGUUAUUGCACGUUUGUUGGUGGAAAUCUUGUCACUUGGAAGAGCAAGAAACAACAUGUGAACUUAUAUGGCUUAAAGGGCUUCUUUCAGACUUAGGGUUUACUAGCACUACUCUUAUGUCUCUUAUGUGCGAUAAUCAAGCAGCCAUGCACAUCGCUGCUAACCCUGUGUUCCAUGAAAGAACGAAACACAUUGAAGUGGACUGUCAUUUUGUUAGAUCUCAAGUGCAAACUCAAGUCAUUCAGACCAUCUUCACGCGAAGCAAUGAUCAACUGGCAGAUCUCUUUACCAAGGCUCUGACAUCUACUCCAUUUCAUCGUUUUUUGGGCAAGCUUGGCUCGAUUAAUCUACUCGAUCCAGCUUGAGGGGGAGUGUUGUUGAGUGUCAUUGUAAUACCUUUUUGUUGAGUGUCAUUGUAAUACCUUUCCCUUGAUUUAAGGGAGUAGACUUGCAUAAGUUAAGUUUAGAUAGGUUGGCAAAUAGGUUGGCAGCUUUAUUCCUUAUUUUUUUAUUUUCUUGUUGGCUGCUUGCAGCAGCUUUAUUUUCCUCUUUCUUCCUACUACUUUCUCCCCAUUUUCCUGAUUUCUUGUCGGCUGCAUAUAGCAGCUUUCCCUCCCUCUUCUCAUAUAUAUCCGGUCUCCCUCUUGUACCAAUACACAUGAAAUACAUAUGAAAACUUUAAACCAGAAAUUCUACAGAUAUGUUCCAUUUAUCUUCACUUGUUAGGGAUUUUUCCUUGGGACUUAUCUAGUUCCCAUGAUUACCUCACUCUAGAGUACUUAAUCCAUUCAAGAAGACAUCUGCCCUCAUAAUGCAAUGGUCAUCUUUCCAAGAUAAUGCUAACUCAUACAAAUGAGUUCGAACUCCUAUAUAUGGUCGUUACCAUAUCAAAAGCCUCAUUUUUAUCAAAGGUAUAAGUGCUUUAUUAAAAAUACUUGAACUACUUUUUGAAGAAAAAAAAAACAUAUAUAGAACUUCAAAUUCUUUUUGUAACAUAUAAGCAUAUUGUUAAAGCUGCAUUUAGUAAUUUUAAAACCACUUAGAGACAAAUUCUAACUAGAGUGUACACUGCAUCUUUCAAAUAUUACAUGUUAUAUAUGAAUCUACAUGCACCAAAUAUGUCGAAUGAACAAAAACAAUGACCAAAGUAAGUUAAGAAACAAGCAAGCAUAAAGGACACACGAUAUGAUGUGGCUCACUCCCAAUAUUGGACUAUGUCCUCAGGGCGUUGUGAUGAUUCUACUAAGCUAGAGAUUUUUCAAUGUGACCGGAACGCAAGGUGGUACACCACAUGUCACUAUACAAAUAGUGGGAUAUGUGUGUUAAAGUUAAUAAAUUAAAAAAAUACAAUUUUCCUCCACUUAUAUAAAAACAAGUAGUGUACCAUCCGUGUUCCGAUCAUAAUGAAUUUUUUUUCCUACUAAGCAGACAUGAAAGGCGAUUACACUUACAAAGAUGAAAUAGCAUCUUCGAACCUUCUCAGCAAUCAUUCUAUUACGUACAUAGAUUGUCAACUGUAGAACGAAAUGCUCGCACCUUCAAUAGAACCAUCGCCAAACCUACAAGACAGAAGAAAAACCCCUUGACUUUCAAGACUCGGUAUUUCUUCCCCCUCCUAACGAGUGCAGUUACUAACUUAAUUGCAAUGGAGUCUUUGUAAAAGGAUGAUAAUACCCAAGGUCUUAAAUGCCGAUAAUAUCGGCGAUAUUUCACCGAUAUUAUCGGUUUUUCGCGUUACCGAUAUUUUAAUGGUUAUCCAAUUAGUUUUCGUCAUAAUAUUACGAUAUUAUCGAUAAUAUCAAUAAUAUCACGAUAAUAUCGAUAAUAUCACGAUAUUACCGAUAAUAUUGCGAAAUUUUGGAUAUGUGCAAAUCAGAUAAGAACGCCGGAGCUUCUACCGAUAAUAUUGCGAAAUUUUGGAUCUGUGCAAAUCGAAUAAGAACGCCGGAGCUUCUACAGCUUCGGCCGACUGUAAAAGAGCACCCUAGACUCCGAUCUAGGUAUCAAAAUGAAAUAGAAGAUGAGAGGAAUGCUUUUAUAACUUCCGUUUGCCGUGAAACGGUCAAAAGUGUUCGGAAAGUUCGUCGACACCCACGACCUCGCCGGAGAUGGGUGUGCCUAUUCCCGAGCCGAUUUCAUCCCAAAAACCUUGCAAAAACACAAGAUAGAACUUCAAUUUCACAUCUAAGCUUUGAUCUAGAACAGAAAGAGGUAAACCCGAAGCUUACCUAACCGAAGAAAUUCAAGAAACUUGCCGGAGGGUUCCUGCGUUCGCCGAGUUGCAGAGACGAGAAGGAGAGGGAGAAAGACGAGGUGGGUGUCUUCCUGAAGCAGGUGCGAUGGUGUGCGUGUGUAUAUGUGGGUCUCGGGGCAGAGAGAAAGGAGAGAGAUGAGAGUUUUGAGAGAGAGAGACGGCGCCGACGAGGCGAAAGACGCAGACGAGGAGAAAGACGAGGGAGGAGCAAAAGGCCAUGUGGGAGAAAGAUCGAGAGACUGAGGUCUCUGUGCGUGUGUGUGGGAGAAAGGAGAAGAGAGAUCGAGAGAUCUCUGUGUGUGUAUGUGUGGGAGAAUGGAGAAGGGAGAGAAGAGAAAAGGAUCGAGAGAGAAAGACUGAGGUCUCUGUAUGUCUGUGUGUGUGAUGUUUGUGUGCGUGUGUGGUGGCGUGCCUGUGUGUGUGUGUGUGUGUGUGUGUGUGUGGUUCCUGUCAGGACUCACUCAGGAAGUUGCUGACAACUUUUACAAUUACUUUUGACAAUUUCAGACCAUGGACAAAAUAAUGGCGAUUUCAUUGAAAAGAAUCUAAAUAAUUCAAAACCCAGACAACUUUUACAAUUAUAACUUGUACAAUUUCAGACCAUGGAUGGUGGUUUCAUUCAAAACCGUAUGCCACUGUGAUAUUCUUUCACAUUCUCAGAGGUGGAGUAUCAGAUCAUCACACAUUUUUUGACCUUUCGAAAAUUAAAACCUCUAUUACACAUUUUCGUUUCUUCUUCUUCCCUUACCCCUUUCAGAGCAAUUCCAGAUUCAUUCUAGAGCUUCAACACAAAAGGUUCCAUAUUUAAGGUAAGUUUACAAACUUAUAUUUAUAUUAUUGUAAUUUAUACAACAACAAAAAAAUUUGUGUUGACUUGUAUGUUAAUUUUUUUAAGUAAUUAAGUAAUGUUAUAUAAUUAUUCCCUAGGAUAAUUUUAAUACGUUUAAUGUUAUUUAUUAUUUUAUUAAUAUUAGGUUUUAUUAUCAAAUUGGAUUAUUAUUCAUUAAUAUUAGGUUUUUUUAUUAUCAAAUUGGAUUAUUAUCAAAUUGGAUUAUUCAUUAAAUUGUAUUAUUAUUAAAUUGGAUUAUUAUCAAAUUGGAUUAUUAUUCAUUAAUAUUAGGUUUUAUUAUUCCAUAUUAUUUUUAUAAUUACUUAAAUUUUUACAAUCAUUUUCUUUACUUCGUAUUUAAUUAUUUUGUAUAAUAACUUUAUUUAGGUUCUCUUAUAUAACCAUCAUCACUACUAUAUUUUUUGGCCAAAAAAAAUUUGUCUAAUUUUCAUGAAAAAUAAAUAUAGGUAUGUUUAACAUGUCUAGUGGAGUUACUAAACGUGAUCCAACUUGGGAACAUGGAGACCCAAUAGACGGAAACAAACAUGACACAAUUUGCAAAUAUUGUGGUCGGGUAAUGAAGAGUGGCGGAGUGACACGACUUAAAUACCAUCUUAGUGGAUUAGAUCCAGCAAAAAAUGUCCAACGAUGUGAUAAUGUCCCCCCAGAAGUGAAGGCAUUCAUCACCACAUUAUUAAAAAAUAAAAAACAGCAGAAGGAAAAGAUAACACAUGGAAUGGAAAAUAUUCGAGCUGGGCUACGAGGAGAAGUCAUUGGCCAAGCAGUUGACAGUGAUGAUGAUGACGAUGAGGACGAAUGUGAUGAUGACAUGGGACCUGAAGAAUGACGCAGUUUGAAACAAGCAUUACGUGCCUCCAAACAGUCAACAUGGGAAAGAGAACACCUUCAUAAAAUUCCUAAUAGAGCACAAGGUUCCGGGACAAGUGGUGGUGCACAAAUGAGACGGGGAGGCAGUGUUAGAGAAUCACAACCAACACCACCAAUAGCCCCAAGUUUAUAUAAGUCAUCCAAAGCACGUUAAAAGAUUGUUUGGAGUUAUUUCACUGGAGGUAAUGUGAAGGAGGGAAUGGGGCGUCUAAUUAGCAAGUUCUUUAUCUAUGAAAAUGUCCCUGCUGAGAAGACAUCAUCACAUCAUUUCAAAAAUAUGGUAGUGGGAUGUCAACAGGCCGGUGUUGGAGUACAACCUCCCACUCCCUAUAAGGUAAGAAACAAAUAUUUGGAUAUAGAGUGUAAAGACAUUUGCGAGUACGUUAACAAGUUGAGGUCAAAGUGGGAAACUAAUGGUUGCACAAUCAUGUGUGACGAAUGGACUGGCCCGACCAUAUUGUUUAUCAUAAACUUCAUGGUAUACUCCAAAGGAAAGAUAAUUUUUUUAAAGUAUGUUGAUGCUUCAUACCAUAUAAAGAACUACAAGUAUAUUUACAAAUUAUUGAGGGAUGUAAUCAUGGAGGUGGAAGAUCAUAAUGUUGUCCAAGUCAUGACUGACAACGGUUUUGCAUUUGUCAAAGCUGGAAAAAGUUAAUGAAGCAUCAUAAUGUGUUUUAGGGGUGGGUUCAAAAAAUCGAAAACCAAACCGAAAAAAACUGAGGCCGAAAAAAACCGAACCGAAACUGCCAAACCGAACCGAACCGAAUCUGGUUGGUUCGGUUUCGGUUUUAAAGGUCCGGAAACCGAACCGAACCGAAAAAAAAAAUCAUAUAUAAAUACUAAAAAACAUGUUGGCCGCGUCAAGGUUUGAACCCCUGACCUGCGGGUUGGGGUAAGGUGCUGCUAGCCAACUUAACUGUAGGCUUUGUGUUGUUAUAAUUGUACCAGUAAUAUAUUUAUAGGUUUCUUAUAUUUAAUGCUUUAUAAAAUUUCUUAACUUUACAAACCCUAGCCGUCUCACUCCCAUUUCAUUUCAGAUCUCAAACACUUCUUCCGUCCGCUGCUUCCUCAGUCUCUCUCUCUCCCUUUCCCUCUCCUUCCUCUCUUCCUCCAAAUCACUUUCUCUCUAGUCUUCUCAUGUCCUCUUCACGGAUUCCUUCUUCCAAAUCAUGAUUUUCCCUCGCCUCUUUCGAGACCUGACGAAAAGAUGAACUGUUAGAGCUUGCAAUGAUCAUGGCGAUUUCGCUGCAGCAAAGGUUGUGGGUUUUAUUUAUUUGUCAGUUCAUGGGUUUUUAAUUUUAUGAUCAUGGCGAUUUUAUGGUUACCCAUUUGAAAUUUAUGUAAUUUAAGGUGAAAAAGUUUGUAUUUUUCUUUUAAUAUGUUUCGGAAUUUUCUAGAUCUAUUGUGGACUUGACUAGGAAUUUGAAUGUGGGCAUUGGGCAUGCGAUAUUGGAGUCCGAUUAUGACAUUUAGACGAACCUAUUUGCUCUUUUUUUUUGUUUCGAUCUGCAUCUUAAUUUGUUGAAUUAUUUCAUGAUUUUGUAAAUUUUAAAUUUUUAGAAUUUUGAAUCCUGGCGAUGUACUUGAAGAAUAUAUGUUUCUGUAUUUGCUUAAGUUUUGAAAAUUUGAACUCGAUCUGCUUGAUCAUAAGUAGUUGAAUUACUUGAAUAUAUUCGGGAUUUUGAGGUGAGAAAAUGUAUAUGUUUGGUUAGUGAGAAAAUGCAUGAAGGUGAAAGGUUAGUACCUAAAAUUGCUGAGUUCAAGUUUUUCGGUUUGUUGUAAAGUUUUAGCAAAGACCCAUUGGGAUUUUCAUAUGGUUCUUCCUCUGUGUAGUCUUAAAAAAGCGAAUUAAAUUCUUUUGCGUCUCUUAUUUUGUUUAUGAUGGAAUAGUUAUAUGAUUUGUACUUUUGGAGAAGAAAAAAUUGGGAAGAGGCUAGAAAAGUCUUAACUAAAGGAUUAGAGAUUUGUGAUGUAGAAGAGGUAAUGGAAGACGAUGCUUGGCGGAGCAGGCUCCAUUGAUAUAUGAGAACUGGGAGAUUUAUUCCUUCCAUUUACAUCAUUAAAAAAAAAAAACUGAAAAAAACCGAAACCGAACCGGAAAAAACCGAAACCGAAAAAAUGGACCGAACCGAACCGAACCGAAAUUUCGGUUCGGUUUCGGUUUUGGCAAAAAACCGAACCGUUUUGAACUGAACCCAGCCCUAAUGUGUUUUGGACAUCAUGUGCAGCACAUUGUAUUGAUCUCAUGUAUGAGGAAAUGGGGAAGAGAGAGAAUGUUGCUACUGUGGUAAAAAGAGCUAGAACAAUCACAAAUUAUAUUUACAAUCACGGUUGGUUGUUGGCAAAGAUGCGUGAAUUUUGCAAAUGAGAAAUUAUUCGUCCAGCUACCACUCGAUUCGCCACCAACUAUAUUGCAUUAGACAGCCUACUUAAGAAGAAAGUAGGGUUGAAGAAACUAUUCACUAGUGAUGAUUGGGCCAACCAAAAUUUGAGCCGUUCAAAUGCAGGUCGUAUGGUGGAAAGUAUAGUGUUUGAUCAUGCUUUUUGGACUCAAUCAGAACAUGUGUGCCAAGUGUUUGAACAUUUUUACAAAGUUUUACGGAUCGUUGACACAAAAGUGUGUCCUACUAUGGAGGCAAUAUAUGAGUUGAUGUGUGUAGUGAAGGAUGAAUUGGAACGAAAACAUGGUGCAAGGUGGGUCAUAAAGAUAAUUGAAGACCGAUGGUAUAAAACAUUAUACCACGAUUUGCAUGCAGCAGGUAUACAUUAUGUCAUAAUUUGCAAUUCAUUUCCUUAGUUGCAAAAGUAUUAUUUCUCUUAUUAGAGUAUGUGUUUCUUUGAACAGUAUAUUAUUUGAAUCAUCGAUACCAACACAGACUCGGUGUUGGAGAUGAUGGUACCCUUAUACGUGUUGUACAUAAUGUAUACUCUAAAUUAGACCACGCAUCACUAGCAGUUGGCCAAUUUGGAAAUAAGGUACACAAUUACUUAAAUUAUAAUAAUUACUUUGUUGGAUUAAACUAACACGAUUUAUUGAAUUCAGCUAACAUGGUUUAAAGAUGCAAGAAGAACUUUUGGAGAACCAACAUCAGUUGCUGCUCGAACAAAAAUGUCUCAUAGUGAGUUAAACAUAUUUCACUAUCAGUUUAUAAUAGAAUUUUUUGGAGUUAUUAGGCUUAUCAACAUUGUUUUUCAUAGUAGAUGAAUGGUGGAUCAUGUAUGGGACUGAUGCACCAACUGUGAGAAAGUUAACAAUCAAAGUAUUAUCACAAACAACUUCCUCAUCUGCUUGUGAAAGAAAUUGGAGCACAUUUGCACUCAUACACACCAAGCAAAGAAAUAGGUUGGAAAAAUUAGUUUAUUGUUACUACAUCAUGAAGCUUCAAAUUCGAGAUAAGGAAGCAGAAAUAGAUCAUGUUGACCGUGGUGACUCACUAGAUGUGUUUGAUAUUGUUGCUGAAGAUGAUGAUACAGAGGGUAACCAACUUUAUCAAUGGAUUAGACCUCUUCAUUUAGAUGAUGAUGAAGGCAACCCAUCUUAUAGAAUUGCUGAAGAAGCACGUAAUGAAUGGAUAAAUGUAGAAAGAGUAUUAGAGGAGAAGGUGAGAUCUAGCAGCGCUGACUCUUUGGAAGAACUUUUGCGCCCAAGACUAAGAAACACUCGAAUUCCACCUUCUUCCAAUCCUUCACAACCACAACAUCGUGCUGAUACUAAUGAUAGCUCUAGUACAAGAUUAGGAAACUCACCUACCACCGGAGGUGGGAAUGAUGAAGGAUAUAGUGGAGCUGAAGGUAGUGGUGGUGGAUAUGGAAACUAUGUUGGACCACCUCCCGGAUUUAUGAGCCCCUUCACUGGUGAGGCAAACUUCACGCAUGUAACACAGGAUGGGGACCAUGGCAGUAGGCGGGCAGGACCAGGAAUUGGUGCCAUAGGGAAGGACUAUACUCGUAGAGAAAGAGGCAAGGGGAUUUUGUCAAGUCAAGAAGAUGACUCGUUAUCUAUAACUUCGGACUUUGUUGGAGUGGGAAGUAGUAACUAUGGUUAUACUCAUAACCAACCAUUUCCCUACCUUUCAUAUCCCAUUCCUGUUGGGAUGGAAUCGAGCGACUCAUGGAAACAAUCCGAGACUCAAUUUUCAAAUGAUUUUGCUUAUGGACAACAUCAACCAAACCUGGAUCCAUAUGGGUGGCAUGUUAACAAUUACAUGCAAAACUAUUUUGGGGAUUUAUCAUUUGAUGACUACUCUUCACAAUACACUCACUCUAUACAUAAAGAUAAUGAAGAUAGUGAAAAAUUUGAACCUCAUAGGAACUCUAUGUGGUAAAGUCACUCAUGUAUCUUACCAUGCAAUGUAUAAAGUGUAAAAUAUUGUACUAAUUCAUUAUAUAUAAAUGAUUAUGGUGUGUUUAAACUUCUUUCAUUAAUAAUUACAUAUUUUCUACACUCACAAUGUUUGCCAGUUCGCUAUAUAAUCAACUUAAUCAAUUAAAUUCAUCAUGCAAUGCAUUUCCUUCCAAUUUUUUGUGAUAAACUAAUAGAUAAUUGACUAAAUAAACAUCCUGCAAAGUUUCAAUAAAAAUUUCCAAGUUUUUCUUACAAUUUCCGUGGUUUCCAUAUUAUUUUUAUCGAUAUCGAUAAUAUUCUGAUAUUUCCAUCGAUAUUUCCGUGUUUUUAGAUUACCGAUAUUUCCGAUAUCAUCGAUAUUUAAUACCUUGAUUAUACCCUUUUAGCAAGAAAAAUUGACGUUCAAUAUAAAUCCUCACAAAAUUUUCCUUCCAUGUCUAAGUGACGAAAAUGAUUUGCGAAGGACAAUCUGGGACAAAUGUCAAAUAGAACUGUCCAGUGACGGAUAAUGACAUGAUACCUCAACCAUCAUUUAUCAUAAUCAAGAUUAUUGUGUAUUUGGCUACGAAUUAGGUUUUUUUUUUUGCAACUAAUUCAACUCAACACUUGUCGAAAUUUCCACCCUCCGUCUAAACCAUUUCCUAGAAACACAUUAAUCGUAUACACAAAAAAAAAAAAAAAUCAGUACAUUUUAGGGAUAAAGAUGCAUGGUGUCAAUUUAUUGAUAUUUGAUAAAAAGAAAUGAAAAGAGAAUUAUUAGUCAGGGGUGAAAUUUUUGUCGUUAUAUUGUAUUAUAUCAUUGCAAUUAGGGGUUGGUUUGAAAAACCGAAAAAAACUGGACCGAGACCAAAAAAACCGAACUAAAGCUGUCAAACCCAACCGAACCAAAUUUGGUUAGUUUGGUUUCGGUUUUUGAGGUCCGGAAACCUAACCGAACUGAUUUAUAUAUUUAAUUAUUUUUUAUAAUAUUUUAAUGGGUAAAAGACUGUUUGCUACCUUCAUGUUUCGUGGUUUUCAACAUUUAGUACAUCAAGUUUUUUUCGUCUCAGAUUCAUACCUAAAGUGUAAAUUUUGGGACAAUCUCAUACAUCCGUUAGUCAAACUGUUAAGUUUUCUGUUAACUGUGGCGUGGCGCACUGACUAGGCGCCACGUGUCAACCGAGUUUUUUUUUUUCUUUCUUCUUCCUCCGAAGAAGAAGAAGAAGAAGAAGGAAGAAGAAGGAGGAAGAAGAAGGAGGAAGAAGAAGAAAGAAAAAGAAAAAAAAAGAAAAAAAAAACAAACUUCCCCAGAUUUCGGAGGAAAAAGAAGAAGAAGGAGAAGGAAGAAGAGGGAAGAAGCGGAAGGAAGAAGGAGGAAGGAAGAAGGAGAAGGAGGAAGAAAAAAAGAAAAGAAAAGAAAGUUGCAGUCGGAGGAAGAAGAAGAAGAAGAAGAAGGAAGAAGAAAAGAAAAGAAAAAAAAAAAAAAAACUCGGAUGACACGUGGCGCCCAGUCAGUGCGCCACAUCACAGUUAACAGAAAACUUAACAGUUUGACUAACGGAUGUAUGAGGCUGUCUCAAAAUUUACACUUUAGGUAUGAAUCUGAGACGAAAAAAACUUGAUGUACUAAAUGUUGAAAACCACGAAACAUGAGUAAACAGUCUUUUACCCUAUUUUAAUUAUAAAAAUCAUAAAAAAUUUGAAAAUUCCCCCCCCCCAACAGUCUUUUACCCUAUUUUAAUUAUAAAAAUCAUAAAAAUUUUGAAAAUUCCCCCAACAAUCAGCUGGCAGCUAGGGGUGGGUUCAAAAAACCGAAAACCAAACCGAACCGAAACCGAAAAAACCGAACCGAACAAAAAAACCGAACCGAAUUGAAAAAACCAAACCGAACCGAAUUCUUUUGGUUCGGUUCGGUUUUAGUGAUCUAGAAACCGAACCAAACCGAACCGAACCGAAUUAAUUAAAUUAAUUUUUUUAUUUAAUUAUUUGUUUUGGAUAUUAUUUUCUAAACCCAAUUUGUAAGUUAAAAUAUGCUAAACCCAAUGUGUUGCCAAACUUUAAGCUCAAAAUAUUAAAAAAAAGUCCUAUAAAAACUUUAAACCCUAACCUAUUAUUUAUCCCCCAUAUAAGGUUCCGGAGCCAAACCUCAUCCUGAAGUACCUACAUCCAUCUCCAUAGCACUGUCUACUUUUGUCUCAGCUUUCUUUUCCAAAUCUACUCUCAUAUAACAUGUAACAGAAUCUAUAAACAUUUAUUUCGGGUAGAUUACUUAGGGAAUUUGUGAUGGAAAAGAAUCCAACACACACUAAAAUAAAUCCACCCACGCAUUUCUUUUACUAAUCAAGUUGUCAACAUGCAGUUACAAGCAAACAACCCUGAUCUUUGAACAACAUCAUACAAUUUAACUUUUCUAAGUCAUUUGUACGAUUUUUGUGUUGUGAUGUUGUUAGUUUGGACUUUGGAAGACUUGAUUGAUGAUUUUAGUUCAACUUUAAAUGUUUAUUUUCAUUGUCUUUGAUUAUAGUUAGAAUGCUUGUGUUAUGAUUGUGUUGGAUACGUUAAAAUUUAAAAUUUCAAUGUUUUUCAUUUUUUGAAAGAAAAAAAAAACAAAAAACCGAAACCGAACCGAAAAAAACCGAAAAAAAAAUGAACCGAACCAAACCGAACCGAAAUUUCGGUUUGGUUUCGGUUUUGGCAAAAAACCGAACCGAAUUAAACCGAACCCACCCCUACUGGCAGCAGUGUUCGAACCCCUGCGGUUUAGCUUGAAAUGCUUCGCUCAACCCAACUCGACAAGCGGUUCUGUUUUGUAAAGAUUGUACGACUAUACUAUUUAUAGGGAUUGAAAUCUAUACUCUUUUGUGGAAUUAGAAAUUAACAAGGUCCUAGCCACUGGAAUUAGGGCAGCAGCCGCACCUUUUUCUUUUUCAUUCCCCUCUUCUCUCUCUCGUCCCCUCCAGACUCCUUCCAUGUCCCUGCCUCCAAUUUCUCCCUUCUUCUCCAUAACCCGCAGCCAGCCCUCCCUUCACGAUUGGUCGCUCCAUUUCUUGAUCUUUUCACUCCAGGCUAAGAUCCCCAGUCUUUCUUAUUUAUUUUGUCGAUUUAUGGGUUUUUUUAGGGUAAAUUCCAAAGAAGGAGAUUGAAAUUUUAGUGUAAAUUUAUGGGUUGUUGUUUUGGUUCGUAUUGCAUAUCUGUUCGAUUUUUGUGUUGUGAGUUUGUUAGUUAUUUGAAUUUCAGAUGAAUGAACGUAAUAUUUGAUUAAUGCAUGCAUAAUCGGAGAAAACUUAUGUUUCAGAAAUUGUAAUAUUUGAUUGAUUAUUCUUUGUCUUGAUUGAAGAUUUUGAUGGUUUUCUGGGAUUUUGAGAACCUGUUUGUGGAAUUUGAUGGGUCCAAUUCUUCAUUUAUUGAUGGAUGGGAGUGAGGGAAUUGCAGUUUAGAGGUGUGUUCUUAGCUUUUUUGGUAUUAUUUUUGCAAAAUUGAUCAAGUAAUUAAGUCAUUAACUGCAUCAAAAUGAAUGGAAAAUCGGAGAUAGGGACAUGACUGUUCUUUUAUGUUCUUUCCUUGUUGGUCAUACAUGUUGAUUUUGAUUUCAUGUUAAAGUUACUUUAGUAUAAGAUUUCAAUUUUUUUCAUUCAAAAAUUUCAGAUUUCAAAAAACCGAUCCGAAAAAAACAAACCGAACUGAAUCGAAAUUUUGGUUUGAUUUCGAUUUUGGUAAAAAAUCGAACUGUAUCAAAUCGAGCCUAACCUUAAUUGCAAUAACUCAUCAUAUCAAUUUUGUGCCGAAUAUUAAUGAGACGAUAAUUGUAUCAAAUCGAAUCAUUUGGUAUGGUAUUUGUUUGGGAUAAAAUCUGAACUUUGGGCCAGAGAGAAAGUCGGCCCAAACCCAAGGCCCAGAGGAAAACUUAGGAGGCAGGAAAGAGGCUUUCGGCUGGGCACAAGUUACAAAGGCCACCUGCUUACCUGCUCAAAGACCACAGGGGGUAGGCUAUUCAGUCACUACACAGCCCAAUAAAGUACUUUAUUGGUGGCAUUCAUGUAAAAAAGCUAGUGAGUCAUCACCAAACCGCAUUCGGGCACCGCUAUUGCUACAGGAACCCAAGCUGAAGUCGUCUAUAAAAGGAGGAAGAGAAGACAGAAUUAGAGACACUCAAACAAACAAACAAAAGCCAAAACUCUGCUCAAGCCAGAUUUGCCUUCAACGAAGCUGUAGUCAGCACAAGCCUUCAUCCCAUUCGGGAUAAACCUUCCCAAACCCCUGUAAUAGCUCUGCUACCUUGUUCAUGGUGGUAUCGAUUCAUUUUGUAUCCUCUUCUCCCCCGUCAACCCCUCUAAAAGCUUUCAGACCUCUGACAGAGCCACAAAGAUAGAUUUUGUAAGAAGUUCAGCCUUGGCCGAUAAGGUUCAAACUUACCCGACUAUCUUUGCUCUGUCUUUGUCUUUUCUUUCUUUUAAAAGCACAAUAACAUGUUAUAUAUUCCCAGUUAUAUACAAGUUAUUUCUAGCAAUGUCAUAAUGAAAAUGAGUCUUCAGCACUUGAAUCCGAUCUGAAUCGCGUCAGAGUUCAAAUCAGAUCUAAGUCUUAAGCCCGGGGGGCAUGUAAUUUAAAGAUCAGUUUAAAAGUCCUUGGCCUCAAGGCAUAAAAAAGAACUCUAUGUGGACUCAACCCAUCCAUGACAAUCCUUGAUAAGCGAGAAGUCCGAAGUUACUUGGGGCGCAAGUAAUCAAUCUAUUUCUCCGUUUUGUUGCUAUUAUAUCUUGAUUCGUAGAAAAGGCUUAAGCAUGAAGUGAAUUCUGAUAGAAAGCCUCAAGGCCUACACCUAAGGCCCCACGAAGGCAUCUAUUUAGCUUCAUUUCAUGUUGCGGUCUAGUUGGUCCGAGUAUAAGGAUUAACUCUGAUGGGAAGCCUCAAGGCCUAUACCUAAGGCCCUACAAAGACACUCAUUUGGGUUCGUCCUACCUCUUGGAUUCAGAUAAUCAAAGGUAUAAUAGUGAUAAAACUCUGGCAACCAUAAAAGACCAAAUAUGAUACAUCCAAGCGCUGGUUUAGUUUGACAGGAAGCCUCAAGGCCUAUACCUAAGGCCCCACAAAGGCACCUGUUAUAUCUAACUUGGUUUCUCGGGCGUAUACAUAUUCAAUCAAAGCUUAACACCCAUUCAACAUCUACCAUACUGAAGAUGGUAGUGGCACGCCUGAGCACGACAAAGUUAAUCUUGAUUGUGAGCCUUAAGGCCUACACCUAAGGCCCCACAAAGGCACCCUUUCAAAUUAACUCUGUCCUUCUCUUUCAGAACUGCCCGACGAGCCUUGCCCGAAGUGUGUCUUGCCCGACCAAGAUCUGCCCGACAAAGGCUUGCCCGAGCGAGCCCGAGAAGAAAGCAGAAGUACGACAGAUACCCUCAACCGACGCCAUUCUCCCAGGGGAGCUGUGUGCUCGUCCGCCAGGAGAUUCCUGCGACGAACAUAGUUUUGGCACGCCCAGUGGGACAAGAAACAGCUACACUUCUAAGAUCUUACAUUUCCAAAAAGAGAAGCUAUAAACUUGCCAAAAAAGAAGCCAAGAAGGAUCUUUUCCAGAUGACAGAACAAUCAGAAAAUCCUUUAUCCCCAUCCGGACAGGUGGUCUCAGGUAGUUCGACUGCAUCUGAGAAAUCACAGGGGAAAUGGAUUAAUGAAGAACUGCAAGCUACAAUGAUCCAAGUGUUGAAAAGCAUGGAAAGAAUUUCCUUGAAGACUAAGGGAGAAGUAAGCAGACUCUGCAUGCUUACAGGAAAUCUACAAAGGAGGCUGGACUUGGAGUUCUCUACUCCAAAGGGUGCUCAAGGAAGUGGAAUGAGUCCAGUUGUUAUAAGAAGUGAGCCAAUCAUUCCUUUGUUUCCACUACUAGAAGAAGAAAAGGAUAAGGGAAAGAAGAAGGUGAUACCUGAAGGAAGUCAAGCAGUGAUGGAGUCAGCUUCAGAAAAGGAGUUUCCCAGCUUCCCAUUAUUAUCAUUUAAUAAUAGGAGGCAGAGCGAACAAGAAAGAAUGAAGUUUGGACUGCCAGCCACGGCUGGAGAAACUAGCUGGAAAGAAACAACCACUACUACGUCAGAUAAACCUCUACCUUAUAGGCCACCCCCGAUGGUCAACAAAGGUGGAGGAUCUAACUGGAGAAAUCUGAAACCAGGAGGGAAGCAAACGCGGGCAAUGACCGGAGUCCGAAGAUUGAGUCAGCUAUCCAUGGCCAGAAUGAUAAUUUAGCUACUCAGCAACUAAGAGAAGAAUUGGCUGAGUUAAGAAGAACGGUGAUUCAAAACGCCCAGCCUCGAGUUCGUCCAGUAUUCAGGGUUACCUACCAGAAGCCAUAUCCUGAAUAUAUCGAUGAGUUAAAUCCAUUCCCUCUUAAUUUCAAGAUGCCCGCAUUCCCGACUUUCACAGGGGAAGAUAGCAGUGUGUCCUCCAGAGAUCAUAUUUUCAAAUUUUCUAAUCACUGUGUGGCGUAUGAGGACAAUCCAAACUACAAAUUGAGGUUGUUUGGAAAUUCACUAGCAGGAUUGGCAUCUCAAUGGUAUUCUCUAUUACCCCCCAAUUUCAUUGCUAACUGGGGGCAAAUGGAGAUGGCUUUCCAUGAACAGUUCUACAGGAUAGAGCCAGAGCUCACCAUUAAUGAUCUGGUAGAAGUGAAACAAUAUGAUCAUGAGUCCACCGAAGAUUUUAUGAUAAGGUUCAGGAGGACAAGGAUGAGAUGUCAGUUCCCUGUCAACCAGGCACAGCUCAUAUCCAUUGCUCAAAGGGCUUUAAAAUUACCUUUGAGAAAAAGGUUCUAUGAUGCACAGUUUAAUGAGCUACAAGAGUUGGUGAUUGCUGCUACUAAGUAUGAGAGGCUGUUACAGGAGGAACAACAGGUAAAACAUACUUCCAAAACUCCUCCGUUCUACAAAAAUAAAGCUACUAUUCACCAUGUAGAGGUAGGGGAAGCCGGACCCGAAUGCAAAGAUGAUCAUGAGGAGAAGAGUAUAGAUGUGUGUGCUGCUGAGAUGACCACACCCUUCAAGCCAUUGACGAUCAAAGGGUUAGUCCAACCAGUCAAGGACCAGAAGAUCGUGAUGAAUGAUGGUGGGUUCGUACCCAUGAAACCCCCAAAGUAUCAAAGUUAUUCUUUCGAUCUAACCAAGGCGCCAGAAAUCUAUGAAGAACUUGUGCGGGCAAGAGUCAUUUUGCCCGACAGCACCAAAAAGAUGCCCAAGCCCGAGGAACUCAGGGGGAAGAAGUAUUGUAAGUUGCAUUAUACCUUCAACCACUCUAUAGUCAAUUGUGUCCAGUUUAGGGACUGGGUACAGGAUCUUAUAGUGAAGGGGAAGUUACUACUCGAUUCACCUCAGGCUAGUAUGAUGGUGGAUACUAACCAUUUCCCCGAAGCUCCUAUUAGCAUGAUCGACCUCGUUUUCAAGGAGUCGGGGUUAUCAACAGAGUAAAAUGCCAUUGAAAGGACCCGGGGGCAGGGGCUAAGAUUGCCAACAAUAAAGAUGGAGGAGAAAAGCAGGUAGGCAAGGGGGCAUAGAGUUGCCUGAGGCCUAUCCAAAUGGAGCAGAACAGGAGGAAUGUUACAUAUCCAUUCUAAAACAAAAAGAGAUUACAAAGUAAUUCUAUUCCAAAAACUUUACAUCUUCACAUAAGGUGAUUAUUCUAGAAUGGUAUGUUCGCAUGAUGGUAAAAAUCCUAUUUGGUUCAGCCAAGACAGUAUGGCUGUUUACAAGUUCAGACUUGGUUUGCUCUAACUCUGAAGUCGCUUUUUCCACCCCUUCGAUCUGUUGCUCAAGGUUAUCCAGAAGAGUUGUUUGCUCCGCUUUAAGGAUCAUCAGUUGUCUCUCCAACUUCUGAAUUUCAGAAGAAACAACUUCAAUCCGUUCUUUGGUCUGCAUACUUUCUUCCAUCAGCCGACUAACUUGGGUAGAGGAGCUCGAUUCUCUCUCUAUGAAGCAUUUUGCCCGGUUAGCCAGCCGGUCUGCUCUCUGAUGUUGCUCCCUGAGGGCCCUCAAGUUUUCAAAGAAAGAAAGGAAAGAAUCAUACUGAGGCUUGGAUAAGCGAUCGUUUUUAAAGAACUCAGUAAUGACUCUCUCGAGGUCACAGAGAGCCUUGAGGCUAAAUGAUGCAGUGAAUUCUUUCUUUGCCCAUGUUUGAAAGAUUUGUUGCUGCUCCGAAGACAUAGAUUUUGUUGAAGCCUGCUUUGAAAACUUCAACCGCGUCUCAAGUCGCCCGAGUGCUUCGAAGAAUUUGGGCAACUUGGCAGGAUCAGAGGAGGAAGGAGAAGGGUCCGGCAUAACAGUUUCUUCUGGUGAGAUAAUGCCUAUGGAAGGGGCAAUUUCUGUUUGUUCAAUCGGUUCAUUUCUAGACAGGGAGGUGUCAACAUCUCCAGAGGAAGAAGGAGGUUGAAAGCACCUUGGGUUACGGGCCAUUGGAGGAGGGGAAGUUUCUUUUGGGGAAGCUCGCUACAAAACUUCAGGAUCAGGACAAGAUGAACUAUACACAAGUCAAAACAAAAGAGGCUUUGGAGAGAAGGAAGUUACCUGACUUAACCCCGGGGUUUCACUAGAGAAUGCACUAACUCCUUGUCGAGGUGAAGAUUUUUCACCACCAGCGAAAGAUGGGAAAGUUGUGCCUGAACCUGUGCCUACAUCCUGGUUGUAUCCGAAGAAAGUAGUGAUGAUCAGCAAAAGGUCACCAGAGGAAGAAACAAGAAGAAAAUAUUCCAGCACCUGAGGUUGAUCUUGAGGAGAAGAAGGAGGUUCAUCGACCGUCUGGCGAGUAAGCGCUUGCGAAAUAGUUGUGUCUAAAGCUACAGGGAUCUCAGGAACUAUGGGUUCUUUAUCCAAGGCCACUGACGGGGAAAGGGGUUCAUAUCCCGAAGAUGGCUGCAAAGAACAUGGAUAGGAGUUACUUGGGUAGCAAUGUGCAAAGUUGAAAUGAAAAGAAAGAGUAACUCACCAAAGUAUCAUCCUCAUCCACAAAAUGCAACAUGAUUCCUGUGGAAGGAUCAAAUUGAGAAGAAGGGGUUGCAUCUAGGGCAGGUUGCGGAGAAAGACUUUCUUUCCUUGUAGCCUAAGCCAAAUUAUUCAAAAUUCAGAAAGGUUUGAAAAUAAGAAAGUAUAAAGAUAGAAGUCAUACCUCUUUAAGCGUAGCAGCCCUUCGUGAUUCCUUCUUAGAAGCAAGGGUUGACCUUUUAGAAGCUUGAGGUCCUGUUGAGUGAUAAAGGGAUAAUCAGAUAAGGGAGAAAGGUAGCCAUUUGAUCCAGAAGAGGAGAGACUCACUGGAAGAUUGUUCUGUCUCUUUACCCGCUUCAGAAACAGGAGCAGAUGGGGCUGCUGGUUUAGGAGGCACGGUGACUCUUGCCCGCUUACUCUUUCGGGUAAGAAUUGGUCGUGUGGUUGCUGAAGGAAGUGCCGGAUCAGAGAUUGUGGUUUUAGUUAUGGCCACCCUCUUUCGUUUAGAUGCUUUGGUCGUAUCUUUGGCUAUUUCUUUAAUUGUUUCUUCGGCUCCUGAAUCCCCAAGAGAUUCUGAGACGUCUGUCCCUUCCCCGGCUUCCCGCCUUUCAGCUUCUGCUGCAGCACCAUGAAGAACUGCGGCAUCAGCAGAAUCAUUCUCUGAUUCGAUGGCUUCGGAUUCAGUAUCAACUGAAGUUGCAGAAACAGGUAAGAGUGAGGAAAGUAAACAACAAGGAAAGAAAAAUCGGAUGGGAAGAAAGUCACCUAUUAGGAGUAAUCGGUUUUUCUCUUGGAUCAUAUCUUUCCAAUUUGCAAGCUCGCUCGAGCUAGGAUAUGAUUUAAGAGAAAGCUGGCUGAAAAUACGAUCGUGGUUCACUUUCAAAUCUCCUCCGUAUUUUCUAGUCCACAUUUCCUCCCACCAAGAGGAAAACAGCGAGGUACAUUCGAAAUUAAGAACAACGGAAUGUCGGGCUGCUUGGCUCAUCACGUCCAAACUACGGCGGGCAGCUCGAAAUAUUGCUUCAGAAGGAGUCUGUAACCGAAAUGAAGUGCCACAAUGGAUGGAGUCGAAGAAUGGGACAGGUAUGGAUUGCCUAAAUCCUAACUGCCUGCUGCAGAAGUUAGGAUGAUACACCUCCAAGCCUCGAUCAUACCGAUUUCCCCGGACCCCCCAGGCCAAGUCUCUUGGCUGAAUACAGCUGAUAAACUUUUCCCUGCAGAAGGGAGCAGCAUCCUCACCAGGGGCAUCUUGGAAGGCUUGGUCAGAAAACCAAGGAUAUCUCCUCAAGACCGAUGCACCCCAUUCCAAGUCUGACCGAGUCCUGCAGACUCGGAAAAAGUAGAAGCAUGCAAAGGUGGAAUGAUCUACAGGAGGAGCUUCAGCCAGGAUUCGGGCAGGAGCCACACCCUCUGGAAACUCUAGAUUGAUAGCCCGAAAUUCUGGAAAAUACCAUUGUAGCCAAAUCUGUAUCAUCCAGAUGGGGCCGUUCAAAUUGGUCUCAAAGGGCUCAUCCCGGGUCAUGUCAAAAAGAAGGUGAUAGAGAUGGGAGAGAAGGAAUGGACCUGUGGCAACGUCAUCAAAAUUGUGAAGAACCUCUACCAAGGGGAUCCAUUCUACCCGUACCCCCUUGGAUUUGUUGGGGAAGACGUGUUUGUUAAGCCAGUAAAGAAGAAAGUACAUAUGCUCUUGAUCUUUGUCGGCUUGAGGAGAGCCUGCCCCGAAGUUCUUCUUGACAAAAGGGAUGAAUCCUUUAAAGGAGGUCCCAUAACUUUUGAAAGUAACUGAGUUAUAGCUGAGAGGAAGGAAGUAGGUGGAAGAACUUGAGCCCCCGGUGGUAGAGGAUGGAAUCCAAUCUUGAGUAACAUCUAUCACCCUGCCCGAUGGCCUCAACCCGAAGACUUGGGCCAUAUCAAGAAUGGUGGGAGACAUGGGACCCAUACGGAAAUCGAAGGUGUUUGUGCCCGUAUUCCAAAAGAGGAGGGCAGAAGCAAGCAAUUCGGGCUUAGGGGUAAUUGAAAUCUUCGAAAGCAUAAUCAGUUCGUAGAUGCCGUUACUCAUCCAUUUCUGCUUGAAGGAAGGUUCCAAUUCGUCAAUCCACUGGGCCCAGGCAAGAUCAUUCACCAAGGGAAAGCCUCGACGAUGAAAAGACCACUUAGAAGAAGAAAUGCCCGAGUCGGCCAAAUAAGGAUUUGGGGUAAACCAGUUUCCCCUAGGCAUAUUACUUUCUUCUACUGAGGGAACCCGAGAAAUCCAGGCAGGACCCAAAGAUUGAACCCUAUGUAUCUCAAAGAAGAGUUCAGAAUGUAGACCUGCCCGCGGACGAUGCAGCCCGUUGAGCAGACGGCGUAGAGUGGCAAUUCCUUCACCAGACUCGUAGGAUGGUAAGGUUUGGCCGGAUCCUGAGGCCAUUUAAUGAAGGCCGUGGGGAAGAAAAACAAGAAGAACGGUAAAGAUGCAACCUCGUCGGACAACGAGAAAGAAAUGAUGAAAGAAUUGGGGAAGUUUUGUUGUAUCAGAGAAGGUUUUCUUUUUACGAAACACAGAGAACGGAGAAGUUCACUCACAAGGGUUCUAAGAGUUCUAAGGGUUUAAAACAGGGGUCUCUUUCAAUUAAUAUUGGCGCCUGGGAUCCCAACCUUAACAUCAAUUGAAGGGGGCACUGUUUGGGAUAAAAUCUGAACUUUGGGCCAGAGAGAAAGUCGGCCCAAACCCAAGGCCCAGAGGAAAACUUAGGAGGCAGGAAAGAGGCUUUCGGCUGGGCACAAGUUACAAAGGCCACCUGCUUACCUGCUCAAAGACCACAGGGGGUAGGCUAUUCAGUCACUACACAGCCCAAUAAAGUACUUUAUUGGUGGCAUUCAUGUAAAAAAGCUAGUGAGUCAUCACCAAACCGCAUUCGGGCACCGCUAUUGCUACAGGAACCCAAGCUGAAGUCGUCUAUAAAAGGAGGAAGAGAAGACAGAAUUAGAGACACUCAAACAAACAAACAAAAGCCAAAACUCUGCUCAAGCCAGAUUUGCCUUCAACGAAGCUGUAGUCAGCACAAGCCUUCAUCCCAUUCGGGAUAAACCUUCCCAAACCCCUGUAAUAGCUCUGCUACCUUGUUCAUGGUGGUAUCGAUUCAUUUUGUAUCCUCUUCUCCCCCGUCAACCCCUCUAAAAGCUUUCAGACCUCUGACAGAGCCACAAAGAUAGAUUUUGUAAGAAGUUCAGCCUUGGCCGAUAAGGUUCAAACUUACCCGACUAUCUUUGCUCUGUCUUUGUCUUUUCUUUCUUUUAAAAGCACAAUAACAUGUUAUAUAUUCCCAGUUAUAUACAAGUUAUUUCUAGCAAAGUCAUAAUGAAAAUGAGUCUUCAGCACUUGAAUCCGAUCUGAAUCGCGUCAGAGUUCAAAUCAGAUCUAAGUCUUAAGCCCGGCGGGCAUGUAAUUUAAAGAUCAGUUUAAAAGUCCUUGGCCUCAAGGCAUAAAAAAGAACUCUAUGUGGACUCAACCCAUCCAUGACAAUCCUUGAUAAGCGAGAAGUCCGAAGUUACUUGGGGCGCAAGUAAUCAAUCUAUUUCUCCGUUUUGUUGCUAUUAUAUCUUGAUUCGUAGAAAAGGCUUAAGUAUGAAGUGAAUUCUGAUAGAAAGCCUCAAGGCCUACACCUAAGGCCCCACGAAGGCAUCUAUUUAGCUUCAUUUCAUGUUGCGGUCUAGUUGGUCCGAGUAUAAGGAUUAACUCUGAUGGGAAGCCUCAAGGCCUAUACCUAAGGCCCUACAAAGGCACUCAUUUGGGUUCGUCCUACCUCUUAGAUUCAGAUAAUCAAAGGUAUAAUAGUGAUAAAACUCUGGCAACCAUAAAAGACCAAAUAUGAUACAUCCAAGCGCUGGUUUAGUUUGACAGGAAGCCUCAAGGCCUAUACCUAAGGCCCCACAAAGGCACCUGUUAUAUCUAACUUGGUUUUCUCGGGCGUAUACAUAUUCAAUCAAAGCUUAACACCCAUUCAACAUCUGCCAUACUGAAGAUGGCAGUGGCACGCCUGAGCACGACAAAGUUAAUCUUGAUUGUGAGCCUUAAGGCCUACACCUAAGGCCCCACAAAGGCACCCUUUCAAAUUAACUCUGUCCUUCUCUUUCAGAACUGCCCGACGAGCCUUGCCCGAAGUGUGUCUUGCCCGACCAAGAUCUGCCCGACAAAGGCUUGCCCGAGCGAGCCCGAGAAGAAAGCAGAAGUACGACAGAUACCCUCAACCGACGCCAUUCUCCCAGGGGAGCUGUGUGCUCGUCCGCCAGGAGAUUCCUGCGACGAACAGUAUUAAUAUCCUCAUUUCUUUAUAAAAAUAGGGAUUAGGUGUUGGGUUAAUAUCACAUCGAACUUUAACGAUCUAAACUGUUCAUUUUUUAAGUUAUACCUUAUAGAUCAUUCUUGCAAAAUAUAUACCAAAUCGGAAAUAUUUAAAACAUCUAAUUGGGUUCAAAAAAAUGAACGAAUACUUUAUUAUACAAGAAAACAAUGAAAUUUGAUCUUGAUAAUUAAAUAAGCAAAUAAUUUCGGAUUGAAUUGAAUUUUUGUAAGGAUGAUCUAUGAAUCGAGGUUUACAAAAUAGACGGUUCGGAUCGUUGAAAUUCAAUAUAAAGUGGGCUCAACACCUAAUCUUUUUUUUUUUUCAAGAAAUGGGGAUCCCUUUGCCUAAAAGACCUGUAUACAUAUAUGUUAUACAUUUAUGGCGUGUUUACCAAACCGGAACGGAAUGGCAAGAAAUGGAAUUGCAUUCUUUUCUAGGCAUUAAAGCCGUUUACUAACAUUUCCGGAAUGAAAAACAAGAUGAGGUCCACUUAAAAUCAGGAUUUGGAUCCUUAAAUCUCCUGGAAUCAGAUCUCUUAUAUGGAGGUGGUAUUUGGAUUCCAGUGAGAAGGCUAUUCCAGGAAUCCAACUUUUAUACCCAAACUACCCCUAGAUGGAUGGGCUUCGAAGACUGAGUUGGUGGAAUGGGUUGUCUUUGGUGAAGAACGGAUUUGAAACUCGUUCGAUGUCGCAUUUGCCAAUUGAACGACACUCUAACACCUGGAAUUGAAGCUCCAGUGGUGGUAAAUACACUCUAACACCUGGAAUUGAAGUUGCAAUGGUGGUUAUUGGGUAUAUUCUAGUGGCUGUGUGGUUGGGGAGAGAUGGAAGGAGAUGAGAAGUAGAUGGAAAAAUAAGAGGGGGAAGCUGAAGAUAGUUGGGGUAUGAGACGGCAACGAGACCGCAGUGCAAUUGGACAAGGAAAGGUGGGGGGUGAAGAGCAGUGCAAGGAAAGGCAGGGUGGGCUAUGGAGGCGUAAGGGGGUGGAUUUGGUAAUUGGCAUGUUUGGGUGGAGAAGGGAAUAUGAUUAAGAAAUUUAAUUUAAUUAAGAUAUAGAUGAAUUUUAUUAUAUAAAUUUAAUUAAAAUAAUUUAUUUGUGUAAGGACAAUUUAGUAAUUAAACUAGUUUUAAUUCCGAUUGAAGUGAAUUAGUAAACAACUUAUAUGGACUUAACAUCAUUCCUACUCCGAUUCCAGACAGUUUUAGUAAAAAACUCCAUCAGGAAUCUGAUUCUAAUUCCACCUCAUUUCAAUUCCUCCUUAAUCCAAUUCCUCUCAAUCUGAUUACAGAUUAGUAAACGCGCCCUUAAUGGAAUUGGAUCCUAUAUGGAUCUACUUUGUGGGGAUCAUAGGGAUCCCUACAUCUUAGCCAUUCAUCGUGUAUCGUGGGGUUAAAAAUUAUUUGACUUUUUUAUUGUUAGGCCAUGUAUGUGUUUUUUAUUGUUGCUCACUCGAUGGGUCACUCUCUUGAACUAAGACACAUCAUUCUCUUUGUAUCCACUGCGUCCUCUUCACCAUGAAAGUAACCUCAUGUAAGAAUAAUUUUUGGCUCGAGUAGGAGUUUCUACUCUAAAUUACUCGUUGUCAAUUCAACAAACUUCGUCUUUAUGAUGAAAAUUUUUAUAUCAAAAAUAACUCUAAAAGAUCGUCUGUGCAAAAAAUUAAUUUAAAUUAAGGUUGUUUAAGUCAUUAAACUGUAUAAAAACAGAUGAACAAAAUUGAUAAAAGUAUUACAAACCGUCUAUGUAUUUGCUACAAUUGAUUGACUAAACAACUUUGAUUUUAAUUUAAUUUUUGUAGAUAUGAUCUUUAUAAUGUGAUUAAUAAUAUAAAUGCUUUUGAUCUUAAGCACAAAAGUUUGUAAUUUGAACACAGAAUUUUGAGGAGGAAUUCUUACUCAUGCUUGACUAGCGAAGCAUUGUUCCACAUGUAAAUAGGUGAUCCAUCAUUUUCAACCAACAUAUUAUUAUGCACUUAAUCAAGGCUGAAAACAACCUUUUAUUCGUUUGGACGUCAAAUCUUUAGGGUAACAUUAGAACUUUCUUUUAACAAUUUUUGAGUGUGAAAGUCAUUGCCUUUCCUUGAAUUGAUUUUCUUCUAAAUAUUUGUUGGACCUAUUUUCACACGCUCAGCCCAUAUGCUUGUUUGGACCCAUUUUCACACUAUCAAGCCGUGUAAUUUAGGCUGAUUAAUGAAGGGGAAAUCAAGAGGGUUAUUGACAAUUCUCAUAAUCUUGGGUUUUUUUAAAAAAAAAUGAAAAAAAAAGGAUGCUAAUGUGAUAUGCAACUUUAUAAUGCAUGGAUGAGUUUAGUAUGGAGACGUGUAAUGGAGCGCAGAUGUUUUGAGAAGUUCUUUUGGAAUUUGCUUUCUAAUUCAUUGGCUCACAAAUCUCUGUACGCUAAAAUUGUGGGAAGACAUGCACUCAUUCACUGAUGUCGCGGUUAUUAAGUUCUAUCAGGAUAAUCGAAAAAGAAAAUGUAAAUUAAACUUAUGAAAAUAUUGUUUACGAAAGACUCACUCACGUGUUAAUACAUAUAACAGUUGUUCAUUCUUACGCCACAACAUAAUUAUCUUUUUUAAAUAAAAAAAACACACAAAAUGACCAAAGUAGCCAAAGUACUCUUAUUGAAAUCACUCGACCUAGAUUUUAUUCACCAUCUGUGGUAUUUAGCACUAGCGCCACCUACAAGUGCUAUAUUUGGAUUAUGACACAUUUGUAUGUGCUAUUUCGAAUUCAUGGUUCUGGGAAAGGGAAGCCAUUGACGCUCAUUCCCCCAUCAAUGCCAAUAGUCUGCCCAGUUACGUAAGAAGCUGCUGGGAGGCAUAGAAAGGACACCACAGCUGCAACCUCUUCUGGCUCUCCAGGACGUCCUAAAGGGGUUCGGGCGUUGAUCGCAUUCGAAAAUUUCUCCACACUGAGAAACUGUGGAGAAAACAAAGAUAAGCUUAUAUGUGUAAAUGCAUUAGGUCAACCAAAGUUGCUCAUCAAAUUUUCUACUCUAGGGAUGCAUACAUGUCAGCAUCUCACUUGCCUCAAUUUUGAACGAAUAAGAUGAGCAUCUUUUUUUUUAGGAGAUGACUUCUUUAGAUUUGAUUUUGAUUUUGGUAGUUUGAUAAUUAGGUGCAUUACUAUGAUUAUACACACGCUACAUAUAUGAUCACAUCAAUGCUCUAUGUGCUAUUCAGUCACAUAAAAUUGAAGACUUUGCUGUGCAUUGUAACAUUGUAUGUAGGAUUGUAUGUAGGACUUAUCUAUAUUAAAAUGCGUGAGCACCACUCUUAUAUAGUAUACUUAUCUGGAAGAACUAACCUUUCUAAAUAAUGUACAUACCUACCGAAGUAGCAAAACUUAUAAAAAAGGAAAAAAACUUAAAAGUUGUUAAAAUUGCAAGCAUAUGAAGACUAUGAGUUUAGAGAUCUCACAGGUGCAGAGAGGGGUGUUCGAAUGAACCAAGGUGCUACACUGUUGACCCUUAUGUUUUCUUUUUCUUUUCCCCACUCACAAGCCAAGGAUCUUGCCAACGAAAUUAUUGCUCCUGAAUAUAAAUUAAGAGAGAAGAGUCACAAGCUUUCAUAACACAAUGACGUUAAAAAUGAAAUUACAUAAAUGAAAAACAAAAAUUUAUCCAUCAUAUUAUUGUUAGAAACCUCCUCAUCGCGAUUGAUACCAUGUUAACCAAUAUUGAUUGAAGAUCUUUGAUGUAUGUAAGGAUGAACAGUUUCUAGAGAGAGAGAGAGAGAAGAGAAAUGUGUAUCUUAUUUCUUAAUGACCAAGUAAUACAAGGUACAAUACUAUUUAUACACAACAAUCUUAACUACAUAACAAACAUACCUUCUAAUCUUAUGACAAGUGUAACAAUCCUACAUUCACUAACUCAUACACUCUAACACAACGGUCAUAAUUAAAGCAGGUUACUGGUGUUCAAGGUGACUGCAAGAUUUUAAUUGAUCGACAUACAACAACAUACGUAUAUUAGCAAACACAUCGAUAUGCUUAUUUAGGUCUAUCAGUAUGAUCAUGCCAUGCUUGUGUUUGGUUUAGUAAAGUUGAAAAUAAUACGAAUAACGAAGGGGCUAACAAACGGAAGAAUACAUUGACUAUAUAUAAACAAAUAUAAUAUUAUUAAUUGAAGAAAAAGAUUGGCAUGACGACUAAAAAACUACAAUGUGACUGACUCAUUAAUAAUAACAAAUACAAGCAUUACUAUAUAAAGUGAAAACUAAGGCAAAACCAUAAUCUUUAACGGACAAGAAAUCUUAUCUUGACUCACAAGAAAACCAUAAAUAGUAAUAAAAUAAAUAACUAAUUUCCAACAAGUAAUUUUCCUCAAUUUUCACUACCUAUAUUACAGUUUAUAUGUAUGGUCUAAGGCCUAGUUUGGUAUUACUGUACUUUUAAAAAAAUAUGUUUCUACUGUGCUGUGAGAAUAAACAGCAAUAAAAUAAAGCUGUUGUGUGUUUGGUUUUUUUUUUUUUUUUUUUUUUUUUGUAAAAAUGCUUUUAACAAACAACAGUGUCUGAAUGUUUGGUAAACUUUUAUAUAAAUUGUUGUGAAUAUGUUAAAUGAUUAAAAAAGAUAUGGUAUUUAAUGUGAUAUAAUUACUGUCAAAGACAAUAAUGUAGGUGCAAAGAUUGUGAUUUUGUAAAAUAUGUGGAGGGUAUACUUGUCAUUUGAAAAUUUCAUUAAAUGGGCAUUGAUUACUGUGGUUUGAAAAAAUAAAAACAUGUCAUGGUCUACCAUGCUUUUGCUUUUCUACUGUCAUUGACAAAAGUUAUUUGAAAAAACAAUUUUUUUGUUUUGUUUUGUUUUUCCAAACACUUUUGAUGUUCUAGAUUUUUUUUAAUAAGUUAUUUUAAAAAAAAAAACCACAACAAUACCAAACUAGCUCUAAAGAUCAUCACACGAUCUCUUUUUUAUAAUCAUUUGUUCGUAAGAAAAAAUUUCUAUAAGAAAGUUUGAAGCAAUAUAUUGUAAUUAGCUGAAAAAACAGUACCUUUAGUCGCAGCAUAUACACUUCCAAUCCCUGCAACUGAUACACCCCAGCAAUAGAUGAUACAAAAACAAUGUUACCAGCUCCUGAAGCUUUCAGAAGAGGAUGCGCAAAUUGGGACAGAUUGUAAGCAGAUUCAAGAUUUGUAGUUGUAACAAAUGCGUAAUCUUCAGCUGUGCAAUCAACUGUUGGUUUUGAUUCGGAAGUUCCCACAUUGUUUAUCUACAGGCAAACAUUGGGGAGCACGAUGAUUAGCUAGCUGAUAGCCCAAGUGUUCAUGAAAUGCUAGAAGUGGAUUUUUAGGUUCACGUACGUAGAAGCUAAAUUCAUAAAUUAAAAAAAAGGAUAUAUAUUGCAGACAUGCUACGACUUUUUAUAUUAUUCUAGAUUAAAUUCAUGAAGUUUUUCUUGUCCGUUUUCAAAAUAAAACCAUGUAGUCCACUAUGCGUUGCUUAUAAUGGAGUUAUUGCAAUUGAGUUAGGAAAGGCACAAUAAUGACUCAUAGAAUGGAGAAAUCUCUCUAGUGUGCACCAUAUUCAAGUGGGUACUCCACAUAUCAUAAAAUAAGUGGAGAAGCAUGAAAACAUAUAUCAUUUACCCCAUUGUAUUAUGAUAUUUGGCAUGCCGCUUGAAUACCCAGCACUUUGAAGAAAAAAAAUUAUUUAGUCAAAUUAUAUAUCUUGUAAUCAACUUUUGUAUCUUAUUGUUAAUUUUGGAUACAUUGUUCAUUGUUUUCAUAUAAAACAUACACUUAUAUAUUAAUAAGGAUAAGUAUAAUAGUAUACUACAAAAUUAAUUAAAUUUAUACAUAAGCAUUAAGAAUGAACAAUAAACUGAAGGUACGCAAAAGUUAAAAAAAUAUUCGAAAACUUAUAUAAAAUAUGAAUUUUCAAAUUAUGUUCUAAAAUUUUCAUAAUUACCGAAUUCUGAUAUUUCCAAAUAUGCCUAAAAUUCUGAAUUUAAAAAUUGUAAUCCGGUCCAAUUCCGAAAUUUCGAAACGGAAAUUGAAAACAUUAUUUUCGAUCCUUGCAAAAAACACCCUACGAGCACCAAGAUGAUGAAACAUUAAAAUCCCUUCAUUAAUUAGUUAGGACUACAAAUGAAUGACAAAUUAAUUACAGGGGUACACUAGUAAUUCAACCUUAAUUUUUAAAUUGAAGAAUCCCACAUAUUGGAACAAGUUUGAAAUACUUUGGAAAAAUUUGAAUCGGAAAUUCAGAAUUCUCGAAAUCUUUAAAUGCUUUCCGAUUUUCCAAUUUUUCACAAAAUAUUCGGAUUUAGAAAUUUCAGGUUCGAAUUUGGAAAUCUUAGUGUUGGAAUUAGAAACAACAUUCUAAUUUGCAGCCCUAGAUGAUCACUUUAUAUAAAGAAAUAAUUUUUUUUUGUUUUUGCUGAUAUAUGGAAGAUAAAGUUAUUUUAAUGAAUAUAUAUCUUUCUUUUUUUUUAAUAAUUCAACAAAUUUUUUCCAAUAAAAGAAUUCCUUUAUUGAGUAUUAAGCAUGGAGGUCUGGAGGGGAACCGAACGGGAUUCUCACCUGUCUUUGAUAACAGCAUUAUCUUAUCUUUUGAAAACAGAAAUAUUAAUAUAUUAGUAUUAUCUUAUCUUUCAUAAAAGAUAAAAACAGAAAUAUUAAUAUAUUAUCAUAUCUGUUGAAAAAGCAGACUGAUAAUAUUAAAAAUAGGAUGAAAUGCCGAUUUAGUCUCUGAACUAUUACUUAAGUGAAAAUUAGAUUUCUGAAUUAUUUUUUCAGUAAAUAAAGUCUCUAAAUUCAUUAAAAAUUGCUAAUUUCAUCCCUACUAUUAUAUUCAAAGCUAUUUUGUCCAAUUUUUCUUCAACUUAAGUCACUUGACACACUUUAGAGUGUAAUACCGUCAUUUUCUUGCCUAUAAGCCCUUCACAUUUCAUAUAGGUUGUAAAUAUAACAUCUAAUUUACCCUUUAAAGUUAACUUACAUUAUUUCUUAUGAAAAACUACCAAUUUACCUUCCAAAGUUAACUCCAUACACUAUUUCUUUAUGGAAAACUACCAAUCUACCCUCUAAUGUGUAUCACAUGUAAGUAACGUGACUUAAAUUGAUGGAAAAUUGAAUAUAGUAGCUUUGAAUAUAAUAUUAUGAAUGUAAUUGGCAGAUUUUUAUAAUACAAGAACUAAUUUUUCUGAAAAAAUAAUUUAGGAACCUAAUUUUCACUGAUGUGAUAAUUCAGAGAUUAAAUUGGCAAUUCACCCUUAAAAAUAAUCUCUUUCGUUUCCCCUUUCCAUUAUCAAGCGAAAAGAAGAUAAUGCUAGUGGGAGUAUUAAUUUAAGGAAUUAUUAUUGGCAUUCUAAAAAUCUCAUUUUUCACUUCAAAUUUUCUAUAAUUAGAAAGAUAAAUACACUUGGGAGGAGUGUAUAAUAAGAUUUGUGGAGUGCUAAUAAUAGUUCCCUUAAUUUAAAUCAAAUUUGUAAUCUAUAUGACAUGGUUAGUGAUGAUUAGAUUAUACUUAACUAUUAAUUAACGUGUUUAUUUCUUAUUGGUGACACAUCACAUGGUUUGCAAAUUUGGCUAAAAAAAAUAUUAUGUACCAUUUUGUUUGACGACAACAAAGUUAAUGAGGUAUAAGUUUAUUUAUACGUGUCAAUGAAUAAUAGAGGCCAUAGAAAUGUUAUAAACAAAAUGAGUGCAUAAGAUUUGAACAAAAAUAAUUGAUCUUCCUAGUAUUACUCUUACCAAAAAAGGAAAAAUGCACAUUUUAUCUUUAGAAUUUAAAAAAAUAAAUAUUUAAAUUAAAUACUUAUAUAUAUUUAAUAUAAUUACUCAGAUAACGCCUGUAUUAAAUACAUAUAUAUUCACAAGAAACCCAACUAAACUUUAACGUAAUAAUGAAUGACUUUGGUUUCCUUUCUCUAGCUCAAGGUUUGUGCAUGCAUUGCUGAGUUUCAACUAAUAAAACAGCUAUUUACAACAAUUAAAAAAAAAAAUCUCUAAUCAAACGAAAAAUGUUAAACCUAAAACUAAUUAGUAGGUAUUUGAGUUUCAUCAUGACUUUAUUUUCUAUAAACUAUUAGUACAACAAAUUAAACUGAGAAAUUAAUUAAUAAAUAUAGAGUACUUACAAGGAUGUUAAGUUUUCCGUUAAAUUGUGAUGAGAUCUUGUUUAUUAACUCCUCCCUUUGUGCUCUUGAAGACACAUCACAGAUUGAACCAGUGACUUGAUGAAAACCCUUGGCCUUCCAUUGACUCAAGCAGUCAUCCAGCUGCCCUUGACUCCGAGAGCAAGUAUGAACAGCUGCACCUAGCCCCGCCAGUUCCUCCACAAUAGCACACCUAAUAAUAAACACAUUACGUACAUUUAUCGCAGUGUAAAGAUCCAUUACACGCUUUUCCAAAAAAAAAAAAAAAUAGAUCCAUUACACACUCAUCAAAUCUCUUCUCUCAAACUUUCUAGCAACGUUAGGUUAGACAAAGAUACACUGGUGCUCUGAAAUUUUUAACCGCCAAAUCUUAUUUUCUUUUGUUUUUACCAAAGAUCCAGCACUUAAAAGAGACAAUCCAGAGUACUGUAGAAUAUCUAGGUUAGAAAAUGGUUGUGUUGCUAGUCGCUAGAUUUGGUCAGUAAAAACGCAUAAACAUGUUUAAAUGGAAAUGUGGAACAACGGGUAUGGCCUCUGGGUAAAAAAAAACUGCCUUAUUUGUUAGGGUUGUAGAGUUCAAAAUUUGUGUCAUUGGUAUCUAUGGUAUCAAUUGAUUUUCUUGCUCUGUAUCAACCAAAAACUGGAAUGAAAUAGCAAUGUAGAUGCACUUAUCAGCUGGGAAAACACAAACGUGAGUGACAAAAAGUAAAGAGAAGACUAACCCCAUCCCUUUGGUUCCACCAGUGACAAGAGCAGUCUUUCCCUCAAGAGACCAUCUGCGACCUCUGCCAUUGAUCUCUGCAUUCGCCAUCUCUCUCUCUCUCUCUCAAUUCAUCCCACUUCCAUCCGUGCACUUUUUAUAUUAGAAAUGAACUAGUUACUUGUUAUAAUGUACCGUAAAACACGUGCUAACACAUGCAAAACACAUGAAAAGUGCAUGCGCCUAAAUUUGAGAUAUACUCUCUCUCUCUCUCUCUCUCUCUCUCUCUCUCUCUCUCUCUCUCUCUCUCUCUCUCUCUCUCUCUUACCUUUUUUGUGGGGGAUUCUAUUCUCUGCAUCACUGCAUGUAAAAUUACAACUAGAUUUUUUUGUGGGGGACUAUUCUCUGCAUCACUGCAUGUAAAAUUACAACUAGAUUUUGAAAAUUUAAAUCAUCACAACUUCAUUUACUCUAUAAUCUUGCUCAACUUAGAGAGAAAAAAUUUAAAUCUAAACCUUCCUCAUGGCGACAGUAUUAUGUGAUUAUAUGAUCAGCCUAAAUUGUCUAACAGAAGUGUUUUUAAAAGUCAUCUGAUAGAAGUGUUUCUUGAACUCAGAGCCAAGUGUGACAACUAUGUAUGUUUCAUUUUCUUUGAACCUCACACUAGCUUAUGCGUACUAAUUCAUAAUUUUUUUAUUUACGAGUUAAUUAAUUGAAUAUACAAUGUGCCAAAUAAUUAUUAUUUUUUCACUUUCUUACCUUAAUAGCACUGUGAAACUAAAUAAUUUGAAGGGGAAUAUUAGCAAGCUUAUCACUUAGAUCUUUUUUUUAUAUUUUUGGCUUUUCUUCUCAUGUUGCAAUAUUACUUGAUGAUCGAAAUAUCUAUCAUGUAGACCACUUUUUCAGAAAUAAUUCCCAUCAUGAAGCAACAUUGUAUAAUAAAAAUGAGACAUAAAAAGUAAAAUGAGAAGAUUAAAGUGAUAUAGCUCGCAUCCCUCAAAUCUAAACAACACCUUCCUGUUGAAUAAAACGUGACUAGCAUCCCUCAAAUCUGAACAGCACCUUGCUAAGCGUGACAAAUCGAAAUCGAAAUUCUACUCAAUAUCCAAUUUUUUAUUCUGGUUUUAUAGGGACAAACUAAAUCGCAUUGAUUCGCUUUGUUUAUAAAAAUCUGAUUAUGACCUGGCUGUUUAAAGAAACAAAAGAAAGAGACCCGGCUAGCUUUUUAUUCUACCGACAAAGGUCGCAAAAUCCAAUCUUCUUUUUUUAAGAGUAACGGAUCGUAACUUUUCUUUGCCAUUUCUAAUUUAGUUUAGAAAAAAACAUUGGCUCCCUUGGAAUUGCAAAAACAAUAGUAUAUAAUGUAUCAUAUAAGAGCUUUUUCAGUGUUUUUGGAAUAUAAUUGAAUAUACUAUAUGUCAUGGUAUAAAGGUGAAAUGUUUAAAAUUAUUUCUCUUACCACUUGUGUUAUGUCGUAUAUAAUGUAGUAGUUCAUGUUCUAGAAAUACUACAAAAUUCUCAUAGUAUACCAUGAUAUAUUUCUUCUCUUUCUUGAGAAGUUUUUCCAGGUACCUGUCACAUACGCUGACUGGGAAUUCCAUGAACAUUUGAUAUCUGUAUAUUUUAUUCUUGUAAAUUUAAAAAUUGACAAAUAUUUUAAAAUAAACUCAAAAAUGACAUCAAGGUCUCCCGAGCAUGACGACGACGCCGAACCACCCGCACCCACCUUCAUCACCGGUCGGUGAUUUUUCUGGCAUCAUCAUCCUUCUCCCUGUUCGACUUUCUCUUUCUUUCCUUUCCCCUCUCUCUUCUGCUCUUACCUCUACAUGGAACCCAGAGAUUGACGGCGGCAACCCAACUCAGAUAUGCUGUCGUCAAUCUCGAUCUAUCAGCCGGAGUUCGCCGACAUCGUUUUUGUUCUUACUCUGGAGCAGGAAAGAGAAGAAAUAAAAAAGGGAAGAGAGAGAGAGAAAGACAGAGAUAGGGAGAGAGAUGAUGCGGAAGGGCAGGAUGGGUGGACUGGUGGAACCGUGGAGGGAUGGAGAAUGGGUAUGGGGGAUGGGGAUGCGGAUGGGAGAUGGAGAAAUGGGUAUUUUCGAUUUGCAGGAAAGCGUUGGAGCUCACCCCACAACUUCGAUUUUUUUUUAAUUAUUUAACUAUUUUGUGAAAUGAAUAUAAGGGUAAAAUGGGUAUUUUAGUGUCACUUAAGAAGUAGAAGGAUAGGUGUCAGAUGCUUAUUAGUGGGGAACUCCAAGUCAGCAUAAUAAAUUGAUAUUAAACUCAUUAUUUCCAAGAGUUAAACUCAAAAUCUCAUUUCUUAGGUGGAUAGUACUAAUGGCGAUUAGCUUAAAAUAUGAAAGAAUGCAACACAUGAAGAAUUGGAAAUUAAGGUAUCGUUUGGUACGCAGAUGGGACGAGACGGAACCGGAUGAGACUGAACGGAAUGGGACGGGACGGGACGGGACAGGACGGGACGAAACGGAGAGGGAGCAAAGAUGCCCUCGGAUGGAAACAAAGAGGAAGAAAAAGGAGACGGAGAUUUUAUAAUUUUGUGUUCCACGGAUGUAGAACGAGUCGUUCUAGGGGUGAGGUGGAACGAAAAUUCACCCAAAAUUCGUCUCGUGGAACAGCGCGUUCCAUCCGUUUUAGGCCCACCAAACGUGAAACGGAACGCCUCGUCCCAUCCCAUUCCGUUCCUGUUCCACGUACCAAACGGUACAUAAAGAACCGUUAUUUCAAAGAUACUUUUGGAACAGGAAUACAAAUGGAAAAUAUUAGAGUGGGAGAGAACUUGUGUGUUUACAGUCCCACAUCAAGAGUGAGAUCGAUGACUUUUUGGUUUAACUUUUGGCAAAUAGAUAUGUCAUUGAGACUAUUGUCUGAAGGCAUACAAUUCUACCUUGUAUUUUUUUUAAUGCAAUCUGUUGUUAAUGGUCAAACGAUAAGUUUAAUACUCACACGAUGAUGCGUAAGAAUCUCGGCAACAGGUGGGAUGAAACUAUGCUCCGUUUGAAAAUAUUUUUUUAUUAAAAGUAUUUUUUCUUAGAAGCGGUUUUAUUUUAGGGAACUUUAACGAAAAGCACCCGGUACUAUUCACUUUAACGAACAACCACAUUUUUACACUAAAAAGUCAAUCAUGGUACUAUUCACUUUACCCUUUAUUUUGUCCUUAUCAUUAAAACUUAAAAUUUUCAAGCCCUUUUCAUUAGUUUUCUUUUUAUUUUAACCAUAUCGAAUUUUUUAAUAUAAAUACAAGUGUUUUUUUUUUGUUUUUUUUUAAGAUUUCAAAAAUUGCAUAGCACGUGCUUAAUCCAGAAAACUGUUCAAGUUCUCUUUAAACCCAGAGACAUUUUGAACUAUUUUUACUUAACAUCAUCAUAUUUAAAAGAGCUUUAGUUCUUUCAAAUACACUUUCAAUUGGAAACCGCCCCCUAUAACAAGCUAGACAUAUGAAGUUAUGAGAAUACUUGAAGAGCAAGUUGUCCAAAUCAUCUUUAGGUAAUCUUUGGAGGGGUCAGUUGAUGUUGCUUAAAGGGUUUUUGUAACAUCUCUCGUCUAAGUUCACCUCAGCACUUAAGUUUAGUUAUUUUUUAAUCUUUAAUUGCACGAAAAGAAAAAAAAGGACAUAUUACAUUAACGUAAUAAGCAAUGGUGAAGUUAGAAUUUUCAAAUAAUAGGAUCAUUAUAUCAACUAAAAAAGCUUCAUUGGACUAUUUCAUCAAGCACCUAGUAGGCAUCUACCAAUGCCUACCAACACAUACUAAAAGCUUAGGCUAACGUAUGUCGACAACUACUAUUAUUUUAUAGGCUUGUCAAUGGUGAAUGCAAGAUACCGCGGAGUAAUGUUGAAGAUUGUUAAGGCUUGUCAACUAAGAUAUUUCAUCGAGCACAUGAUGGUCACAAUAGAGUCGCACACAAGAAGAGAGAAGGAAGACAAAUGUGAUAGAAUAAAGUAGAAAAAAAAAAAGUGGGAGGAGGAGGUUGUAAAUUUUGUUUGCCUUAGUUGUUUAUAGGGGUCAAAUACAAUACACAAACAAAUAUACAUGAAGGUUUUUAAGUUGUUGAUAUCAAGAGCAACCAAUGAUCCUAUGUUGACUUUGUCUAGUACGACCUAAUGCUUGAAGUUCGAACAUGUUAUAGAAGCAUUUUUUAUUGUUCUGAUCAUACAUGUCGAUCAUUUUCAAUGAACUGGCGAUCUCGAUGGUGCUCUUUGGAGGAUGUUGGAGUCUUCUCUUCAUCAGGUUUGGAGGCCGUGUUUGGCGUGAUCUCAGGCAUCUGUUGGGACGAUGGUUCGAGAUGGUUGGUUGGUGGCGUUCUGGCGGUUGCGGAGGGUAGCAAGUUGCUGGAGUUUGUUGCGGUUUUUUCUUUUAUGGUGGCCUCACACUUUUGUUUUGGGCCAUUUUUGCUUUACUCUGGAGGUCCACGUCUAUGUUGUGUGCUUAUUGUGAUUGAGUCUCUUUCUUUGUAAGGCUUUUUAUUCAAAAUGGUUCAUGAGAUUUGCAUCAUCCAUAAGUUUGGUCCUUAAGAUUUAAAAUCAAUAGAAGUAGCCCUGAGAUUGUCCACCAUCCAUGAUUUUGGUCCUUCCGCUGAAGCUUUUGGCCGGAAGUUUGGGCAAUUUUUAAAGCUUCGUAACUCAAUCGUUUCUUAACCAAAUUCGACCCAUAAUAUAUCAAAAUGAAAAUAGGAAAGUGUAAAAUAAGAUUAUAUCUAUUUGGAAGCUCAAUGAUUGCCAGAGAUGGUCAGAAAAUAGCCUCAAAGUUGACUGGUCCGAAGAAAAACUGAAAAACUUGCCGGUAACUUGCCGAAAAUUAGGUAAACUUUAAACGUUCAUAACUUCUUCAAUACUCAACGAAAUCAAGUGAUUCAAAAACAAAAAUCAUACUUUUCAACGAGAAGAAGAGAAUGUUACCUUUUUCAACGGCUAACUUGUCGUGGUUUGGCCGUAAAAUGGCUCGAAAGUGUCUGUUGAAAAGGGUACCAUUCUCUUCCUCUCGUCGAGAAGUAUGAUUUUUGUUUUUGAAUCACUUAAUUUUGUUGAGUAUUGAAGAAGUUAUGAACAUUUAAAGUUUACCCAGUUUCCGGCGAGUUUUCCAGUUUUCCCUCAGACCAGUCAACUUUGAGGCUAUUUUCCGACCAUCUCUGGCAACCAUUGGGAUUCCAAAUAGAUAUAAUCUUAUUCUAUACUUUCUUAUUUUCAUUUUGAUAUAUUACAGGUCGAAUUUGGUUAAGAAAUAAUUGAGUUACUAAGCUUUGAAAAUUGCCCCAACGUCUGGCCAAAAGCUUCAACGGAAGGACCAAAAUCAUGGAUGGUGGACAAUCUUAGGGACCAAACUUAUGGAUGAUGCAAAUCUCAAAGACCAUUUUGAAUAAAAAGCCUCUUUGUAAUUAUAUUGUCUUGGUAAUGAUUUUAUCCUUUAAACAAACCAAAAAAUAAAAAAAAUAAAAAAUCCAGGCUUGGAAGCUCUUCUACUAGAGUGAAACGAAAUGUCAAUAUACCAUAUGGUUGGCAAUCUUUUACUUAUUUAAUUAGAAAUUAAUGUCACCUAUUUUCAAAUACAAUUAAAGCACACCACUUUGGAAUUAGAUACGAGAUUUUAUUUUUCCAGACCUGCAACACUGUCUCUAUGACUGCAUAUGCAAUUAUGUAUACAUGCAUAACUGUUUCCAAGUCAUGCUCCUUGGAAGAGCAAGCCAUUGACGGUCACCCCGCCGUCUACGAUAAUAGUCUGCCCAGUAAUGUAAGAGGCUGCAGGUAGGCAUAGAAAUGCUACCAAGGAAGACACCUCCUCUGGCUCUCCAGGACGUCUUAAAGGGCAUCGAGAGUUUAUCAUCUCCAAUUUCUUUUCAUUUCGGAGAACCUGCAUGCAUAGAAGAGAUAAUGGAUGAAAAGAGAAUGGAUGUGUAGGACACAUAUAUUAGCGACGAUCUUAAAAAUUGGUCAAGCUAUUCGUAAACAAAUUAAUUAAGACUAGAUGUAUGAUCUAAACUUGCUGUAAACUUUUCACCGAAAAACUUGCUGUAAACAAGUCAGGUCUAAGAACCUAUACAGACAUAUGGACUUUCGGCAAAACCCAACUUUUUAUUCUAAUUUUGACCAUAGGUUUUUGGCAGACUCAUUAACGAAAUACGGAUUAGCUUGAAGUUAUGAGAUGAUUGUAAUAUAAGAAGUUAAAACAAUUCACUCAUGUAUCUUAAAUGUGGUUUUGAUUUUCUUGCCGCUACAUCGAUUGUAUUUAAAAAAAAUAAAAAUAAAAGGCAUGCACAAGAACGUGAUCCAAAUAAUCUUACAGGUUCAGAGAGGGGAGUCGUGAUGAACCAAGGCGCCACACUGUUGGUCCUUAUAUUAUCCUUCGCCCACUCACAUGCUAAGUUUUUUGCUAACUGAUUCAUUGCGCCUGAGAUGCAAUAAAGAAAAGCCACACUUUGGUCUAACAUUAAAAAUACACACCAAAAACAGCGUAAUCAAAUUUUAGGUUAGUCUAAAAGUGAUAUAAACAAUGUAUGAUACUUUUCAAUUUUUUAAUCUGAUUUAAGGUGUUAGUCUAAAAGUGAUAUUUAGAUUUGAAUGAAUUUUUAACUAAGUAUAAACAGUAUAUGAUACUUUUCAAUUUUUAAUAAAAGUCGAAAUCUAUAUAAGAAAAUUAACUAUAAGCACCUUUAGCAGCAGAAUAUAUAGAUGCACCAUUUAUUGAGACCACACCAGCAGUAGAGGACAGAAAAACAAUGUUAGCAGCUCCUGCAGCUUUGAGAAGAGGAUGUGAAAGUUGGCAAAAGUUGUAAGCGGAUUCAAGAUUGGUACUCAUUAUGAAUGAGUAAUCUUCGGCUGUGUACUCUACCGUUGCUUUCGCUUCGACAAUCCCCACAUUGUUUAUCUAUAACAAGACAUUAUUGAAAAGGUUUAGCAUAGCAUAACGAUUUUAGUUUAUAUGUAUUAUUGAAAAAUACAUGAAAAUUAUGUGUAUUAAACGUAAAAAAGUACAUCUUUGAGUUUUAAAAAACGUACAAUUUUACAAAUUAUUGAAAUUUGAAAUGUGUACAACAAACAUAAUUAUUUAUGAGAGGAUGUUUAGUUUGUCUUGAAAGUGUGAUGAUGGUUAUUCAUGAUUCAUGCACAUAUGUUGUUUCAACUGAUCAGUCUUCUACUUACAAGGAUGUUGAGUUUGCCAUCAAAAAGUGAUGAGACCUUGUUUAUAAGCUCCUCUCUUUGGGUUUUUGACACCACAUCACAGACUGAGCCAGUGACUUGAAAACCCUUCUUCUCCCACUGACUCAGGCAGUCAUUAAGGUCAACUUCAUUUCGGGAACAAGUAUGCACAAUUGCACCCAGCCCUGCCAAUUCCUCCACUAUCGCAUACCUAAAUAAAACUUUACUAAUUUAACAUAGAGCAAUACAAAAUAAUUCAAACCCAUAAUUCUAAAACAGAAGAAAACACGGGACAAGUGGAGAAAUAAAGAGAAUAUUGCAUUGGAUGUAUAGGAAAAUUAAAACUAACAGAAGAUUAAUGUUCUUAAGUAUCCAAAUUUAGAGAAGCUAACCCAAUUCCUUUGGUUCCACCGGUGACAAGAGCUGUCAUUCCACGUAGAGACCAUGUCCUCUCUCUGCUAUUCAUCUCUAUCUGCUCUCUAAUCUUCCUGUCUGCUCUCUAAUCUAUCUUUAUGCAAAUACUUUGUGGUUUCGGUUAUAUUUCUUUUCGAUAGGAUAACUAUUGUAUAUUUUGGCGGCCAGGGAAAGGUACGCGUGCCAUCUGUUCAUUCAGCAACUUGCAACAUUUUGGUUGCUUGUUUUGACGUGGCAAACUAAUGCAAAUUGAUUGUCCAAUUUGAAUUUGACUAAAUUAUAUUUCAUCCAAUUUCAACAUCUUACAAUGACUGUCUAUUUCAUACAACUUUCGAUUCAAUCGUUACACAGUGAUUCAAUAAUUCAGGACGAAUUCUAAUCUCAUAUUCUAUAAAGCUCGUUUUGAAUUUGAUUCGUGACACCGAUGAAUUAUACACUAUAAAGAAUUGAAGUUUAAAGAACACUAUUUCAACAAACUUUUGGAACUAGAAAGCAAAGAUACUUUUGGAGCUAGAAACAAAUGGAAGGUAUUACGGUUCGUCCUGAACGAGAUCGAUGUCUUUUCGGUUAAUUUUUCAGCAAAUAGACAUGUCAUUGAGAGUAUUGUUUAAACCCAUAAACAUUUUGAACUAUUUUUACUUAACAUCAUCAUAUUUAAAAGGGCUUUAGUUAUUUCACUAGCACUUUCAAUUGGAAACCGCCCCCUGUAACAAGCUAGACAUAUGAAGUUAUGAGAAUACUUAAAGAGCAAGUCGUCCAAAUCAUCUUUAGGUAAUCUUUGGAGGGGUCAGUUGAUGUUGCUUAAAGAGUUUUUGUAACAUUUCUCGUCUAAGUUCACCUCAGUACUUAAGUUUAAUUAUUUUUUAAUCUUUAAUUGUACGAAAAGAAAAAAAAGGGACAUAUAACAUGAAUGUAGGGUCAUCAUAUCAACUAAAAAAGCUUCAUUGGAGUAUUUCGUCGAGCACCUAGUAGGCACCUACCAAUUCCUGCCAACAUAUACCGAAAGCUUAUGCUAACGUAUGUCGACAACUAUUAUUAUUGUAGAGGCUUGUCAAUGGUGGAUGCAAGAUGCCGUGGAGUAAUGUUGAAGAUUGUUAAGACUUGUCAACUAAGGUAUUUCAUUGAGCACAUGGUGGUCACAAUAGAAUCACACAAGAGGAGAGAAAGAAGACAAAUGUGAUAGAAUAAAGUAGAAGAAGUAGGAGGAGGAGGUUGUAAAUUUCGUUUGCCUUAGUUGUUUAUAGGGGUCAAAUAUAAUACGCAAACAAAUAUACAUGAAGGUUUUUAACUUGUUGGGUCAAGAGCAACCAAUGAUCUUAUGCUGACUUUGUCACUGAUAAUAAGAUCCCUGUCUUAAUUUUUUGCUAAGAACAUAAAAAAUCUUGUAUCGUUGAGUAUUGAUAGGAACAUGUCAUCAGCCUUGUUGUAUCUUUGAGGGGCCAAGGAAAAAGAUGAUGUGCAAUGCUUCUUGAGGAGUUUUGUUGUUUCUCAAUAAAAUCUAGUCAUUUGAAUUUCUUGCUUCUAGUACUACCUAAUGCUUGAAGUUUGAACAUGUUAUAGAAGCAUUUUUUAUUGUUUUGAUCAUACAUACAUGUCGAUCAUUUUCAAUGAACUGGCGAUUUCGGUGGUGCUCUUUGAGAUGUUGGAGUCUUCUCUUCAUCAGGUUUGGCGUGAUCUCAGGCGUUUGUUGGUGGCGUUCUAGCGGCGGCGAAGGGUAGCAAGUUGCUAGGGUUUGUUGCGGUUUUUUUCUUUUGGGUGGUCUCAAACUUUUGUUUUGGGCCAUUUUUGCUUUACUCUGGAGGCCUACAUCUAUGUUGUGUGCUUAUUGUGAUUGAGCUUCUUUCUUUGUAAUUAUGUUGUCUUGAUAAUAAUUUUAUCCUUUAAAUAAACAACAAAAAAAAAUUUUCCAAACUUGGAAGCUCUUCUACUAGAGUGAAACGAAAUGUCAAUAGACCGAAUGGUUGGCAAUCUUUUAUUUACAUAUUAAAUUAUAAAUUAAUGUCACCUAUUUUCACAUACAAUUAAAGCACACCACUUUAGAAUUAGAUACGAGAUUUUAUUUUUCCAGACCUGCAGCACUGUCUCUACGACUGCAUAUGCAAUUAUGUAUCCAUGCAGAACUGUUUCCAAGUCAUGCUCCUUGGAAGAGCAAGCCAUUGACGGUCACCCCGCCGUCGACGAUAAUAGUCUGCCCAGUAAUGUAAGAGGCUGCAGGUAGACAUAGAAAUGCUACCAAGGAAGACACCUCCUCUGGCUCUCCAGGACGUCCUAAAGGGCACCGAGAGUUUAUCAUCUCCAAUUUCUUUUCAUUUCGGAGAAACUGCAUGCAAAGAAGAGAUAAUAGAUGAAAAGAGAAUGGAUGUGUAGGACACAUGUAUUAGCGACGAUCUUAAUAAUUGGUCAAGUUAUUCGUAAACAAAUUAAUUAAGAUUAGAAGUAUGAUCUAAACUUGCUGUAAACAAGUCAGGUCUAAGAACCUAUACAUGAAUAAACAAGACAUAUGGACUUUUGGCAAAACCCAACUUUUUAUUCUAAUUUCAAUUAUGGGCUUUUGGCAGAAUCAUCAACGAAAUACGAAUUGGCUUGAAAUUAUGAGAUGAUUGUAAAUAUAAGAUGUUAAAAGAAUUCACUCAUGUAUCUUAUAUGUAGUUUUGAUUUUCCUGCCGCAACAUCGAUUGUAUUUAAAAAUAAAUAAAAAUAAAAUGCAUGCACAAGAACGUGAUCCGAAUAAUCUUACAGGUUCAGCGAGGGGAGUCGUGAUGAACCAAGGUGCCACACUGUUGGUCCUUAUGUUAUCCUUCGCCCACUCACAUGCUAAGUUUUUUGCUAACUGAUUCAUUGCACCUGAGAUACAGUAAAGAAAAGCCACACUUUGGUCUAACAUUAAAAAUCACACACCAAAAACAGCGUAAUCAAAUUUUAGGUUAGUCUAAAAGUGAUAUAAACAAUAUAUGAUACUUUUAAAUUUUUUAAUCUGAUGUAAGGUGUUAGUCUAAAAGUGAUAUAUUUUUUUCAAAGAAUUGAAUGAAUUUUUAACUAAUUAUAAACAAUAUAUGAUACUUUUCAAUUUUUAAUAAAAGUCGGAAAUCUAUAUAAGGAUUAACUAUAAGCACCUUUAGUGGCAGAAUAUAUAGAUUCACCAUCUAUUGAGACCACACCAGCAGUAGAGGACAAAAAAACAAUGCUAGCAGCUCCUGCAGCUUUGAGAAGAGGAUGUGAAAGCUGGCAAAAGUUGUAAGCAGAUUCAAGAUUGGUACUCAUUAUGAAUGAGUAAUCUUCAGCUGUGUACUCUAGCGUUGCUUUCGUCAAGCUAGUCCCCACAUUGUUUAUCUAUAACAAGACAUUAUUGUAAAGGUUUAGCAUAACAUAACGAUUUUAGCUUAUAUGUAUUAUUGAAAAAUGCAUGAAAAUUAUGUGUAUUAAACGUAAAAAGUACAUAUAUACGUGUACACAUUUUUGAGUUUUAAAAAACUUACAAUCUUACAAAUUAUUGAAUUUUGAAAUGUGUACAACAGAGUUAUUUACGAGAGGAUGUUUAGUUUGUCUUGAAAGUGUGAUGAUGAUUCAUGAUUCAUCCACAUAUCUUAUUUCGUCCUGGUUUGGUACUGAGGUGAUUCUGAAAAAAGUAGAUAUCAAAAAAAGUUCCCAGCUUUUUUAUGUUUGGUAAACAUUCAGCUUCAACUUUUUUUCACAGUUUUGGGUGAAAAAAAACCAAAAACACAAAGCUGCAAAACCUAGCUUUGAAAAACCAGUUUUUUUUUCACAUCUGUUUUACAUAAAAGUUUAUCAAACACUAUAAUAUUGUUUUUUUUUUUAAAAGUACUUUUACAAAAAAGUUUACCAAACACUCUACUGCUUUAUUUUACAGUUGCUUAUUCUCACAGCAUAGCAGAAACAAUUUUUUUCAAAACACAACAAUACCAAACCAGCCCUUCAACUGAUCAAUCUUUACUUACAAGGAUGUUGAGUUUGCCAUCAAAAAGUGAUGAGACCUUGUUUAUAAGCUCCUCUCUUUGGGUUUUUGACACCACAUCACAGACUGAGCCUGUGACUUGAAAACCCUUCUUCUCCCACUGACUCUGGCAGUCAUUAAGGUCAACUUCUUUCGGGAACAAGUAUGCACAAUUGCACCCAGCCCUGCCAAUUCCUCCACUAUCGCAUACCUAAAUAAAACUUUACUAAUUUAACAUAGAGCAAUACAAAAUAAUUCAAACCCAUAAUUCUAAAACAGAAGAAAACAUGGGACAAGUGGAGAAAUAAAGAGAAUAUUGCAUUGGAUGUAUAGGAAAAUUGAAACUAAAAGAAGAUUAAUGUUCUUAAGUAUCCAAAUAUAGAAGCUAACCCAAUUCCUUUGGUUCCACCGGUGACAAGAGCUGUCAUUCCACGAAGAGACCAUCUCCUCUCUCUGCUAUUCAUCUCUAUCUGCUCUCUAAUCUAUCUUUAUGCAAAUACUUUGUGGUUUUUAUUAUAUUUCUUUUCGAUAGGAUAACUAUUGUAUAUUUUGGCGGCCAGGGAAAAGUACGCGUGCCAUCUAUUCAUUCAGCAACUUGCAACAUUUUGUUUGCUUGUUUUGGCGUGGCAAACUAUGCAAAUUGAUUGUCCAAUUUGAAUUUGACUAAAUUAUAUUUCAUCCAAUUUCAACAUCGUUCAAUGACUUUCUAUUUCAUACAACUUUCGAUUCAAUCGUUCAAUAGUUCAGUACGAAUUCUAAACUCGUAUUCUAUAAAGCUCGUUUUGAAAACUUGAUUCGUGACACUAAUGAAUUAUACACUAUAAAGAAUCAAAGUUUAAAGAACACUAUUUCAACAAACUUUUGGAACUAGAAAGCAAAGAUACUUUUGGAGCUAGAAAACAAAAGGAAGGUAUUACGGUUCGUCCUGAACGAGAUCGAUGUCUUUUUGGUUAAUUUUUCAGCAAAUAGACAUAUCAUUGAGAGUAUUGUUUAUAGGCAUACAAUUCUUCUUGCUCCACAUUUUUUAAGGUUAAAUUACAUUUUACCCCAUCAAGUAUGGUAUAAAUUACAACCUUAUACAACAUCUUUAAAACAUUUCAAUUUCAUACAUUUAAUUAUAUUUUAUUUUCAGUUUUAUACAUCCGUUAAAAUAUCUGUUAAGUCAACCGUUACAUGAUAAUGUGGUAAAUGAUGACAUGAUUCUCAACUUUGCACCAUGUGAAUAAGAAAAUAAUAAAAAAGGAUUAUUUAAUAAAAAAUCAAUUUAUAUUAUAAUUAAAAACAAACAAAAAUUGAAAAGGGCAUCUGGGCAAUCACCCUCUUCCUCCUCCAGCACCACCACCAACGCACCUACGAAACCCUAGCCGUAAAGAGAAACGCGCACAGCUUCCAUCUCUCUAUCGGCAUAGCCCCAUGUACGAUCAGCCAUGGGCAAAUUUCACGGAUCGUUCGCACAUGCCCUUAUCCAUUCACGCAAGGACCUGCAACCAGAUAUCGACCCGCUACUGAAACCCAGACCAUAAAUCUGAUUGAAGCCCAAACCACUGCCGCACCUGAUCGAUUCUGAACCACGAAUCUGUUCUGAACCACCGCUACGAUAUUAGACCCGAUGAACCACAAAGAGCUGCCAUUUGAUUGUCGCGAUGACCUCUGCCGCAAUCUGUUUGAACCACCGCACCGCGCCCAGACCCCUGCAUCCACAAGCCCGACCUGCUUGCCUCGAGCAGAUGUAACCAAAAAAGCCGGUACCCUUACCAUAUUUGUACUGCACCUGCAUCCACUAGCACCGUCUAGCGCCUGUAUCAAGCCAAAUCCUCAUUUAUUUUCUAUUUUCGUGGUGAAAGGGGGCUUCAAGCCCAGAUCCUAUUUCGUCAAUUUUAAAUGGAGUUGAAAUGAAAUUUUCAAAAUCUUUACAAUUUUUUAAAUUUGCAAAUCAAAGGAAUUCAUAAAAUGAACACAAUUUCAUCAAUUUGGAGCUUUUGAAGUUGUUAAGGGUUGAAGAGGAGGAGGAAAACGAGUUUGGAGAAAGAAAGGCGGCGAGGUUGCUCGAGAAGAUGUAGGGUGGGGUGGGGGGGGAGGUUGCGGGGGAGGUGGGGGGUGGGGCGGGAAGGGUGGGUUUGGGUUGCGGGGAAGGGGAAGGGGGGCGGUUGCGGGUGGUUUUUUUGGAUGGGAGGGUAGGUGAAGAGAGUCGAGGAGAGGAAGAAGGUAGGUGGGGAAGAUGGGUUUCAGUUUUUUUUUUAUUUUUUAAGUGUAAAUUAUUAUAUUUUAAAUGCAUAAAAAAUUAAUUUGUUUGUCAUGGCAUAAAUUUAGCAAUCAUGUCAGCAUAAAUGUAGAUCUCAUAUUUGUCACGUCAUCAUUUAAUUGUAUAUAUGAAAUUGAUAUAAAAUGAUAAGUAGAUGCAUGAAAUUAAAAUGUUUGUAAGAUAACAAUAUAUAUGAAAUUGAAAUAAAAUGAUAAGUAAAUGUAUGAAAUUAAAAUAUUUUAAAAAUAUUGUAAGAAGUUACAAUCGAUCUCAAACUUAAAGAGAUAAAAUGUAAUUUUUUUUUUUAAUGCAAUCUUGUUAAGGGUCACAGAAUGAGUUAAAUAUUCCCACGACUAUACGUAAGAAUCUCGGUCUGAUGGGAUGAAAAUAUGGCUCCCUUUGAAAGUAUUUUUUUUUUUUUUUUACAUUGCGUAGCAUGUUUGUCUUCCGCAAAACACUUCCAAGUAUCUUUUAAACCAAAAACAUUUUAAACUAUUUUUACUUAACAUUAUCAUGUCUCUGCAAUUGCUUUAGUUAUUUAAACAGCAUUUCGAAUUGGAAACAGGCUCUACAACAAGCUAGACAUAUGAAGUUCUGAGAAUAGUUGAUAAGCAAGUUGUCCAAACCAUAUUUAUGUAAUCUUUGGAGGGUUCAGUUUAAAGCAUUUUUCUGACAUCUAUCAUCUAAGUUCACCUCACCACUUAAAUUAAUUAUUUUUUAAUUUUUAAUUGAACGAAAAGUAAAAAAGGGGCAUAUUACAUGAAACGUAAUAAGAUUCCUAUCUAAUUUUUUUUCCAAGAACCAAAAAAAAAAUUACUUGUAUCGUUGAGCAUUGAUAGAGAUAUGCCGUCCAGUAAUCCAGAAAAUUAAUUUUAUGAUCAGCCAUGUAAGGAAAACGAUGAUGUGCAAUGCUUCUUGAGGAGUUUUGUUGCUUCUCAAUAAAAUCUAUUUAUUUGAAUUUCCUGCUUCUACUACUACCUAUUGCUUGAAGUUUGCAUAGAUUAUAGAAGCAUUUUUUAUUGUUCUAAUCAUACAUGUCGAUCAUUUCCAAUUAACUGGCGAUCUUGGUGGUGUUGUUUGGAGGAUGUCGCAAUCUUCUCUCCAUCCAGUUUGGGGGUUGUGUUUAGCCGAUCUCAGGCGUCUGUUGGGAACGAUGGUUUGAGAUGGUGGGUUGGUGGCGUUUUGGCAGUGGAGUAGCAAGUUGCUAGGAUUUGUUGCGGUUUUUUUGUGCUCAAACCUUUGUUUUGGGCCAUUUUUGCUUUUACUUUGAAGGUUGAGUUGAAUAUCAGAGUGCGCAACGAACAAGACUAACAAGAAUAAUAAGAAUAUUAUUAAACUAACUGAUAAUGCCGGAACGGCUACAAAACCCUAAGAGACUAAUAACUUGUUAUUUCUAUAGAGUUACAAAGUACCAUAUAUAUAGAAAAGUAAUCUAACCCUAAUAGACAAGAAAACGAAACCCUAAUUCUAACGGGCUAAGCCCAAAAUACCAAACAUUAAAAUAAAUCUAAAUAAUAAUAUUUUCCAAGACCCCCGUCAAACUCAUGGCGGUACACGACAUGAGUUUGCUAAAAUAGAUGUGGAUGCAAGACUUCAAAUUCCAGUGCUAAUGCCGAUGUCGAUGGCAAUGCUAAUGUCGAUGUCGAUGCCGAUUUCCAAUGCCAAAUUCCAAUACCAUGCCCAAUGCCAAGUUCCAAUACCAUACCCAAUGCAAGAAUACACGGGCAACAAAACCUCAAAACAACCAAAUUUUUUUUUCCUUCCUUCUCCCCCCCCCCCCUUUUUGUUUUCCUUCCUUCGUCCUUCCUUUUUUUUCUUAUGUGCGAACCAACCAGCAACAUCAGCCUUUCUUUUUUUUUUUUUUCACAGGUGUACGGUUGUGGACGGAUCCAGAUGCAAGGUGGGGCUGGGGAAUGCAGAAAUCCUAGUGCGAUGAAGCAUUUUCAAAUUUGGGUGUGAGACAAAUUCACCAAAUUCUUUUUUUUUUCAAAAACAGAAUUUUUUUUCCUUUCUUGAAGACUACCAAGGACAAACUGAAAACCAAACCAGAAAACGUAAAAAAUCUACGAAUGGAAACUGGAAAGAAAUAAAACUGAUACGAACAAACAGAAGUAGAUUAGAUCCCGAAGAAUCAAACAUGCUCUAAAACCAAGUUGAAUAUCAGAGUGCAACAAGACUAACAAGAAUAAUAGGAAUAUUAUUAAAUUAACUGAGAAUGCAGGAACGGCUACAAAACCUAAGAGACUACAUUGUGAAUAAUUUGUUAUUUCUAUAGUGUUACAAAAUACCAUAUAUAUAGAAAAGUAAUCUAACCCUAAUAGGCAAGGAAACGAAACCCUAAUACUAACGGGUUAAGCUCAAAAUAUCAAAUAUUAAAAUAAAUCUAAAUAAUAAUAUUUUCCAACCGGUUCAUAUUUGCGUUGUGUGCUUAUUGUAAUUGAAUUUCUUUCUUUGUAAUUUUGUUGUCUUGGUAAAAAUUUUACUCUAAAAAAAAUCGAGGCUUGAAAGCUCUUCCAAUAGAGCGCUACUAAAUGUCAAUAGACCAAAUGUUUGGCAAUCUUUUAUUUUCUUAUUUAAUUAGAACAUUAAUGAUGUCACCUAUUUGCACAUACAAUAAAAGCACACCACUUUGGAAUUAUUAAAUACGAGAUUUUUUUUUAGAACUGUUUCCAAGUUAUGCUCCUUGGAAGAGCAAGCCAUUGACGGUCACCCCGCCGUCGACGAUAAUAGUCUGCCCAGUAAUGUAAGAGGCUGCAGGUAGGCAUAGAAAUGCUACCAAGGAAGACACCUCCUCUGGCUCUCCAGGACGUCCUAAAGGGCACCGAGAGUUUAUCAUCUCCAAUUUCUUUUCAUUUCGGAGAAUCUGCAUGCAUAGAAGAGAUAAUGGAUGAAAAGAGAAUGGAUGUGUAGGACACAUAUAUUAGCGACCAUCUUAGUAAUUGGUCAAGCCCUUCGUAAACAAAUUAAUUAAGACUAGAAGUAUCAUCUAAACUUGCUGUAAACUUUUCACCCAGAAACUUGCUGUAAACAUGUCAGGUCUAAGAACCUAUACAUGAAUAAAAACAAAAGACAUAUGGACUUUUGGCAAAACCCAACUUUUUAUUCCAAUUUCGACUAUGGACUUUUAGCAGACUAAUAAAUGAAAUACGGAUUGGCCUGAAGUUAUGAGAUGAUUGUAAUAUGAUGUGUGAUAUUCACAUACUUUUUUUUACUUCUUACACAUCAUUUUAAUUUGCGACCGUCGAAUCGGAUAAAUUAAAAAAAGAUUAAAGAACAUAAAUCCAUAAGAGGUGUGUUGAUAGCACACCCCUUGUAAUAUAAGAAGUUCAAAGAAUUCACUCAUGUAUCUUAAAUGCGGUUUUGAUUUUCCUGCAGCAACAUCUGUUGUAUUUAAAAAAAGGAAAAUAAAAGGCAUGCACAAGAACGUGAUUAGAAUAAUCUUACAGGAUCAGUGAGGGGAGUCUUGAUGAACCAAGGUGCCACACUGUUGGUCCUUAUGUUAUCUCUCGCCCACUCACAUGCUAAGUUUUUUGCUAACUGAUUUAGUGCACCUGAGAUACAAUAAGAAAAGCCACACUUUGGUCUAACAUUUAAAAUCACACACCAAAAAUAUUGUAAUCAAAUUUUAGGUGCUUCUCAUCUCAACCUCUUUUGAAACUAGCCACUCCUCUUUUCUCCUCUUACCAAACCCUGAAUUUUCAAACUCCAUAGUUGCCGGCCUCUUGAUUCGACUGGAGGCCGAUGGCAAUCCCUCUCCCCAUUUUUCUAGCCUCUCUUCUUUAUCUUUUCAUAGAUUGUUGCUUAUUUAUUUACGUCUUAGUAUUUUUAUUAAUAAGUGUCUUUUUGGUGAGAUUUUUUGUGGGUAUUUCUUAAUGAGUGUUUUAAGUUGAUAUGGGUGCAGACCCUUUAAGGGAAGAGAUCCCUAUUUAAAAAAAAAAUGGGGCUCCCUCUUGACCAUUAUAUCUGACUUUAAUGAAAUUCUGUGGUUGAGAUUAAAUCACAGGCCACAGAAUUUCAUUAAAGUUAAAUCUAACGGUUAAGAGGGUGUCCCUAUUUUUUUUUUUGGAAAAUAGGGAUCCCUUCCCUUAAAGGCUUUCUAUAUAGGUGGGUAUCGGCUCAUUUUGUGUCUACUUUUUUGGAGUUGGUUUGCUGCAUGUCUUGCGCACAAAGUUCAUGUUGCGCACAAAAUUAGUUUUUAAUCUUAUAUAAAGUAUUAGUCUAAAAGUGAAUUUUUUAAGGAUUUGAAUGAAGUUUUUUUUUUUUAAAUUUUUUAAUUUACAAAUUAUAAACAAUAUAUGUUUAUUUUUUUUAUUUUUAUAAAGGUCAAAAUUAUAAAAGGAAAUUAACUAUAAGCACCUUUAGUGGCAGAAUAUAUAGAUCCAACAUCAAUUGAGACCACACCAGCAGUAGAGGACAAAAAAAUGAUGUUAGCAGCUCCUGAAGCUUUGAGAAGAGGAUGUGAAAGUUGGCACAAGUGGUAAACAGAUUCAAGAUUGGUACUCAUUACGAAUGAGUAGUCUUCAGCUGUGUACUCUAGCGUUGCUUUCAGUAUGCUAGUCCCCACAUUGUUUAUCUAUAACAAGAUAUUACUGGAAAGGUUUAGCAUAACAUAACGUUUUAGCUUGUAUGUAUUAUUGAAAAAAGCAUGAAAAUUACGUGUAUCAAUUGUAAAAAAUACAUACGUAAGUGUACAUCUUUGAGUUAAAAAAAAGUACAAUUUUACGAAUUAUUAAAACGUUUAUAGCAAACAGAAAUAUUUACGAGGAUGUUUAGUUUGUUAUGAAAACGUGAUGAUGAUUAAUGAUUCAUGCAUAUAUGUUAUUUCAAUUGAUCAGUCUACUACUUACAAGGAUGUUAAGUUUGCCUUCAAAAAGUGAUGAGACCUUAUUUAUAAGCUCCUCUCUUUGGGUUUUAGACACCACAUCACAGACUGAGCCAGUUACUUGGAAACCCUUCUUCUCCCACUGACUCAGGCAGUCAUUAAGGUCAGCUUCAUUUCGGGAACAAGUAUGCACAAUUGCACCCAGCCCUGCCAAUUCCUCCACUAUAGCAUACCUAAAUAAACACUUCACUAAUUUAGCAUAGAAUUGUAAAAAAUAAUUCAAACCCAUAAUUCUGAAACAGAAAAAAACAAGGGACAAUUGGACGGAUAAAGAGAAUAUUGUAUUGCGUGUUUAAGAAAAAUUGAAACUAAAAAAAAGAUUAACGUUCUUAAUUAUCCAACUUUAGAGAAGCUAACCCAAUUCCUUUGGUUCCACCAGUGACAAGAGCUGUCAUUCCACGAAGAGACCAUCUCCUCGCUCUGCUAUUCAUCUCUAUCUGCUCUCUAUUCUCCCUGUCUGCUCUCUGCAAAUACUUAGUGGUUUAUAUUUUAUAUUUCUAAUCGAUAAUGAUUAUAAGUCUUAUUUUGGUGGCCAGGGAAAAGUAAGCGUGCCAGCCGCCUACAAAUAGUUUCUCCUCAGCAACUUGCAACUUUUUCUUGUUUUUUUGGAAACUAGCAACUUGCAACUUUCAACUUUUUGUUUGCUUGUUUUGAUAUGGCAAAGUAUGCAAAUUGAUUGUUCUUCAAUUUGAAUUUGACUAAAUUAUAUUUCAUCCAAUCGUACAAUGUCAUUCAAUUACACACAACCUCCAAUCCAAUCGUUACAACCUCCAAUCCAAUCGUUACAAGUACAAUAAUUGAGGAUAAAUUUCAGAUUCAUAUUUCACACAACACGUUUGGAAUUCGAUUGCAUGCGUUGAUGAAUCACACAAUGGUGGCCAAAGAGAAGUUGAAAUGUCACCAAGUGCUUAUCUUUUAAAAGAUUAAUAAAAUACAACCUCUGAUUUGGUACUAAUGUCAUACAAUCGUUAGUCAAUCUGUCAAAUAAGUCAUUAGGUGAUGAUGUGACAAGUGCAGCUCACAUUUUGUUAACUUUUGAGUCCAAAUUUGUGCCCCAUGGUUAAAGCAAAUUAAAAGAAAAAAUAAUAAUUAUUAAUAAUGUAAAAAUUAGAAAUCAUUUUUUUUUUAAAGGAGUACACUAUUCAUUAAUAACUAGAACAACGUACAAAUAGGGAAAAUGUGCUAACAGAGGGCCUAUAUAAAAACCUUACCGGUAAGUAACCCAAAUAAUGUAAAAAGAGUAUGUCUCGCAUAAAAUAAUAAGGACUAAAUUCCAAACAACCAAAUGUUAACUGUGAACACCAUCCUCCAACAAGAGAUCAAAAAUUAAAUCAGGAGGUCCCUCAAACCACGAAACCGGAUGAUCCAAAGUUAAAUUGAAUCUAGCUAGUCGGUGAGCCACCGAGUUUGCAUUUCAUCGUACAAAGCCUGCUUUCCACGAUUUAAAGGACUGCAUAAUCCUCCUGGUGUCUUCCAAUAAUAACGCAAACGGUACAUGGUUAGCCAUUGCAUUGUUUUGGAUUGCAGCAACUACUAGCAGCGCAUCACCUUCCAAUAUAACCUGGUCAGCACGCCACUAAAGUGCAAAAACAGCAGCUUCCCGUGCUGCAGCAACUUCCGCCUGCAUCGAAUCUGGCCUUGAGCUUCAUUACAAACCUUAAUAGCAUGAAUCUGGCCUUGAGCUUCCCAAUCAUCCAACAAAGCCGAGAGGCCUUCUGCACAUAUUACAAACAAGAACGGAGACAAUGGAUCCCCUUGCCGAAUCCCUCGUUUUGGGUGUACGAAUCCCACAGGAUCCCCAUUAAACUUGAAAGAAUAAGUCACAGUAGUAACACACAUCAUAAUCCAAUUAAUCCAUUCCUCAGCAAACCCCAAAUGUCUCAUCAUUUGCUCAAGGGAAGACCAUUCAAUACGAUCAUAUGCUUUAUUGAUAUCUAGCUUCAAAGCCAUCACACCCUUCCAACCGCUAUUCUUUGUUUUCAUAGCAUGAACAAUUUCCGAAGCCACCAAACAAUUAUUGGAAAUUAACUGACCCGAGAUGAACCCACUUUGGGAAGGCGAAAUAAUGUCAGGUAACACCAACUUCAACCUGUUCAUGAGAACUUUGGAGCAUAUCUAUAUAUAACAUUACAUAAACUGAUUGAGCGAAGUUGAGACAUGAAAGUAGGGUCCAUUUUCUUAGGAAUAAGAGUAACGUGCGUAAAAUUAAUUUUGCUCAUCAUACUUCCUGAAGAAAGGAGAGAACGAACCCCCUCAUAGAUGUCAUGACCAACGAUAGGCCAAUGUUUUUGGUAGAAUCCCAGAGUCAUCCCAUCUGGUCCAGGCGCCUUAAUGGGGUGCAUUUGAAAAAGAGCAUUCUUGUUCUCGUCAUCAGAAAACGGUACCAAGAACCCUUGAUUCAUCUCAGCCAUCACCUUUGGAGAAACCGUGCGAAGAACAGCAGACGCAUCAACCUGACCCGUGGAAUCAAACAACUUCUGAAAAUAAUUAACUAUUACCGCAGCCAUGCCAUCCUUGCUUUCCUGCCACUGCCCAUCGUCAUCAAACAAACCAUACAAACCAUUACUUCGCAACCGCCUAGAAGCCUUUUGAUGAAAAAAUCUUGUGUUUUGCAAUAUCAUUUAAUAUUUUAUCUAAAAAUUAAAGAAAAAAAAGAAAGAAAAUUUGAAACGCAGAUCUUCAUCUUCCUGUCCACCCAAUGCAGGUGACGAUCCCCCUCCCUGCAAUCAUCAAACCAAAAAGCUCCGCCGAAAUCAAACAAUCACAAUCAUCAAACCACCACCACCGUCAGAUUCCCAUGUGACCAUGAUAAUUAAGCAGUGCGAUUAUUUCAUUUAGCUUUACAUUAUUACCUGUUUAAUCUUUUACAAACAUAUUAAUUUCUUAUCCUCUAAUUGGGCAAUUUACUGUUAAAAAGUUAUGUCCUUACUGGCUGUUUUAGCCAAGGUUCUAAAAAACGCUAGGCGCUAGUCGGGCGACGAGCCAGUGCCUAGGCGGCUUAGGUGGAUUUAGGUAAAUUUCUUAUAUAUCUUGUAGAUAAGUGCAUAUUGACACAUAAAAAAUUAUAUUUGUAUGAAAUUCAUGGAUAAGAUAAUAAAAGAAUGAUAAAAUAUAAAAAGAAUAUUUAGUUUUUAAAUAAUUAGUAUUUAAUUUUUAAAUAAUAAAUAUUUAAAAACCCCACCAAGUGGGUUUGGUAGUUCAUAAACAUUUAAAAAUCAAAUGGUCGUUCAUAAAAUCCACGUGUGAGAGGUUUGACACCUCCCUUCCACCUCCACUUUCUCACAUCAGGUAGGAUUCAAAAGGUGGAGCUAGUUAUGCCUUGGAAAGCGAUCUCACAUUAUUUUUUUUGGGUUUUCUUUUCCUCUUCUGCCUUGGAAAGAGGAAAGCCCCAUUAAUGUUUUGAAAUUUUUUACUUCUUCUCUUCUUCUCCUUCUCUGAUUACUCUAUUUUUCCAUUUCCUCUUCUUCUGUUGCUCUGUAAAUUUCCACAGUAGCCUUUCUCGCUUCUUCUCCGAGCUUCUUUCUGCUUCCAAGGCGCUCACUCUGUCUCUCUCUCUUCUAGCUGCCAAGUAACUUCCAGUUCUGCCCCCAUCAACUCUAUUAAUUCCACCAUGAAACUUUGCACAUUCUGCAACUCCAUCCAAAAUCCAUCUCUAAAGUUCCAAUCUUUUCUCUUAAUCUUCUCAGCUCCACCACUCAUUCUACCCCUCAGAACCCAACAAAUUACAUAUGGGUCCCUCCCAAAGUCCUCAAACAAGCUUCCUUUCCACCACAAUGUCACCCUCACAGUCACCGUCGCAGUCGGAACACCGCCGCAGAAUGUUUCGAUGGUCAUCGACCCCAGAAGCGAGCUUUCCUGGCUUCACAGCAACAAAACCCGGGACUAUAACAAGACAUUCGAUCCGACCCAAUCCACCUCCUACUCCCCCGUCCCAUGCUUCUCAUCCACUUGCACGAACCGGACAAACCUUGCCAAUUUAUGAAACGAUUUUGAGUUAAUCGCGGCGAAGCACCGCCGCCUAGCGCCCAGGCACCGCCUAGGCGGCCGCCUCAACCGUUUUUUAGAACACUGAUUUUAGCUCACUCCUCUUUUGUUUUGCAGGUUUACAAAUAGACAAUCAAAAUGGUAGAUGGAAUGAGAUUGAAUUAGUUUUGAGGCUAGAAGUUCAAUUAAUUUUUAUUUUGGACUCGUCGAGAAGUAUGAUUUUCGUUUUUGAAUCACUUGAUUUCGUUGAGUAUUAAAGAAGGUAUGAACGUUUAAAGUUUACCCAGUUUCCAGCGAGUUUUUCAGUUUUCCCUCGGACCAGUCAACUUUGAGACUAUUUUCCGGCCAUCUCUAGAAAUCAUUGGGCUUCCAAAUAGGUAUAAUUUUAUUCUACACUUUCUUAUCUUCAUUUUGAUAUAUUAUAGGUUGAAUUUGGCUAAGAAACGAUUGAGUUACGAAGUUUUCAAAAUUGCCCAAACUUCCGGCUAAAAGCUCUGGGACACUUAAUUGAGUUUUUAACGGAAUGAUCAAAAUGAUGGAUGGUGGACAAUCUCAGGGAUCACUUUUAUUGAUUUGGAAUGUUAUGAACCAAAGUGAUAAGUUAUACAAAUCACAGAGACCAUUUUAGCUAUUUAGCCAGUAGAAAAAUAAUUCAAAUCCAUAAUUCAUCCACGGACGUUUGCAACUUUUUGUUUGCUUGUUAUCAUGUCACAAACGACGCAAAAUGAUUGUCCUUGAAUUUGAAUUUGGGUAACCUUAAAUUUUCGUCCAAUUUCAAUAUUAUACCUCUCUCAAUUUUUAUAUACCAGCCGUCAAAUUUGAUUAAGUGAUAAAAUGAAAAGUUUGGAACUUAUAUUUUACUGAUUUGGAGUCCAAAUUUAUGCCACAAGUUAGAACAAAUUAAAAAAAAAGUUUUAUUAUUAAUAAUGUAUAAAUUAGAAAAUCAUCUGCAAGAUCAUUUAAUAUUUUAUUUAAAAUUUAAAAAAAAACAAACGAAGGAUUUUUAUCACAAAUGGUCCAUGAAAUUGAUCCCUCAAUCAUGAUGGUCUCUAAAAUUGAAAAUCGAUCAAUGUAAUCACUGAAUAUUAGUCCCGCAAAUCAAUGUCUUUCUGUCACUGUUCCGUCCAAACUAGCGUUAAGAGAUUUUUUGGAAUUAGAUAAGAUAUAUAUUUUUUCCCUGAUCUCAAGCAUUGUCUCUUCUACUACAUAUGCAUACAUAUAGAACUAUUUCCAAGUCAUGCUCCUUGGAAGAGCAAGCCAUUGAUGGUCACCUCGCCGUCGACGAUAAUAGUCUGCCCAGUAAUGUAAGAGGAUGCAGGUAGGCAUAGAAAUGCUACCAAGGAGGACAACCUCUGGCUUUCCAGGACGUCCUAAAGGUCACCGAGAGUUUAUCAUCUCCAAUUUCUUUUCAUUUCCGAGAAACUGCGUUUAUAGAAGAGAGAAUUGAUGUGUAGGACACAUAUAUUACAAGCGCUUCAUUAACAUAAUAAAUAAGGCUAGAAGUAUGAUCUAAACUCGCUGUAAACUUUUCAUCAAAAAACUUGUUGUAAACAAGUCAGGUCUAAAAUUGAACCUAUACAUGAAUAAACAAAAGAUAUAUUGAACGCGAUUUAAGAUGUUUAGAAUAACGGUAGCCGGCUAUCUAGGCAGCUUUGGAGGUGGUUAGCAUGUCAAUUAUGUAUCUCUAUGUCUUUUUCAGAUUCUCUGGUUGCUUUUUGGGAUGCCUACGUAAGCCCUUUUCCUAACAACUGCACAAUCUAUGGAUUUUUUCGAAUCUUUAUACUAUUUUGACUAUUUGGAAAUCUCAAAAUAGGUUUAUUUUUUAGGGUCACCCAAUCUAUUUUCAUCGGCUUUGCAUGUCUAUCAAUUUUGGGAUCGUUCAUGGUUGGAAGUUUAUUCCUACUUAUUCUCAAGGCACUAGUCUAUCCUUGGCAAGGCUUCAACUAGUCAUCCUGUGCUUUGGUCUUUCCUUGGAUUAAACUUAAUACAGAUGGUUUGUCCAAAGGAAAUUCCAGUCCUACUCCUUGUGGAGGAGUUUUCAAAGAUUGCCAUUGCACAACCCGUCUCGAUUUAUUUUACGGGUUUUACGGAACGGAAGGUUAGUCUCAUAAUUUCACUUUGGUUUUAAAAAUGUGUUUGAAAAGGGUUUCUUUUGGACCUUAAAUGGUGUGCCCAAGGGGGCCCACCCCUAAUUUUCUGUCCCUGAUUCCCCUUUCCCCCGCCUGCCACGUGGCAAACCCCUACCCACUUCAUUUCUCAUUCUCUUCUCCCCGAGCACUCACUCUCUCAGCUCUAUAUCACUCUCUUUCACACACUCAACCUCUCUCCCUCAUCCCGAUUCACUCACACAUCCACACACCCAAAUCAAGGAAAGCAACGGCGACGGCGACACCAUCACAUCCACCGUGGUAGCACUCUCCCUCAUAUCUGUGAAGAAACCGGACACCUAGAGGGCACCCAAACCAAGACUUCGGCGAGCCCAGUGGGUUUCGAGCAAUGAAUCGGCCACCUUCGGCCAUUCCACGAUGAUUAGGAGGUAACCAAUCUUUCCUUUUUGUCUCUAUUUCAUUUUGGUACCUAGAUCGAGUCUUAGGUGUGAGCAGCGACGUCGACCGAAACUCAAGAGGCUCCGGCUUCCUUCCCCAGCGAGAAUAGGUAGCCAAGGCCCUUGGGUCGAGGAAACUAAGGCCUUUGGCCCGCUAAAGCUUUAGCCCAAGACCAAAGGGUUUCAGCCUGUGAGCUUUAGACCCAAACCCUUUUUAUUUAUAUUUAUUUUGUUUUCUUUUAAAAACCCAAAAACAAUCGGGCUAGGUUUCAAGCCCAACCCAGCCCAUUUAAAAACCCCUUAACCUUUUUAGACCCUUGCCUUAGGGCCGUUUGAGAUUAGGUCUUUGGGCCUUUGCAUCCGAGCCCAAACCCUUUGAAGCAAGCUUUCAGGCCAUGUAGAAGUUGGGCCUUUGGGGCCUGUGUAAAUCGAACCCAACCCAGAGAGAGACAGGCCUUUGGGCCAUCCAACUUGGGCCUCCAGCUCGGUAGUCUUAAUCCCAACUCGAACCCAUGAACCAUUGAUCGACUCGGACCCGUUAACCGUUGACUGGUUCGACCGUUAACUUAGUCAACAUUGAUCGUUGACUUUGACUUUGGUUUGUUGACUUUUUCUGGUUUUGUUCAGAAACCUUCUAGGCUAAUUUCGACGUCCUAGAACCGUUUUUUAUGUCCGUUUUCCCAAAUUCAAUUGUUUGAAUAUAGUUUUAUUAAUUGGACCAUUUAUGUGCUUAGGGGCAAUUAUUUGUGGUGUUUCCAUCUUAACUAGUUUGCGUGGCUCUUCGGCAGCGAGGUAUCUGUGAUUGGACCCUUUCUAAAAUGCAUGUUUUAAUAGUAGAAAUGCAUACAUGAAAAAUAUGAUUUAAUGAUUAAGUUUUAUGAAAUGUUUUAUGAGAUAUUAUCUUACUGAGAAUAUAUUGAAUUAUCAUAUUUUAUCGAACUAAUGUUCUUUGUAGUAUAUAUGAUGGAUGACUAUAUACUGCUUACGAACAUGCUUUUACACACUUUUUUAUAGUAUAUAUGAUGGAUGACUAUAUGCUAUGAAGAUGAUUUUGAGAUAUAUGUAUUUAUAUUUUGGGAAAUACUAUACUCAAUGUUUUUGUGUGUAUCUAGUGGUCACUGUUCUACCUACGGGCAAUGAUACUUAUAUUGGCUUCGGCUGGGCGUAAGUUGGUGCCUGUUUGGCAAAUGUAGUGUUCUGAAGGAAAUGUUCUAAAUGAGGAGUUCUCUAUGCCUUCGGGCGAUAUUGAUACCACUAGUUAGCACAUUAUAUACGUGAUAUUUAAGGUUUUAUGGCAUGCUAGGGUUUCAGAAACCUAUUACAUAUUAUAUUAUUGAAUUUCCAUAAACCUUUAGGGGUUAGUAUGUUGAUAAUUAUUUCAUUCUUAUAUGUAUAUCAACUUGGUCCGCUCUUGUUUGUUUUGCACCCCCUCAGGACUUAGAUUUGAGGUGUAAAAUCCCGGCAUCAAGGCACUUCCGCAUCGGCAUCUUCAAGUCUUCUUGGUGUAGGACCCAUUCCUUCAUUCAUUUAAUUUUAUAUUAUUUCGUUGGUUUUUACAUUAAAGUGACGUGAAUUAGAAAUCUCAUUAAGAGGAAGUCUGGUUAAGACCAGCUGAAGAUCCGAAAUGACGAUGCCACUUUGUAACAUGUGUUUCCCUAGGAAUUGGGAGCAGAGUCGGAUCUUCAUCGGAAUGUUGGGAAAUGAAAAAAUCUUAGUGGUACGAGUUGGUUAAGACCAACUGGAAAUCUAAGCGGUGUUGGACUCUGCGACAUGUGUACCCUAGGAAUGGCGGGCAGAGUCAUAUCCUUAUGGAAAUUACUUGAAAGUUCGUGUUAGAGAAAAUGAGUAAACGCUAGUUGUUACGAAGUUUAGUAAAUGGUAGUUUGGUGGGAUUGAAUCAAUGUUCUUGGACUCGUUUCCACUGAGAAAAUUCUUGUGGAUCUUUAGAACAAUUCUCGGUGAUUGUUCUAUCAAUAACUUUCUUGCUUACUCCAAUAGCGAAGUCAAGUCCCCUAACCUUUGACUGUCAACUUCACAUCAAAUUAUUCGAACGUUGUUUUUUACUAGAGUAUAGAAAUGUCAACUGCACUAUUGUGUACCACCUCGAUUGUGCAAGCGUAGUUGCUGAAUACCUCGGUAGAAAAAACACACAAAGCUCAAAGGGGAUAUAGGUUGAAUGUUUUGGCUUCCUAAUAAUGAGGCAUGGUAGAUCAGCAGAGUAAUGCAAUUGCAUAUUGCGAUGAUUAACCAAAUAAUCAUAAACAGUGACUUCUAUUUUUGCAUCUUCACUUUCCUUGGUUAUUUGUUCCUCAAUGUAAAACUAGAUCAUACUGUCGUACUGAUGUUUUUUACUACCCUUCCCGCCAAGCCCAUUCUGAUCAUGUAAACCUAAUCGAACAAUUAUCUAGUAAGACCGUAUUGGAUUAGAAAACCUGAAAAGCCAAAUCUACUAAAAUCAUAUAAAUUUGUCAGGAGGUUCAAAACAUCAAAUUAUUUCACGAGUUGCUGGACGAAGUUGAUUGACAAGUUAUAUUAAUAGGUGUGUUUUUGUGGAUGCGUACGCCCAGUUUCAUAUCGAUUCAGACAGGAAUGUUAGGAGUGUAACCUUUUCACAAGCUUACCAGAAUUACCGGAAAGACUUCCAUGUAGAUGUGAGCUUUGAGUCGUCUUUUAGUAAGAGAAUGAUGAAGAUUAUAGCGCAGGUGGUCAGCGAAUUGCAUCAUCAAUCAUUAUCUUCACGCAUAAAUGAAUAGUCACCACUCAUUAUUUUGCUGCAAUUCAUGAACAUCAUAUCGUACUUUAGUAGUUCUUUCCCAAUGAUAUGAUGCCUAUGAAUUGUAGCAAGAUAAGGAGAUGUGUGCGCUUCAACGCAUCUUUCCAAUGUUUCACUCCAAGACCUUAUUGUUCUUGAGUACGUGGAUGUCAAAACACUUUUAGUAGAUUUGAUUGGUGCGCUCUGGAAUGGUACCACAUCACGGUCAAGGCGAGAAUCAAAUGAUCUUUUCACACUCUCAUGUUGCUGAGCAAAAUGGUAUUUUGGCACUUUUGGCGACAUGGUACGAGAACUUUUACAGGCAACACCUGUUGACAAAGGGAUUUUUGCGAACUUGUAUCUGGAGGAUCGAAUUUAUGAUGUGAGAAAUUAUGCACCCUUAAGAAAUCACUGCUUGCUUACUGAGACAAUAAUGGGUGGUUGAUAUCGUGGGGAGCUGACUGUGAUAUCGAUAGCUUAUUCGUUGGAUCCGUUAAGCAUGUGGGCAGGUAGACCCAUCUACGGUAGAUAUUACUGAGUAGUCAUCGUUGGGGCUCGACCCAAAGACAAUUUUUCUCGUGGUACAUGACGUUACAUAUACGUGGGUGAAACCCACUUUCAUUUUCGGUUUUGGUUUUUAGUACAAGUAUUUUAACUUACAUAUUAUAGUUGUACGUGUUUUCUGAAGUUAAACAAAAAUUGGUCGAGUUAUUUCCACUUUCACUGUUGAGUUCAAUACGAAUUAUUCGACCUCUAUGUUAUUACUUAUCUAUUUUGACGUUAUCAUAUUUUGCAUACUUAUUUUUGAUGUUUUCGACUUUAUAUCUUUAUAAAGUAUGUUUUCUACUUUUACACUGAUGGGGAAAGAAAGUAUGAGCCUGGAGGCACGAAAGAUGGAAUCAUUGCAACCUGAUCACGAUGGUGUGGCAUUUUCCCUUUUCUACAACUGCUCUGACUUGAUUUCUUCUAUACAUAUAUAUUUUCUUCUCCCUAUUUUCAAGUUUUUUAGUGUAGCAAGUUAUUUUAAAUUUCGUGACAAAAUUUUAUUUAAUGGGGGUAGAUUAUGACAACCCGUCUCAAUUUAUUUUGUGAGUUUUACGGAACGGAAGGUUAGUCUCGUAAUUUCACUUUGGUUUUAAAAAUGUGUUUGAAAGAGGUUUGUUUUGGACCUUAAAUGGUGUGACCAAUGGGGACCACCCUUAAUUUUCUGUCCCCGGUUCCCUUCUUCCCCACUUGCCACUUGGCAGAUCCCUACCCAUUUCCUUUAUCUUCUCCUCGAGCACUCACUCUCUCAGCUCUCUAUCACUCUCUCUCACACACUCACCCUCUAUCCCUCAGACUAUUUCCCUCACCCUAAUUCACUCACACAUCAACACACCCAAAUCAAGGAAAGCAACGACGACGGCGACACCACCACAUCUACCAUGGUAGCAUUAUCCCUCUCCCUCGUCUCUGUGAAGAAACGGGACACCUAGAGGGCACCCAAACCCAGACUCCAGCGAACCCAAUUGUUUUGAGCAAGGAAUUGGCCACCUCCGACUAUUCCACGAUGAUUAAGAGGUAACAAUUUUUUCCCUUUCGUCUCUAUUUCAUUUUGGUACCUAGAUCGAGUCUUAGGUGUAAGCAACAAUGUCGACCGAAGCUUGGGAAGCUCCGGCCUCCUUCCCUAGCAAGAACAGGUAGCCAAGGCCCUUGGGCCGAGGAAUCUAAGGCCUUUGGCUUGCUAAACCCUUAGCCCAUGACCAAAGGGUUUCGGCUCGUGAGCUUUAAACCUAAACCCUUUUUAUUUUUAUUUAUUUUGUUUUCUUUUAAAAAUCCAAAAACAAUCGGGUCAUGCUUCAAGCCCAGCCCAAUUGAAAACCCUUUAAUCCUUUCGAACCUAGGCCUUAGGGUCGUGUGGGAUUUGGACUUUGAGCCUUUGCAUCAGAGCCCAAACCCUUGUAGCCCCAAACCCUUUAAAGCAGGCUUUUGGGUCGUGUGGAAGUUGGGCCUUUAGGGCACGUGUAAAUCAAACCCAACCCAAAGAGAGGCAGGCCCUUGGGCCUCCGACCCGGUAGCCUGAAGCCCAACCCGGUUCGACCCGAAAUCGUUGACAGACCCGGACCCGUUGACUGUUGACUUUGACUUUGACCGGUCAAAGUGGACUUUUUGUUGACUUUUUCGGGUUUUGUUUAGGAACCCUCCUAGGUUAAUUUCGACAUCCUGGAUCCAUUUUUGACAUUUGUUUUCCCAAAUUCAAUCGUUUGAAUAGAGUUUUAUUAAUUGGACCCUUUAUGUGCUUAGGGGUAAUUAUUUGUGGUGUUUUUGUCUUCUUUAGUUUGCGUGGCUUUUCGACGGUGAAGUAUCUGUGAGUGGACCCCUUUUUAAAAUGAAUGUUUUAAUAGUAGAAAUGCACACAUGACAAGCAUGAUUUAAUGAUUCAUUUUAUGAAACGUUUUAUGAGAUAUUAUGCUUACUAAGAAUAUUUUGAAUUAUCAUAUUUUAUCGAACUGAUGUUCUUUGUAGUAUAUAUGAUGGAUGACUGUAUACUGCUUACGAACAUGCUUUUACACACUUCUUUAUAGUAUAUAUGAUGGAUGACUAUAUGCUAUGAAGAUGAUUUUGAGAUAUAUGUACUUAUAUUUGGGGAAAGACUAUAUUCAAUGUUUUUGUGCGUAUCUAGUGGUCACUGUUUUGCCUACGCUCAUCUUUCUCCUUUUACCAUACUUUAAACAUACAAACUCCAUAGUCGCUGCCCUUCCUCCUACUGGAGGCCGGUGGCAAUCCCUCUCCCCAUUUUGCUAGCCUCCCUCUUUUAUCUUCUCAUAGAUUGUGACUUAUCUAUUUUUUGUCUAAGUAUUUUUGUCAAUAAAUAUCUCCUUGUUGAGAUUUUUUCAGUCCUUCUUCAUGAUUAUUUUAAUUUUGUGUUCGUAUGUUAUUGGCUUCUUCUGUGCAACUUUGUUGAAAUUGGUUCAUUGAUUGUGUUGCACACAAAAUUAGCUUUUAAUCUGCUAUAAGGUGUUCGUCUAAAAGUGAUAUUUUUUUUUUUUAAAGAUUUGAAUGAAUUUUUAACUAAUUAUAAACAAUAUAUGAUACUUUUCAAAAUUUUAAUAGAAGUCGAAAUCUAUAUAAGGAAAUUAACUAUAAGCACCGUCUUAUUUGGCAGCUCGGACUGUACUGACUAUUUCUAUUAGAUAUGAUAAAUAGCCACCAGAUAGUACUGAGUAAAUUAGUCGAGUGUUUGGUGUAGUAUCAGACUAAUAACCGUAUUAUUUAUACUGUGUUUGAUUUUAUACCGGAUAGGAGGAAUCAAACUUAAAAAAAAAAAAAUUAAACUUAAAAAACAAAACAGAAACCAUCACUUUUGUUCCCAGAUCUCUCCGCCGCACCCCUCAAACUCCCUCAAUCUCUCUCCCUUCUUCUUCUUCCCCGACUACAGAAGAAUCCCAAAUAAUUGUUCCCCAAAUCUCUUUGUCGCACCCCCCCCAAACUCCCUCCCUCUCUCUCCUUUCUUCUUCCCCGAUUGCAGAAGAAUCCCAAAUAAAUUCAAACAGCCAGUUGCGGAAGAAUCCCAAAUUGAAAUCAUCUCUCCGCCGCACCAUGUUUCUUUGCAAGACCCAGUUGCAGGGGAGAACAACGAGUAGGCAAUGAGGAAGGCCACAAGGAGACGAGGACUAGGAGAGCAAAGAUGGCGAGAGAAAGUGACGGCGACAGAAAACAACGGUGAGAGAAAGCGACGGGGAGGACGGCGAUGGUGAAAGAAGGUGACGGGGAGGACGAUGACGCCGAGAGAAGGAGAGAGAGAGAGAAGGCCAACUAAUAAUCCGAGCAUUUUGGUUGGUUUUAUUAAUCCGACGUAUACUGUGUUAAAUAAACAGACCAGUUAAAUUAAUCUGGCGCUUAUUUAGUACGAGUGAACGCCAAACACCCACGUCUGUAUAACUAGUCCUAUUCGAUCCUUUAUCCGAUCUGCCAAACAGGGCCUUAGUGGCAGAAUAUAUAGAUGCAACAUCUAUUGAGACCACACCAGCAGUAGGGGACAAAAAAAAAACAAUGUUAGCAGCUCGUGCAGCUUUGAGAAGAGGAUGAAAGUUGGCACAAGAGGUAAGCAGAUUCAAGAUUGGUUAUGAAUGAGUAAUCCUCAGCAGUGUACUCUAGAGUUGCUUUCGGUAUGACAAUCCCCACGUUGUUUAUAUAUAACAAGACAUUAUUGAAAAGGUUUAGCAUAACAUAACGAUUUUACCUUAUAUGUAUUAUUGAAAAAUGCAAGAAAAUUAUGUGUAUUAAACAUAAAAAGUACAUACAUACGUGUAGAUCUUUGAGUUUUAAAAAACAUACAAUUUUACGAAUUAAUGAAAUUUGAAACGUGUACAACAAACAAAUUUAUUUACGAGGGGAUGUUAAGUUUGUUAUGGAAGUGUGAUGAUGAUUCGUGAUUCAUGCACAUAUGUUAUUUUAACUAAUUAGUCUUCUACCUACAAGGAUGUUGAGUUUGCCAUCAGAAAGUGAUGAGACCUUGUUUAUAAGCUCCUCUCUUUGGGUUUUUGACUUGAAGACAGAUCCGGCCUCGGGAGUUGCGAUGGACCUUGUUUAUAAGCUCAUCUCUUGGCUGAAUGGAAGUAUUGACCAAGGCAACUGGGAGGUUUUCCAGACCAAGUGGGAGAUUUGUUGAGAAGGUGCGGAUUUCAGUUUGUGUGAAUGGUCUUGGGUACCGAGAUCAGCCAAUAGAGCGGCGGAUUUUGUGGUGUCGCAUGUUGGAGCGGAGAUAUGCGACUUAGUCUGGGUUCAACGACCCCCAUCUUCGUUUAUUCGGAAUCUGAACAAGGAUGGUCUACCCUGCCCUCCAACUUAGCUUUUGUUAGAUGUGAUUAAGGUGACAUUGGGGGGGGGGGGGGGGUGCAUACGUGUCGUAGUUUUUCCCUUAGUCCCGUUUAUUUCUGAUGUUGUUUGCCCAAGGUGGCUUUCUGUACUCCUAUUUGGCUUUGGCCCUAGUGAAUGAUAUUUUCCGAUUAUUCAAAAAAAAAAAAAAAAACACACUAUGCAAAUUGAUUGUCCAAUUUGAAUUUGACUAAAUUAUAUUUCAUCCAUUUUCAACAUCGUACAAUGUCUUUCUAUUUCGUACAACUUCUUAUUCAAUCAUUACACGAUGGUCCAGUAGUUUAGGACGAAUUCUAAACUCGUAUUCGAUAAAACUCGUUCUGAAUUUGAUUCAUAACACUGGUGAAUCAUACACUAUAAUUUUGGAGCUAGAAAACAAAUGGAAAGUAUUAGAGAGUGGGAGAGAACUUUGUGUUUACAGUACCACGUCCAGAAUGAGAUCGAUGUCAUUUUGGUUAAUUUUUUAGCAAAUACUACAUUUUCUUAAUGCAAUCUUGUUAAUGGUAACAUAAUGAGUUUAAUGCUCACAAGAUCUCAAAAAUUGCAUAGCAUGUUAUUCUUCCACAAACAGUUCAAGUACUUUUUAAACCAAACACAUUUUAAACUAUUUUUAAUUAACAUUGUCAUGUUUGCAAGCGCUUUAGUUAUUUAAAAGCAUUUUGAAUUGGAAACGGGCCCUACAACAAGCUAGACAUAUGAAGUUUUGAGAAUACUUGAUGAGCAAGUUGUCCAAACCACAUUUAUGUAAUCUUUGGAGGGUUCAGUUGAUGGUGCUUAAAGCGUUUUUCUGACAUCUCUCAUCUAAGUUCACCUCACAACUUAAAAUAAUUAUUUUUUAAUUUUUAAUUGCAUGAAAAGAAAAAAAAAGGGACAUAUUAUUACAUGAAACAUAAUAAGAUUCCUAUCUUAAUUUUUUUUCUAAGAACAAAAAAAAAACCUUGUAUCGUUGACCAUUGAUAGAGACAUGCCGUCCAGUAAUCCAGAAAAUUAAUUUUAUGGAAAACUAAUGAAAAUAGCUUGAAAACUUUGAGUUUUAAAGAUAAGGACAAAAUAAAGAAAAAAGUGAAUAGUACAAGGAUUGACUUUUUAAUGUAAAAAUAUGAUUUUUCGUUAAAGUGAAUAGUACCACUGGCUUUUCAUUAAAACUCCCUUAAUUUUAUGAUCGGCUUUGUAAGGAAAGCGAGGAUGUGCGAUGCUUCUUGAGGAGUUUUGUUGUUUGUCAAUAAAAUCUAUUUAUUUGAAUUUCCUGCUUCUAGUACUACCUACUGCUUGAAGUUUGAACAUAUUAUAGAAGCAUUUUUUAUUGUUCUAAUCGUACAUGUAGAUCAUUUCCAAUGAACUGGCAAUCUUGGUGUGUUGUUUGAAGGAUGUUGGAGUCUUCUCUUCAUCCCGUUUUGGGGUUGUCUUCGGCCGAUCUCAGGCAUCUAUUGAGGGCGAUGGUUUGAGAUGGUGGGUUGGUGGCGUUUUGGCAGUGGUGGAGUAGCAAGUUGCUAGGAUUUGUUGCGGUUUUUUCUUUUGUGGUGAGCUCAAACCUUUGUUUUGGGCCAUUUUUGCGUUACUCUGAAGGUCUACAUCCACGCUGUGUGCUUAAUGUAAUUGGAUCUCUUUCUUUGUAAUUUUGUUGUCUUGGCAAAAAUUUUACCCUAAAAAAAAUCUAGGCUUGAAAGCUCUUCCAAUAUAGCGAAACUAAACGUCAAUAGACCAAAUGUUUGACAAUCUUUUAUUUUCUGAUUUAAUUAGAACAUUAAUGAUGUCACCAGUUUUCACAUACAAUAAAAGCACACCACUUUGGAAUUACUAGAUACGAGAUUUUUUUUUUUAGAACUGUUUCCAAGUUAUGCUCCUUGGAAGAGCAAGCCAUUGACAGUCACCCCGCCGUCGACGAUAAUAGUUUGCCCAGUAAUGUAAGAGGCUGCAGGUAGGCAUAGAAAUGCUACCACGGAAGACACCUCCUCUGGCUCUCCAGGACGUCCUAAGGGGCACCGAGAGUUUAUCAUCUCCAAUUUCUUUUCAUCUCGGAGAAACUGCGUGCAUAGAAGAGAUAAUGGAUGAAACGAGAAUGAAUGUGUAGGACACAUAUAUUACCGAUGAUCUUAAUAAUUGGUCAAGCUCUUCGUAAACAAAUUAAUUAAGACUAGAAGUAUGAUGUAAACUUGCUGUCAACUUUUCACCAAAAAUCUUGCUGUAAACAAGUCAGGUCUAAAAUUGAACCUAUACUUGAAUAAACAAAAGACAUGGACUUUUGGCAAACCCCAACUUUUUAUUCUAAUUUUGCCUAUGGACUUUUGGCAGUCUCAUCAAUGAAAUACUGAUUGGCUUAAAGUUAUGAGAUGAUUGUAAUACAAGUAGUUAAAAGAAUUCACUCAUAUAUCUUAAAUUCAAUUUCGAUUUUCCUUCCAGAACAUCGAUUGUAUUAGAAAAAAUGAAAAUAAACAGCAUGCACAAGAACGUGACCAGGAUAAUCUUACAGGUUCAACGAGGGGAGUCGUGAUGAACCAAGGUGCCACACUGUUGGUCCUUAUGUUAUCUUUCGCCCACUCACAUGCCAAGUUUUUUGCUAACUGAUUCAUUGCACCUGAUGAGAUACAAUAAGGAAAAGCCACACUUUUGUCAAACAUUAAAAAUCACACACCAAACAAUGUAAUCAAAUUUUAGGGGUUUCUCGUCUCAACCUCUUAUGGUUUAAAAAAAAUAAAAAAAAAUAAAAAAAAAACUAGCUGCUCCUCUUUCUCCUCUUACCAAACCCUAAAUCUUCAAACUUCAUAGUCGCCAGCCUCUUGCUCCGACUGGAGGCAGUGGCAAGCCCUCUGCUCAUUUUUCUAGCCUGUCUCCUUCAUCUUCUUAUCGAUUGUUGCUUAUUUAUUUUUCAUCUUAGCAUUUUUGUCGAUAAGUGUCUCCUUGGUGAGGUUUUUUGUGAGUAUUUCUUCGUGAGUGUAUUAAUUUUGUAUUGGUGUGUUAUCGGCUCCUUUUGUGUCUACUUUGUUAACACGAAAUUCAUGUUGUGCACAAAAUUAGCUUUUAAUCUUAUAUAAGGUAUUAGUCUAAAAGUGAUAAGGAUUUGAAUGAAGUUUUUUUUUACAAAUAAUAAACAAAAUAUGUUUUAUUUUAUUUUAUUUUAUUUUAUAAAGGUCAAAAUUACAUAGGGAAAUUAACUAAGCACCUUUAGUGGCAGAAUAUAUAGAUCCAACACCUGCUGAGACCACACCAGCAAUAGAGGACAAAAAAACGAUGUUAGCAACUCCUGAAGCUUUGAGAAGUGGAUGUGUAAGUUGGCACAAGUUGUAAGCAGAUUCAAGAUUGGUCUCAUUAUGAAUGAGUAAUCUUCAGCUGUGUACUCCAGCGUUGCUUUCGGUACGACAGUCCCCACAUUGUUUAUCUAUAACAAGACAUUAUUGGAAAGGUUUAGCAUAAUAUAACAAUUUUAGCUUAUAUGUAUUAUUAAAAAAUGCACGAAACGUGUACAUCUUUGAGUUUUAACAAACCUACAAUUUUACGAAUUAUUGAAACGUCUACAACAAAAAGAAAUAUUUACGAGGAUCUUAAGUUUGCCAUGAAAGAGUAAUGAUGAUUAAUGAUUCAUGCAUAUGUGUUAUUUCAAUUGAUCAGUCAUUUACUUACAAAAAUGUUAAGUUUGCCAUCAAAGAGUGAUGAGACCUUGUUUAUAAGCUCCUCUCUUUGGGUUUUAGACACCACAUCACAGACUGAGCCAGUGACUUGAAAACCCUUCUUCUCCCACUGACUCAGGCAGUCAUUAAGGUCAACUUCAUUUCGGGAACAAGUAUGCACAAUCGCACCCAGCCCUGCCAAUUCCUCCACUAUCGCAUACCUAAAUAAAUACUAAACUAAUUUAACAAACAGCAGUAAAAAAAUAAUUCAAACCCAUAAUUCUAAAAGAGAAGAAAACAUGGGAUAAGUGGAGAAAUAAAAUGAAUAUUGCAUUGCAUGUAUAGGAAAAUUGAAACUAAAAGAAGAUUAAUGUUCUUGAGUAUCCAAAUUUAGAGAAGCUAACCCAAUUCCUUUGGUUCCACCAGUGACAAGAGCUGUCAUUCCACGAAGAGACCAUCUCCUUUCUCUGCUGCUCAUCUCUAUCUGCUGUCUAAUCUCCCUGUCUGCCUAUAUAUAUACAACCUAGCCUUCAUGCACGCGUGUGAGUGCGUGCGGAAUGCAUUUUUUGAAUCACAAUGUGCUACGCGUGAUUUAGACAUUUUAAAUGUAUUUAUAUGCGUAAAUUAACAAAACGAAAGUCAAAUAGUUGAAGUAAAUGAAUAAUCUUAGAUCAUGCUAGAAGAAACCCCUUAUAAACCAAUUAAAGCAACUGAAUUCACAUAAUAAAAUCGGUCUCUAUAGAAUUUACAUUAAGAAUAGAGAAAAUAAUAUUUAAUAAAAAAUUGAUUGAAUCACAUUAUUGCUAGCCCAUUGUGAGGCUAAACUCACCCUCUCUCUCUCUUAGUGUAGAUAAUAUCGUUUGUUAAAAAAAAACAAUCAUUUGACAACUAAUUUAAUGACAUUAUUAUCUGCGUGCGAAACACUUUUUUUAUAACUUGCAUUACAUGCCUUUUAAGAAUUAUAUGCCUCUUAAGAUGUUUUGAACGUGUUUAAAAAUAGAUAAAAUAAUAUUUAAUAAACAACUGAUUGAAUUACAUUAUUGCUAGCUAAUUGUGAGGUACUAAUUAAAAAAAACAUAAAAAAAUUAAUUCAAAAGGAAAGUUAAAUAUUUGAAGUAAAUGAAUAAUUUUAGAUUAUGCUAGAAGAAACCCCUCAUGAACCAAUUAAAGCAGCUGAAUUCACAUAAUAAAAUCGGUUUCUAUAAAAUUUACAUUAAGAAUAGAGAAAAUAAUAUUUAAUAAACAAUUGAUUGAAUCACAUUAUUGCUAGCUAAUUGUGAGGCUAAGCACACCCCCUCCCCUUUAGUGUAGAUAACGUCAUUUGUUAAAAAAAAAACAACCAUUUGACAACUAUGUUAAUCACAUUAUUAUUCGCGUGUGAGAGACCUUUGUUAUGCCAACCCCCUCUCUCUUAGUGUAUAUAAUAUCGUUUGUUUAAAAAAAAUUAUUUGGCAACUAAUUUAAUGUAAUUUAAUCUUAUUAUUAUCAGCAUGUGAAAGAUUUUUUUUAUAACCGGCAUUACAUGCCUCUUAAGAUGUUUUGAACGGCUUGGUGACACCAAAAUCACCAUUCACAACAUCUGAUUGAAUCACAUUAUUGCUAGCCUAUUGUAAGAUAUUAAUUUUUAAAAUAAAAAAAAACUUUACUAAUUUAUCAUCAGCACUACGCGUAUCUUAAAAUGUUUUAAAUACAAUAUUCAUGAUUUUUCUUAUUUUUUUAUUAUAUUUUUUUCCCCUUCACAUGGGCACCAUCAACUUUUACUUAUUCUUUCAUUUUUUUUUUUAUUCUUUUCUCUCUUCCCACUUAUAUUUAUAUUAUAUUUUAUGAUGACCAAAUUACCAAAUUACCCCUUCAUUAUUUGAUAUAUUAUGUUGGGUUGCUUUUAGAUUUUUUGGAUGAGGGGCAAUUUUGUCCUAAUAUUUUUGUUGAAUGGGGUGACCCCAAAAUUUUGUCCCGAUGCGUGACAUGCACUAUUCAUACAUUGUUCAUCUCAAUUUUAUAUAUAACUAGCCUCCAUGCACGUGCUCACGCGCGUGCAUAAGGCUUUUUUGAAUUACCAAAUUACCCUUACAUGAUUUGAUAUAUUAUUUUGGAUUGAUUUUGAAUGUUUUUGGCUGAUGGGCAUUUUGGUCCUAUUCAUUUUUUGUUGAAGCCGCAUGACCCCAAAAUUUUAUCAGUAUGCGUGACGUGACUCCAUAUUGGAGCCCUCGCUUUCUAUAUAAAAGAUAGAUAGGUCGACAAUUAUUAGUUGAUAUUAUGGUGGCCAGGGAAAAGUAAGAUUUCCUGCUGUCCACUAAUAAUUUAUCCUCAGCAACUUGCAACUUUUUGUUUGCUUGUUUGAUGUGGCAAACUAAGCAAUUCGUACACAGUCUUUUAAUUUCAUACAACUUCCGAUUCAAUUGUCACGGGGUAGUCCAGCACAUGAAGAUGAAUUCUAGGUCCACACAACAUGUUUUAAAUUCAAUUCAUCAACGUUGAUGAAUAAUACAAUAGUGACAGGAUGAUGUUGAAAUUCCACUCGCUGCUCUCCUUUUAAAAGAUUAAAUAAAAUACUUCUAAUUUCAUACUAAUACCAUACAACCGUUAAUCAAUUUGUCUAAUAAGUCGUUAAGUGAUAAUGUGAUAAGUGCAGAGCUUACAUUCUAUUAACUUUGAGUCCAAAUUUGUGCCCCAUGGUUAAAACAAAUUAAAAGAAAAAAAAAUUAAUUAUUAUUAAUGUAAAAAUUAGAAAUCAUUUGCAAUAUCAUUAAAUAUUUUAUUUUAUUUUUAAUUUGAAGCUCAGAUCUUCAUCUUCCUCUCCACCCAAUGCAGGUGACGAUCCCCCUACCUGCAACAUCGUCUCGACAAUGUACUCCGGGACCAUCCCCCUGAGCUCCUCCUCAACGAUCGUGGACCACGGCCUCACCUCUCCCUUUCUCGCAUACGACACAGACGACCACCACCACACUCUGCCCAGCUCCACCAAAAUCAAACAACCACAAUCAUCAAACCACCACCACCGUCAGAUUCCCAUGUGACCACCUGAAUUUUCAAAAAAUACUUGAAUGAUAAUUAUUUGUUAAGGAGCGCUUUUAAUUUCAUUUACUUUGUAUUAUUACCCGUUUAAUCUUUUAAAAAUAUAUUAAUCUCUUAUACUCUAAUUGGUCAAUUUACUGUUAAAAGAUUAUGUAUUUACUGAGCUGUUCUUAGAGAUGGGCAACAGUUAUGGCGAGCAGGUAACCGCGGUUAUUUACCUAUAACCGUUUAUGUUCAUACCCGCAUAAUAGUUUACCCGUUGGAUAAUUGUAUAAACGGUUAUUCCCAUAACUAUAACCGUUUAUAAACGGUUAUCCAUACUCAUAACCGUGUACCUAUUUAACCAUAAACAUUUACUCAUUUAACCAUAACCAUAAUCAUUUACCCGUUUUUUUGGACCCGUUUAUCCUUUUUUUACCCAUUUACCUUUUUUUCACCCGUUUGCAUGUUUUUUUUUUUAACAACUUGAAAAUUACAAAAAAAAAAUUUGUCAUAAUUUUCGUUUUCUGACAAUUAAGCACCAUUAUAGGUACAUUUUAUCAUGCAUUUCUAUAUUUUAAUUAUUUAAGUCCUCAUACAAUUUCAAUAUUGAAAUAAUAGUUUACGAGAUCAUAUUCACAAAGUGAUAUAUCAUCAUAUCAACUAUCAAGAUUGCAAGUCGCAGAUGUUCUAUUGAUAGCACAUACAGACAUGGUGACCAGAUCAACUGGAUGAUUGUGUGUAUUUUAAUUGAUUAAUUAUAUUGUGUAAUUUGUAUUAAUAUAUAUAUAUAUAUAUAGAUAUAUGUGUGUGUGUGUUGUUAUUGCAUUUGCACUUUGCAGGAAAGAGUUCAUGGCUAGAGCCUACACCAUGAACCAGUACUUAGAAUUUUAGCAUACCCAAAAUCCCUUGGAUAAUUAAAAUCCUUGCAGUGGAGCUGGGAAGGAGAGGGUCCGGACUAGAGGAGGGAGGGGGGAGAGAGAGAGAGAGCCUACUUCUAAAACCCCUCAAAAUCCCUGGGAUAAUUUUUUUUUUAAUUUUUACAUAUAUUAAAUUAAAUUGGUAAAUAGAUACCCAUAUAAGCGUGGGUAAUACCCAUAACCGAUAAAUACCCGUUAUAACCACCUAUUUAAAUUUCUCUAAAACCCCUCAAAAUCCUUGCGAUAAUUUUUUUUUUAAUUUUUACAUAUAUUAAAUUAAAUGGGUAAAUAAAUACUCGUAUAACCGUGGGUAAUACCCAUAACCAAUAGAUACCCGUUAUAACUGCGGGUAAUACCCAUAACCGCCAAUUUAAAUUUCACGGAUAAACAGUUAUACCCAUAACCGUUUGUUCGUCUAAAUGGUUACCCAUAACCAUAACAGUGAACUUUAAAUGGGCGGGUAACCGCGAUUAUUCAAACCCAUAAGUAUUUUGCCCAUCCCUAGCUGUUCUAGCUCACUCCUCUUUUGCUUUGCAGGUUUACAAAUAGACAAUUAAGAGGGUAGAUGGAAUGAGAUUGAAUUAGAUGUGAGGCUAGAAGUUCAAUUAAGGGGAGGAAUUAAGUUUUCAUCUCUCAUUUUUCAACAACAUUGAUUGAAAUCUUAUUCCUUUUCAAUUUUUAAUCAAGGCCUCUUAGUUUUAAUAAACAUCAUUAAUUAUUUCAAUAAUAAAAUAUUUUACAUAUCAAGAUAAUUAAAUUUUAUUUAUAAAUUAUUUAUUUAGGGUUAGAAACGUUACAUUUGAUAUAUUUAUAAUUAUGGCUAGAUUUUGUAUCAUAUAUUUUUAUUUUUAGUUUGUACCCAUUUUAAUUUGCAACCUUUUUUUUUUAAAUUGUGUCAAUUUUCUAUUCAGUUUUAGUUUGUACCCAUAUAUUAAUUUCUUGGGAGAUUUAAUGAAAAUGGUAUGGACUAAGACUAUUUUAAUCAAAAACCAGUCUAUAGUUUUAUUUAACCAAAAGCACCUUAAAUGUAAUCGCGCAGCCCAUUCGAUAGCAGCGUAUGUUGUUAAGCAUGGCGGGAGAUUUGGCUGAGAUGAGUUAGGACCUGAAUUUUUGUUUAAUAUUCUAGCAGAAGAUGAGCAUGUAACGAUUCGUAUUUAAUUCAAUAAAGUUUUAUCUUUCGACAAAAAAAAAAAUAUCAUAAGGACAGGCCCCCAAUUUCUAUACGGGCUGAAUUACAAAGCCCAAAAUGUUCAAAAAUAAGGUUCCAAAAUUACCCCUAACAGAAAGAAAAUGCAGCCCGUUAAAAACUUCAAUAUAAUUACAACCCUGCCCCUCACGUUAACUAAGAUCAUAUAACUUUUGGUGGCUCUUCUACUCUCUGCUCUUAGAGAAAUUAUACACCCUCCGAAAGUCUAGAAAUUGGUUGUGAGGACCUUCAAGGACCACCCGACGGUCUGGCAUGUGGUGGAGGAGAAGUGACACACCCCGACUGAGAUCGAGGCAUGCUGGCCGUCACGGGAGGGUGACGUAGCCAUGUGCACAGUGCGGAAGCAAUAAAGAUAAGAAUUAUACGAAUAAAUAAAAACCGAAAGCUACUAAAGUGCACUAAUAAACAGGAAGUGCUAAGAGUGAGAUACAAGUGUAAAUACUCCUAAUCAAAGCUUAGAAAGUCUAGGUGCAGCCUAGUAGGACAAGUACUAAUAAUACAGUACUAGAAGAUGUCCUACAAUUAUUUUAUUAUGUUAGAAUCGCCGAAAUCCUCGUACGCCACCAACAGCAAGCUAACCUAAAACUUGGAGGGGCGCAAAACAGAAAACGUGAGUGGGUAAAAACAAAUGUUUUCAAAUUCAUUUCAUUUCUUAAAAGUUCUAACCCCUCGCCGUAAAACAUGUAUAAUUUUCCCAGAAAUAGAAUAUAAGCAUAUGCAUAAAUGUAUAUAUAAAUAUCUCAAUUCAAAUCAUAGUUCACAUAAUCAUAUUCAUAAGUAUGCCAUGCCAAGAUAUAAGCAGAAUAAGUAACUCAGGUGAGAAUAAUUUCAUAGAAACUAACAUAUUAGCCGGAACCCCUGCUGAAUUCAUAGCUCAUUAGUCAAUCUAGUCGGAGUCAUUACAAUGACCUAUACGGCACUACACUGCACACAAGUCGGAACCAUUAAAAGGGUCUAUACGACAAGACUGGGUGUAAAAUAGUUAUGCUCAAUACUACGCUCUCAUAAUAGCUGGGCGAUAAAUCGCUAGUCAUCUACGAGUCGGAACCAUCUAUGAUGGUUUGUACGAUAAGACUGUGCACCUAAAUUGGAUCCAAUGUGAGCAUAUGGUGCGGGAGGUGACAUUAUAUAUAUAUAGGCAUGUGCCAUAUCUCUGGCUAAAUCACAAUCACCCUAGGUGCAGGUUUAUGAGCUCUAUGCUUCUCAAUUAAUCACAACCGUUAUUCAUAUUCACAAUACAUAACUCACCUGUGCUUACCUAAGCGUCCACAUCACCACAAUUAUAUAUUAUGCAACAUAUACUAACUCACAUGCUGGACAUAAAGUUAUAUGCAUGGCAAUUCAAGGCAUACUUCAUUUAAAUGCAUUAUUCUGGGAAAAUAUCAAGUAUAUAAAUAUAUACUGAAAACCAAAAGCCCACUCACUGGUAUGUCGAAGGGUUGUAGCCUCCGAGUCGCCCUUGACUGCGCUCAUCCUCGGGAUAAGUCUCCCUUAUAUGUGAAAUAACUAUAAAAAAGUUAAUUUAAAGCACAUAACCAAAACUAACUAAUAAGUUCUCAUACAUUGCUCAAAUGGGGUGUUUGAAUAUACCAACGUGAUCUACACAACCUCACAAACAUACCCAUAUUUUUAAAAUAAUUUUCCAACCAUCCACGCGUCGGCAAGUGCACGGCAAUACGCGCGGCCACGCACAGGGAACCCUAAUUGCAAUUAGGAAUAUUCCGUCAAAAUAAAGGAAUAUUCCGUCAACUUUACCUGACGCCGUUACUCUCCGUUAAGAAUAUUCCGUCAACUUUGAUGGAAUAUUCUUCUGUCUUCUCCGGUGGACCUCGCCGGCCGUCGACGGAAAACUGGAAAAUGUUUAAACCUUGAUAUCUCAGUCAUUUUUCAUCCAAAUUUCAUGAAACUAGUACCAAAUUGAAGCUCUUAACUUGUAGAACAUUUCCUUACCUAUUUAAAUCCCCAAAGAUCACGGGAUCUCGCCUGAGAAAUUCGAAAGAAACCGGCCAAACUUGAAACUCACAAUCCCGACGUCCAAAACUACCUAGCGAGCUACCCCGAGCUUCGUGAAGACCUUCUAAAGCUCCAUGUGAGCUUAAAAUCCAUUGAAACCUUCACAUUUAUGUGUGCAUGAACAAUGCAUCAAAUCGGAGGUUCUUGGUUCUCACGAUCCCGACGUCCUCUCAACCAACUAAGGGUAUCAAUGUGUUUCUGGGCUUACAAGGAACACAAAACCAACCUUCAAGUCUUUGAUCUAUAACUGGUUGAAGGGUUUGAGGGGUGUCCGUACAAGGUGUACAGAAAAUGGAUGAAUUCUGAGAGAAGAAGAGAGAGAGAGAGGUCAACGGCAAUGGUGUGUGGUCUAGAUUUUGGGUCACCAACCAAAAACAAGGAAAAUCUGAGUUCUAAUUGGGUCCAAACAAUUAGGACUUAAAAUGAUUGGCCCGUUUCACACACUCACGACCCAACGUUUAAAGGAAAAAUCGACAUUUCACGCCAUCGAUAAAAGUAAUUCGGGACAGGCUGUGACAAUCUACCCACCUUAUAAAAUUUCAUCCUUGAAAUUAUAUACAACAAUUACAUCCACUAAUAGUCAUAAAACAAGCAUGGAUACAUCUCUUUCAUCCGAUCCUCUGUCUCCUAAGUAGCUUCUUCCACUGAAUGAUUUCUCCAUAAUACUUUCACUAAAUGCACGGUCUUAUUCCUUAGUUCCUUAUCCUUCCAAUCCAAAAGAGUCAUUGGUUCCUCAUCGUAAGACAAAUCCGGAUUAAUUUUCAAUGGUUGAGGAGGAAUCACAUGUGAAGGGUCUGUAACAUAAUGACGAAGCAUCAAAACGUGAAACACAUCAUGUACCUUGGACAACUCUGGAGGCAACUCAAGCCUGUAAGCAACCUCACCGACUCACUCGGUGAUCAUAUACGGUCCAAUGUACCUAGGACUUAGCUUGCCUUUCUUUCCAAAUCGCACAACACCUUUCCAAAGUGAUAGUUUCAUAAAUACCCAAUCACUUACAUUAUACCUCCGGUCAGUGGCAUGCCUAUCUGCUAAGCUCUUUUGUCGAUCCUGGGCCGCUUUCAGGUUAGACUUAAUUACCUGAACAUUUUGAGUAGUCUCGUCCACAAUCUCAGGGCCCACUAAAACUCUUUCGCCAACCUCUGACCAACAUAAAGGUGUACGACAAGAUUUCCCGUAAAAUGCCUUAAAUGGUGCCAUACCAAUGCUCGAAUGGUAACUGUUGUUGUAGGCGAAUUCUAUCAAAUCCAAACAAUCAUGCCAACCAUCGCCAAACUGAAACACUGAAGAUCUCAGCAUAUCUUCUAAUGUCUGAAUGGUCCUCUCAAAUUGCCUAUCUGUCUGAGGAUGAUAUGUCGUACUAUAAAGUAAUCUCGUACCAAAUGCUUCCUGGAAUGCUAUCCAAAACUUAGAAGUGAAUCUAGAAUCCCGAUCUGAGAUAAUAUUAACCAAAAGGCCAUGGUACUUCACAAUUUGUGAUAUGAAUAAUUAGCUAAUCGGCUUAAUGAAUAUUUUUCCCUCACUGGAAUAAAAUGUGCUGACUUAGUAAGCCAAUCAACUAUCACCCAAAUGCCGUCAUAACCAUUUUGUGUACGAGGGAGCUUGUACACGAAAUCCAUAAUAAUAUUUUCCCAUUUUCAUUGUGGAAUGGGAAGCGGCUGCAUCAAUCCAAACAGCUUCUUCCUUUUAGCUUUAACCUAUUGGCAAAUGGCACACCUACUCACAUAUUCAGCAAUUUCCCUUUUCAUACCCGGCCAAUAAUAAAAUGGUCAAAUGGUAUGAUACAUCUUGGUGCCUCCUGGAUGCAUCGCAUAUGCCAAAAUGUGUGCUUCAUCAAGGAUUUCUUUCUUUAACUCUACAUUAUUCAGCACAUACAUCCUGCUUUCCUGUAUAAGCAUACCAUCAGUUUCUCGAAUCCUGAAAUCUUUCUUUUUCCCUUGAUUCCUUGGUUGAAUUAUUUCAUGUGUCUCUUCAUCAUUCAUUUGGGCCUCGAGCACACGAUCAAUUAAAAUUGGCCUAACUUGAAAAUUAGCAAGUAAGGCUUCAUCUCGAUCUUCCACUCCUAACUCCACUCCAGUGGACCUCAAAUCUGUAAAAAGAGGAACGUGACAAUCAUAGAUGGCAUUAAGUCUAGCUGAAGCCUUCUUCCUAAGUGCAUCCGCCACUACAUUUGCACGACCAAGGUGAUACUCAAUCGUGCAAUCAUAAUCACUAAGUAGCUCAAUCCACCUCCGCUGCCGAAGAUUUAGAUCCCUCUGAGUGAAAAGAUACUAAAGACUCUUAUGAUCUGUGAAGAUCUUACAUUUCUCACCAUAAAGAUAAUGUCUCCAAAUCUUCAAAGCAAAAAUGAUAGCUGCUAACUCCAAAUGAUGAGUAGGGUAAUUCUUCUCAUAAGGUUUCAACUGUCUUGAAGCAUAAGUAAUCACCCUACCAUGUUGCAUCAAUACACAACCCAUACCAUUCAAAAAAGCAUCACUGUAGACCUCAAAAUUACCACCAUUAUCUGGGAGUGUUAAAACAGGUGCAUGAGUGAGAUAAUACUUCAACUGUUGAAAACUUUGUUCACAAUUAUUAUCCCACUCAAACUUAACAUCUUUCUGAGUCAACCUCGUUAAUGGUAAAGCAAUCACUAAAAAAAUCCUUAAUGAACCGUUUAUAAUAGCCUGCUAGACCAAGAAAACUAUGUACCUUGGUGAUGGUUCGAGGUUGUUCCGUAUUCUCCACUGCUGCCACCUUUUAAGAAUCCACUCGAAUACCUUGAGCUGAUAUAACAUGUCCCAAAAAUGCUACUUGCUAGCCAGAAUUGGCAUUUGCUAAACUUAGCAUAUAACUGGUGUUCCCUCAAACUUUUCAACACCAAGGUAAGAUGUCAAACAUGUUCUGCUUUAGUCUUAGAGUAUUCCGAAUGGCAUCACCAGAAACUCAUAAUGACCAUAACGAGUCCUGAAAGCUGUUUUAGGGACAUCUUUAUUCUUAAUCUUCAACUGGUAAUAACCAGACCUCAAGUCAAUCUUAGAGAAUACACAGGCACCUCGGAGUUAAUCAAAUAAAUCAUCUAUACGAGGCAAUGGAUAACGGUUCUUAAUUGUUACCCGAUUCAAUUGCCUGUAAUCAAUGCACAGCCUCAAGGUUCCGUCUUUCUUCCUCAUAAAUAAGACUGGAGCUCCCCAGGAUGAAGUACUAGGUUGAAUAAAUCCUUUAUCAACCAAUUCCUGUAACUAAACUUUCAAUUCCCUCAACUCAGCAGGAGCCAUUUUAUAGGGAGUCAAAGAUAUAGGAUUCGUACCUGGAAGUAGAUCAAUAACGAACUCCACAUCUCUAUCUAACGGCAAUCCAGGCAAAUCAUCAGGGAACACAUUCGAAAACUGCCUAACCACACGCACAUCCUCCACACUGCUAGGAGCAUCAUCAUUCAACACCACAUGAGUCAAAUAUGCCUGACAACCUUUCGACAACAAUCUUUUGGCUUUCAUGGCUGAAAUAACACCAUGUCUCACCCCGCUAGGCUCUCCUACAAAGGUAACUUCAAGUAAUCUAGGACGAUGAAAUGUGACUGUCUUUCCAUAACAAUCUAUCUUGGCACGGUUAUAGUGCAACCAAUUAGUGCCCAAAAUUACAUCAAAAUCCACAAUAUCCAACGACAUAAGAUUAGCUGGCAUAAUAACAUCCUCCACCAUCACUGGACAUCCUGGAUAUACCCGAUCCACAAAACAUCUAUCCCCUCUAGGCAUAUAAAACUCUAAAUCAUAUCCUAAAGGUGUAAGAUGAGGUUGCGUCAUUUGAGUAAAUGUAUGAGAAACAACAGAAUGCGUAGCACCACAAUCAAUCAAUACUCUAGCAAAAUGACCAAGAAUAUUUAACGUACCCAUGAUUAAAUCAGGAUUGUUCUGAGCAUCUUGCAGUGUCAUGUUAUGGAUACGUCCCUGAUUCUGCUGUCGUCCCCCACAACCUCUGUUAGCAUGAACAUCUCGUCCAUGUCUUGGCUAACCGGACUGCCUCAAAGAUCUUGCACUGUUAGCAGCAAUCUCUACCUGCUGGGGUUGUCCCCCUUGGUACCACUGGGAUCCACCGGCUGAAUGUGGCUGAUAUGGCAUAGAAUCUCCUGAUACUGAGGGUAACCACCCUGAUAAUGAGGAUCCUGAGAGUACUGAUAUUGUCCUGAAGUAUAAGGAAUGGCGUCGCCCUGAUAAUGAUAAGCACCUCCUCAUUCAAUUUGGGCAUAACCACUAGGUCCUGAAGCUUGCUGGGUCGGCGCAUGUGGUGGGAAGAAAUGUUGUUGGGGGGGCCUCUGCUGAUUCUGAGGGCAAUGAGCAGCUUUAUGCCCUAUCUGUCCACAAGUAUAGCAUGCAUUGCUGCCUCUCCUACACUCCCCAAAAUGCCUAUUAUUACACCUGCAACAUAAAGGAGCACUUAAACCACCAAAGUCCUUCUAUCUUUGAAAUCUCGGGCCUCCAGAAAAUCUACCACCUCUCAUCUGCAUAUUAGAACUCAAACCUCCACUAGAAGAGUUGGAACUGCCAUCGCUUCUCUUAAAACUCUGGGUCUUACGAGGUCCCUGAGAUAAUUGACCUUUACCUUUAUCAUCUCGUCUCUGGUUCCCAUUCUUUUCUUCUUCAUCCUCACUUUCACUAGGCAUGUUCUCUGAGUCCUCAAUCCGCAGUAUAACCUCAUAAAACUCCUCAUAAAACCUCAUAAACCUCACUUUCACUGGGCAUGUUCUUCUUAGUACCCAACCUGAAGCAACGGAGCAUCUCAACCGGAUUAGCAGCAACCUCGGGAUCAUAUCACAACAAAUCAAUGAACCUCUUGUAAUACUCAUUCACCAACAUUUUCCCUUGUCUCAGAUGCGUAAACUCUUGCUUUUUGCGAUCAAUAUACUCUGGGGGAAUAAACCUUUUCUGAAAAAACUGCUUAAAUACUUCCCAGUCCGCAAUCUCCGCUGGGGUCAACUGGUAAGACUUCUGUCUCCACCAGGAUGCAAGCUACUCCCCUAAAAACCAGGUAGUUGUCUCGACCCACCUAUCAAGAUGAAGGUUCCCUUGACUCUGCAUCAUCAAGAAAGUCUUCUCGAUAUGAUUAAGCCACUUCUCUGCUCCCUCAUGUCCUUCAUUUCCCAUGAAAUGAUUCAGUUUCAGAUUAUACACAGUCUCAAAAGGUGUCCUUUGAGGAGGACGGAGCGAAGACUGAAUGGUAUUAGCUAUAGCUUCCCCAAAUUGAGCAAUAUCAGGGAAACUAAGCUCAGCUGAGUGACGGGGCUCUCUACGAGGUGGAAUAGUUCUGACUGAAGACAUCACAAGGAUAGAAUAUUCAUGAACUAUAUAGGACUGCUAAACCUAGGCUCUGAUACCAAACUGACACACCCCGACUGAGAUUAAGGCAUGUUGGCCGUUAUGUGAAGGUGAAGUAGCCAUGUGCACAGUGCGAAAGCAAUAAAAAUAAGAAUUAUACAAAUAAAUAAAAACCAAAAGCUACUAAAGUGCACUAAUAAACAGGAAGUGAUAAGAGUGAGAUACAAGUGUAAAUACUCCUAAUCAAAGCUUAGAAAGUAUAGGUGUAGCCCAGUAGGACAAGUACAAAUUAUACAGUACCAGAAGAUGUCCUACAAUUAUUUUAUUAUGUCAGAACCGCAGAAAUCCUCGUACGCCACCAACAGCAAGCUAACCUAAAACCUGGAGGGGUGCAAAACAAAAAACGUGAGUGGGCAAAAAAAAAUGUUUUCAAAUUCAUAUCAUUUCUCAAAAGUUAUAACCCCUCGCCGUAAAACAUGUAUAAUUUUCCCAGAAAUAGAAUAUAAGCAUAUGCAUAAAUGUAUAUAUAAAUAUCUCAAAUCAUAGUUCACAUAAUCAUAUUCAUAAGUAUGUCAUGCCAAGAUAUAAGCAGAAUAAGUAACUCGUGUGAGAAUAAUUUCAUAGAAAAUAACAUAUUAGCAAAAAUCCCUGUAGAAGUCUGUACGGCUAAAUUCAUAGCUCAUUAGUCAAUCUAGCCAGAGUCACUACAAUGACCUAUACGACACUGCACUGCACACAAGUUGGAACCACUAAAAGGGUCUAUACGACAAAACUGGGUGUAAUAUAGUUAUGCUCAAUACUACGCUCUCAUAAUAGCUGGGCGAUAAAUCGCUAGUCACCUACGAGUCGGAACCAUCUAUGAUGGUUUGUACAACAAGACUGUGCACCUAAAUUGGAUCCAAUGUGAGCAUAUGGUGCAGGAGGUGACAUUAUAUAUAUAGGCAUGUGUCAUAUCUCUGGCUAAAUCACAAUCACCCUAGGUGCAGGUUUAUGAGCUCUAUGUUUCUCAAUUAAUCACAACCGUUAUUCAUAUUCACAUUAAAUAACUCACCUGUGCUUACCUGAGCGUCCACAGCACCACAGUUAUAUAUUAUGCAACAUAUACUAACUCACAUGCUGGACAUAAAGUUAUAUGCAUGGUAAUUCAAGGCAUACUUCAUUUAAAUGCAUUUUUCUAGGAAAAUAUCAAGUAUAUAAAUAUUUACUAAAAACCAAAAGCCCACUCACUGGUAUGUCGAAGGGUCGUAGCCCCCGAGUCACCCUUGACCAUGCUCGUCCUCGGGAUAAGUCUCCCCUAUAUGUGAAAUAACUAUAAAAACGUUAAUUUAAACCACAUAACCAAAACUAACUAAUAACUUCUCAUACAUUGCUCAAAUGGGGUGUUUGAAUAUACCAACGUGAUCUACACAACCUCACGAACAUCCCCAUAUUUUUAAAAUAAUUUUCUGAUCACCCACGCGCCGGCAAGUGCACGGCAAUACAUGCGGCCAUAAGUAUGGAACCCUAAUGGAAACCUUAAUUGCCGUUAGGAAUAUUUCAUCAAAAUAAAGGAAUAUUCCAUCAACUUUACCUGACGUCGUUACUUUCCGUUAAGAAUAUUUCGUCAACUUUGACGGAAUAUUCUUCUGUCUUCUCCGGUGGACCUCGCCGGCCGUCGAUGUCGCCAUCGCCGAAAAACUAGAAAAUGUUUAAACCUUGAUAUCUCAGUCAUUCUUCAUCCAAAUUUCAUGAAACCAGUACCAAAUUGAAGCUCUUAACUUGUAGAAAAUUUCCUUACCUGUUUAAAUCCUCAAAGAUCACGGGAUCUCGCUUGAGAAAUUCGAGAGAAACCGGCCAAACUUGAAACUCACAAUCCUGACGUCCAAAACUACCAAGCGAGCUACCCCGAGCUUCGUGAAGACCUUCUAAAUCUCAUUGUGAGCUUAAAAUCCACUGAAAGCUUCACAUUUACAUGUGCAUGAACAAUGCAUCAAAUCGGACGUUCUUGGUUCUCAUGAUCCCGACGUCCUCUCGACCAACUAAGGGUAUCAAUGUGUUCUUGGGCUUACAAGGAACACAAAACCAACCUUCAAGUCUUCGAUCUGUGACUGGUUGAAGGGUUUGAGGGUUGUCCGUACAAGGUGUACGGAAAAUGGAUGAAUUCCGAGAGAAUAAAAGAUAGAGAGGUCAAUGGCAGUGAUGUGGGUGUGUGUGGUCUAGAUUUUAGGUCACCAACUAAAAACAAGGAAAAUCUAAGUCCUAAUUGGGUCCAAAAUCUAAGUUCUAAUUGGGUCCAAACAAUUAGGACUUAAAAUGAUUGGCCCAUUUCACACACUCACGACCCAACGCUCAAGGGCUAAAUCGACAUUUCACGCCAUCGAUAAAAGUAAUUCGGGACGGGUUGUGACAAGAAGUAUCUGCGGCGGCUAAGGUUUUUAAGUCCAAAUCCCCUUUUGUUCCUAUCCCAAUUCCAUUUCUCCUUCCAUCCCAACCGACCAACCCUUCACCACCACCUAAUUUCUUAAUUUAUGUUCUUUAUUUUUGCAAAUUUCCUAAUUUUUAAAUUUGACUAAGGUUUUUAAUCUCAGCCCAAAUUAACAAUUGAUGUGUAUUGGAUGAAAAUUUUGAAUUUCUAACAAAUUAUAGUUAUUGCUAUGAUUUUGACCCUAAUAUAUCAAUUAUGAUUUUGACCACCAUAAAUUUGCAAUUACAAACUAGGGAGGCAUCUAUAUAUAAGUUACAAGUAAAUUUACGGUCAUCUUUAUAGCACCAUCCUCGUACUCGUUCAGUUAAUUUUGAAUUUAUUACAUAGUGUUGUGUCUUUUGGACCUUGCUUCAUAAGAUUCAAAGACCUACAGGGAUUGAGCUGAGAUUUUAUAUCAAAUUAUAUCUUUUUUGCAAUUAUUUCAUAAAUAGUGAGUAAUUUUGUAGUAGUUCUAGAAAUAUAAUGUGUUAUUUUAGUUUAAUUUCAGAAAUAGUGUGAGUUAUUUUGCUAUAUUUCUAGAAAUAGUAUUUAUUUUGUUCCAUUCCAAAGAUAGUGUGGUUAUUUUGGAUUGUGGUUAUUUUGGUUCAAUUUUAGAAAUAGUAUUAGUUAUUUUGCUCUAGUUCUAGAAAUAGUGUGGGUUAUUUUGGUUCAUUUUUAAAAAUAGUGUUAGUCAUCAUUUUCAGUGCAAUGGGUGCUUUUAUAAGACCAAGCAAGGUCUAAGUUUCAAACCUUAUGAAACUGAACCAAGAAUUAGGCAUUAUUUAGAAAACUUGACCAAUAAGUAGAUGCUAUUUAUGAAACUGGACCAAUAAGUAGACAUUAUUUAUGAAACGAAACUAAGAAUUAGGCAUUUUUCCUAAAACUAAACCAAUAAGUGGAAACUACUUAUGAAAUUGGACCAGACCAAGAACUAUAUACUAUUUAAGAAACAUGACCAAGAACUAGGCAUUAUUGAUGAAAGUGGACCAAUAACUAGGCACUAUUUAUGAAACCGGACUAAGAAAAAGACAUUAUUUAUGAAACUUUACCAAUUACUAUACACUAUUUAUGAAACUGGAUCCAAUAACUAGGCACUAUUUAUGAAACAUGACCAAGAACUAGGCACUAUAUAUGAAAUUGGACCAAGAACUAGGCACUAUUUAUGAAACCGAACCAACAAAUAGUAUAGUACCGUUCAGUUUCAUAAAUAGUGUUUAGUUUCAUAAACAGUGUAUGUGAUGGACGUACGGGUUCCACGCGUCAGGUCUUUUUUUUCUUUAUACUUUACAAUUGUGUCCUUUUCAUUAACACUACUAACAUUCUCAAUGAAAACUGUGAAUCCUACUCUUGACAUUGCACACUCUUUGACGUGGUAUAAUUUUACUUCUACAUUUUUUACUUUUUAACCAACUAAGUUAUAAGUCUUUAUUAUUUUAACCAUAUUUAAAAGGACAAAUUUAGUAAAAUUCGGGAUAUAUGUAUACUAAUAGGAUGUCUAGAUGCUUAUGUUGUCAAUUUGUCAAACGGUACCAUUAUUGAUUGUGUAUUUUUUUUAUUAGAGUAUGUCAUUCUAAUCCUUCUUAAAGAGAACUGCUAGACCCACCCCACAACCUUAUUUACUCACCCCAUCUUAUAAUCUCACCCCUCAUGAAAAGUUAAAAAAAUUAAAACACUCUUUUCUCACCCACCAUAUUCCCAAAAUGUCCAUUAAUUUAACUAUUUUUCAAAAAUUAAAAACUAGUAUGUUUCUAAUGAUUCUUCAAAAGAGUGUCGAUAUUAAACAUGGCUGCCUUGCACUGAAGAAGAACAAAAGUAAAAACACCAACCUCUGAACUUAAAUUGGAAUUACUCUCUCCUUUCAAAAUAUCGUCCAAAAUCAUAGGAAACUCAGUGCCAGUUUUAGGUUCCACUGCAUGUCUUCUCCAGUUCAAGAUGGGAAUUGGUAGUCCUGCACAUCUGUAAUGCCCAACCUCACAAGGCCUUUAAUCCAUGAUGUCCGUAUUCUCCAAUGGAACAACUAGUACAUUUGAAGAUCUGGUGGUAAUUAACAAAGAAGAAGGUUUGUAAUCAACAUUAAAAAUAAAACCAAUUGGGUAAUUUACACUUUAAUCCACUCCCUCGUGAAGGGUUUAAGACUUACAAGCUGCCAAAGAAAGCUAGUGCGUUCUCUUCGUGUUCUUUAACUUUUUUCUUUUGGCUAUAAAAUAUUUAGGAUUAAUUUUUAAUAGGGCUUUAGAAGUCAUUUUACAAAAGGUUAAAUGUGUCAUUAAAUUUUUCAUCAAAAUGUGGGUCAGGAAAUAGGAGUGUGUGGUGGGUAUAACAGCUCUCCUUCUUAAAAUAAGAAGACACUAUUUAUGAAACUGGACCCAAAAUUAGACAAUAUUUAUGAAAUCAAAUCAAGAAUGGGACAUUAUUUCAAAAACUAAACCAAUAAGUGAAAACUAUUUAGGAAACUAGACCAAGAAAGAAACAUUAUUUAUGAAACUAGACCAAGAAAUAGACACUAUUUAUGGAACUAGACAAAAAAUUAGGCACUAUUUAUGAAAUUGGACCAAGAACAAGGCCACUAUUUAUGAAAGUGGACUAAGAACUAGGCACUAUUUAUGAAAUUGAAUCAAGAACUAGGCCACCAUUUAUGAAAUUGGACUAAUAAGGAGACACUAUUUAUGAAAUUAGACUAAUAAGUAGACAUCGUUUAUAAAACCCAAUCAAGAAUGAGGCUCUAUUUCUAAAACUAAACCAAUAGGUGGAAACUAUUUGUAGUAGUUCAAGGUCCGACAUUUCCAGUCUAUUUGUUUCUUCGCCGGAUCACAUUUCUCAACUCACAAUAGUUUUAAGUUUAUACUUUGCUAAUUACAAAAUAAUGUAGUCCUAGGCGUAGACAAGUUAACUAGACAAUGUAAACAUUCAUAUUCAAACUCUUUUUUAUGUAACAAUAUUAUAUUAAAAUAUCACUCGAUUGGGAAAUAUUGUUACAAGCAAAUCCCACAUUUGCGGAGUUUGAGAGAAAAAGAUGAUUCCACAUUUCCGCUUGUGCGGCAAAGUCAACGAUGAUGAUAUAUGUAAUCACCAUCAUUAUUAAGAGGUUAAAAAAAUUCCCUCAUAUAUCUUAAAUCCGGUUUCCUUUUCCUGCCCAACACCAAUUGUAUUAAAAAAAUUAAAAUAAAAGGCAUGCACAAGAACAUGAUCAUGAUAAUUUUACCGGAUCAACGAAGGGAGUCAUGAUGAACCAAGGUGCAACGCUAUUGGUCCUUGUAUUAUCAUUCGCCCACUCACAUGCCAAGUUUUUUGCUAAUUGAUUCAUGGCACUUCAGAUACAAUAGAGAAAAGCCAUACUUUAGGGUCUUCUCGUCCUGAAGAAGAAGAAAAAAAAAAUCUAGCCACUCAUCUUUCUCCUUUUACCAAACCUUAAAUCUACAAACUCCGUAGUUGCUGCCCUUUGCUCCGAUUGGAGGCUGGUGGCAAUCUCUCUCCCCAUUUUUCUAGCCUCCCUCCUUUAUCUUCUCAUAGAUGGUUGCUUGUUUAUUUUUCGUUUUAGUAUUUUCGUCAAUAAGUGUCUCCUUGGUGAUGUUUUGUGUGAGUCUUUCUUCAUGAGUAUUUUAGUUUUGUAUUGGUGUGUUGUCGGCUCCUUAUGUGUAUAUUUUGUUGGAAUUGGUUCACAGAUUGUGUUGUGCUCAAAAUUUAUGUUGGUGUGGAUACUAGUUGGUUCGUUGUCAGUUCCUCUUUGAAGUAGGAGUUGUUGUUGUUGUCAAAGAGUGUCCUCAUGUUCAUUAUAUUCGAGGCUUUGUGCGCAGAAGUUCUCAAAUGCUAAUUGGCGAAGUGCUUGAUCUUUUCACCAGGAAUGGAGUUUCUUUUACUUUGAGUUUUAUUUGAGUCCUCUGAAUUUGGGUGUGGAUGAGUUCAAAACUUUGAUGCAUUACUUUACUUAUCCUUGGGCUUGUCUCGCCUAAUUCACGAGUAUGGUGACAAUUAGUUAGCCAAGUUAGCCUUUUAUGUUUUGUUAAAGUUUCUUUUGAUUGAAAACUUUUUGAAUGUUAUCUUGAAUGUCCUCUUUCAAAUUUGUAUCAAUUCUUAAUAUUAUAAUAAAACCGCUAUCACCACUACAACAAAACACUUUGCUCGGCGAAAUAAGUUCGUUGCGCAAAACCUUGUGCGACGAAAUUUUGAUCGCGCAUGGUUCCUCUUGCAAAGCUUGUGACGAUAAGGUUUGCGCGACGAAAAUUAAUCUUUGUCUUUGCGCGACGAAUUAGUUUAUCUCGCAAAGUAUCUUUGCGUGACGAAGUAGUUUGUCGCGCAAAGUAGCUUUGUGUGACGAAGUAGUUUGUCGUGCAAAGUAGCUUUACUUGACGAAAUAUUUUUAAUUUUAAAUUUUUGUUUUUAAUUUUUUUUAAUUAAAAUUAAUUAAUUUAAUAUUUUGCGUGACGAAAUAUUUUGUUGUGCAAGGUUUUUGACUUUUUGUUUUAUUAUUUCUCUUAUAUUAAUUGUUUACACCACGAAAUAUUUGGUAGCGCAAGAUUUUUCGAAUUUUUACUUUUCUAAUUUAAUUUAAUUGUAUGAUUUUAUUUUUUUUAAUAUUUUAAUUUAAAUUGACAUAUUCAAAAUAAAAUUACAUAUGAAAAAUAGUGAUCAAAUUAUCCAAUAUAUAUAAUAUAUUCAAAAUAUACACAAAAAUUAACAAAGUACAAUAAUAAAAUCUUAAUACAACUCUUUUGUGGUGGUAGUGGUGGGGAAUAUGUUUCGAUAGCGUCAUAAUCCUUAACUUUAGCUGUCAAAGUUUUGACGAUUCCCUACAAAAAAAAUAUAUAUGGUCAAAUAACAAAAAAUUGGCAUAAUCUCCCCUAAAAUUGGUAUACCCCAAAUCCGACCCCAAACUCCACUCCUCAUCCUAUACUCGAGCCCAAACCCCGCACCAAACUCAAAACUAACUCCAAAAACACAUAUUAAUGAAAAAAAUUAAAAUUUGGGAAGAAUAUACCUUUUGGCAAGAUUGAGAGUGAGUGAGAAUAAGAGGGAGGAGUAAGUGUGAGAGAAUUAGAGGAGAUAGUGAGAGAGAGAUGAGAGAGUGAGUGAGAGUGAGAGAUGGUUAAGAGAGAUUACGUGAGAGGAGUGAGUGUGAGAGAGAGGGUCAGAUUUGGGGAGAGGGAAAGAGACAGGAGAGGUAAGAGUAGAGAAAGACAUUGAGAAAAUUGUGGAUGAGUUAUUUUGGUUUUAAAAUCGUAUCACUUUGCGUGACAAAGGAUAUGAGUUUGCGCAACGAAAUAUUGGUUGUGCAAAGUCUUAAAAAAAAUUUUAAAAAAAAUCCCGCGUCCUUUUUUUUGCCCGCCCAAAUUUUUCGAGUUUUGCGCGACUAAGUAUUGGUCGUGCAAAGUUUUGCGAGACCACUAAAAAAAAUUCCCACGGCCCAUUUUUGGUGCCCGCCCAAAUUUUUAGAGUUUUGCGCAACGAAGUGUUGGUCGCAUAAAGUUUCGUUCAACCACUUGAAAAAAAUGUCCCGCGUCCCAUUUUUGGUAAUUUUUAGAGUUUGGUCGCGCAAAGUUUUGCGUGACGAAAAAUUGGUUGCUCAAAGUCUUAAAAAAAAAUUUAAUUCUCGUGUCCCAUUUUUUGCUCCUGUCCAAAUUUAAGGAUUUUGCGUGGCGAAUUAUUGGUUCGUCGCGCAAAAUUUAUAAAAAUAUUUUUAUAAAUAAUAAAAAAUUUACUGAAAAUGUGACUUUACUCCCUUGAAAUUCAAUUUUUUUUUAUAUAAAACCCACAAUAAUAUAUUUUUCUAACAAAAACCCGAUCUGUACUACAAUAAUAAAUUUAAAGCUACAUAAUAAAUAUAUAUACCAUUCAAUUUCUUAAGACCUUUAGUGGCAACAUAUAUAGAUCCAAUAUCUAUUGAGACCACACCUGCAGUAGAGGACAAAAAACGAUGUUAGCAGCUCCUGCAGCUUUGAGAAAAGGAUGUGAAAGUUGGCACAAGUGGUAAGCAGAUUCAAGAUUGGUACUCAUUAUGAAUGAGUAAUCUUUAGCUGUGUACUCUAGCGUUGCUUUCGGUUUGACAAUCCCCACAUUGUUUUGUUCAUGCAGGAAAUCUCACGGGGAGGGGUCCUUGGCUCGAGCACACAGCUCCCUGAGGAGUUGGAACUUUGGUUGUGUUGGAAAAUAUUAGUAUUUAGGUUUACCUUAAUGUUUAGAAUUAGGUUUUGUUAGAGAUUAUGAUUAUUUUAUUAUAAAUAGGGUGAUUUGUUAUUCAUUAGAAAAAAAAAAAAAAAAUCAUUCACAAUGUAGUCUCUUAGAGUUUUGUAGCCGUUUCGGCAUUCUAGUUUGUUUAAUAAUAUUUUUAUUAUUUUGUUAGUCUUAUCCGUUGCACACUCUGAUAUUCAACUUGGUAUCAGAGCAGGCUCAAUCCUUAAGGAUUUGAUCUGCUUUGGUUGUUAUCAGUUUUGUCUAGUAUGUUGCUUCUGUUCUGUUGUUGUUUAGGUUUAGUUUGAUACUAAAAAAAAAAAAAAUUGAUGAAGCUUUGUCGUGCUUCGCGGUUUUCCAUCCGCAUCAGAUCACCUGGCACCUGCAAGCACACCGUCACACCACCAUUUGCUGCCGCUUGAACCCACCUUCAACCUCGAUCCAUCAUUGUCUUCCUCACUGUCCACCAUUGGUUUUGACGAAGCCCAGAUCCGAGAACCCAAACUCGGAUCGAGUUCAUCUUUGCCCUGCACUCUGCCUGCACUUGUACACGCAAUCAACUUCCAUAAGUCGAAUCUGUCAACCCUUGGAUCACUGCCGCUAUUUCAAAUCUGCAGGCCCAUACACCAUGAACUAGACCCAUGAACCCAAUCUGCACGCUGUCGUUGCAACUAGAAACCCAGCACAUCUGCCGUUCGAAUCCACCCCGCCGCCAAGCCUGCAACCACACCUCGGAGUCUGAGUUUAGAAUGUUGGUCUGCAAAUUUUUUGCACCCAGGUUGCCACCUACUGCUGCACCCUUGAACGCUACUGUUGGAACACGCUCUAGCUGCAACCUGAGAGUUUGUCUCCGCCAGUCUAGAAACAAAAAUAAGGAAAAUGAGAGAAAAUAAAAGGAAAAAAUUGUUUGCUGUUAGUUUUAGGCCCACAUGAGCAAGAAAAAAAAAACAUAGUUAAGUUUGUUUUUUGGCCACACAAGUUGUUGGCAUUGUUCGCACAAUUGAGAUAUGGAAAUCUCGUCCGUUUAGUGACGAGUUCUUUCCAUAGUCUCAAUACUGGCCAGUUUGCCAGCAAGAAUCAGUUUGCUAGUUCGUCUGUCUGUCCGCGUUGCAGAGCCUGCCUGUCUGUCUGUCAACGUUGUGGAACCUGCCUGUCUGUCUGUCCACCUAACGGAGCCAAUCUAUAUCUGCUUGUUUGCAAACCCAUGUCGUAUGCCACCAUGAGUUUGACGGGGGGUGUUGGAAAAUAUUAGUAUUUAGGUUUACUUUAAUGUUUGGUUUUCUAAGCUUAACCCAUUAAAAUUAGGUUUUGUUAGAGAUUAGGAUUAGUUUAUUAUAAAUAGGGUGGUUUGUUAUUCAUUAGAAAGAAAAAAAAGUCAUUUACAGUGUAGCCUCUUAGGGUUUUGUAGCCGUUUCGGCAUUCUAGUUUGUUUAAUAAUAUUUUUAUUAUUUUGUUAGUCUUGUCCGUUGCGCACUCUGAUAUUCAACUAUUGUCGGACUCCGACUUGCUGAGAUGCUGCAAAGGGAGGAUAAAGUUAUAGUUCUAAAAGGUACCUUUGUGGGGGCCUUAGGUGUAAGCCUUGAGGCUCGUAAUCAAAACUAAGUGCUAAGGCGUGCCACUGCCAUCUCUGUAUGACAGAUGUAGAACAAGUGUAUUUAAGCCGAUUACUUGCGCCCCAAGUUAUUCUGACUUCUUGUUAUCAAAGGAUUGUUGUAGAUGGGUUAAGUUUACAUUAAGGUCUUUUCUAUGCCUUGAGAUCAAGGACUUUUAGUUCGUUAUCUUGCAUGCUUAAAGGGUGGAGGUCCAGAUCUGCUUAAGUCAUCAACUUUAAUUUACUUUUAAUCUUUUUAUGACAAUAAAACCACUAAGUGAAUCAAAUCUGAGAACUGAUGGAACUAUGGAUCAUCGAAAGACUGGAAAUGACUUGAAUAGAUACUGGGGAAUACAUUAUAACACCAGAUCUAUUAAUUGAAAGACAAAACGAGGAGAGGCGGGCAAUGUUAAAUGUCAUGCGGUCUCUUCUUUGUUGUAGUUGCAAAGGGUUAGGUACUAAAAGAGAGAUGAGUGGUAAAUGAGUUUACACAAGAGAAUCGAUACUACAUCAUUUAGAGAAGGUAGCAAAGCUUUUACAUAGACAAAAGAUGUCUUUCUAAAGGAAGUCUAAGGCUAAAAGGGUUGCAGAAUCUGGAUAAAGCACGACUUUCUGGAUAUUUACUUGACUGAGAGGCAAGUUGUAUGUUUGUUUGUUUGAUUGGUUGAGUGUCUAUAUCUCUGGGCCCUCUUUCUCCUUUUAUAGUUGAAUUAACCCGACUGUACUGUUUCUGCUAUUGCCCGAAAGCAACUGAUGGGUAGUGAGUUAUCAGCAUUUUUACAUGUUCUGCCAUUCAAAAAGUGUUUUUGGGUAUGGAGUAGGUGGAUUUCCAUCAGUUGUCACUUCUCUUGUAAGCACCUAACCUUUACAUUAAAUGAGGAGCCAUCAUUUUGUCUCAAGAUGGGUAUCUAGGCUCGACUCUGGGCCUCCGGGCAAGAUCUCCUUUAUUGGGCUCUUUUGGACUUUCAUUCCUUUAAGUCCAAAGUUAAAUAUUAAUCCAAACAUAUUUAUCUAUAACAAGACAUUAUUGGAAAGGUGUAGCAUAACAUAACGAUUUUAGUUUAUAUGUAUUGCUGAAAAAUGCAUUAAAGUUAUGUGUAUUAAACAUAAAAAGUAUGUACAUACAUGUGUGGAACGUUUGAGUUUUUAAAAAAGUACAAUUUUGCAAAUUAUGGAAAUGUUUACAACAAACAGAAAUAUUUUAAAAAAUAUAUAUUUACAAGGAUAUUAAGUUUGCCAUCAAAGAGUGAUGAUCAUUCAUGAUUUAUGCAUAUAUGUUAAUUCAACUAAUCAGUCUUCUACUUACAAAGAUGUUAAGUUCGCCAUCAAAGAGUGAUGAGACCUUGUUUAUAAGCUCCUCUCUUUGGGUUUUUGACACCACAUCACAGACCGAGCCAGUGACUUGAAAACCCUUCUUCUCCCAUUCAGUGACUUGAAAACCCUUCUUCUCCCACUGACUCAGGCAGUCAUUAAGUUCAAUUUCAUUUCGCGAAUUCUUCCACUAUUGCAUACCUAUAUAAUUACAUUAUCAACUUCAACAUAGAGUAGUAAAAUUAAGAUAAAAAAUUGGAACACUUGUCCUUAAAUUUUGGUAUCUCAUUGAGCUUUAGUCAUUGAAUUAAACAUUUGUGGAUAUUGGUCUUUGAACUAGUAGCCGGAGCAAUAGUAUUUUUGGAUAACUUUCUUAUCACUUAUGUCCAUUAUUUUUCCCCUAUUUGUUUCUUAUUUUGAAAGGAAGUUCUAACAAUUUUAACCAAUAGGACUAUUGUUUUAUAUUGUGACAAGUUUAUGAACUAAAGUCUCCAGUUGAACCAAUUCAAGAUCAAAGCUCCAAUUAGAAAAAAUAAAGUGAACAUUGCAUUGCAUGUAAAAGAAAAACUGAAAAUAUCCCGUCUCUCUCCUCUCUCCCAUUCGAUGUACUCCCUUCCCUAUUCCCUCUUCAAUCCUCUUUUCUUUGUUGCCUUUCCAGUCCCUUCCCGCUUUUAUCCAUCAUAGCCACCACCUCUAUCCUUCUCCCUCCGGCCAAGACAAAUCGAUCUCUCCUGCCUCUUCAAUCCUCUCUUCUUUGUUGCCUCUUCAAUCUUAUCUCUUCUCACUUGCAUCCAUCAUAGCACCAUAGCCACCACAUCUUCCCUAUGGUCGUUGGAUCUCGGGUUUGAGACCGCCAACAUGAUUAGCCUCUGUCAGCAUGAGUUUGGAGGAAGGACUUGGUAAAUAGCCAAAGGAGUCGCCGCUAGGGAAGUGAGGGAUGCGGUGGUAAGGAAAUUGGUCUUUCGCUGUUGGGGAUGGGAGGGAUGCGGUGGUCGGGUAAUUGUUUGGGCUGGGCGUUUGACUUUUUCUAUUUGGAUUAGUUUUGAGAAAAUGCAUACCAAACAAGGUUUUGAAUUUAAAAAUUUUAAAUCAAAACAUGUUAUUUUUAGAAAAAAUUAAAAUUUUGAGUUUCGUUCUCAAGUUAGAUACCAAACAGGCCCUAAAAGAUUAAUGGUUUUAACUAUCCAAAUUUAGAGAAGCUAACCCAAUUCCUUUGGUUCCACCAGUGACGAGCAGUCAUUCCCUCAAGAGACCAUCUUCUGCCUCUGCUGCUCAUCUCUCUCUCUCUCUGCUUUCUAACCCUCAUGCACAAUACUAGUGGUGCUGCCAUUUAAUACUGGUUUUGAUUACUACCAGAUAUUGGGUGGCCAGCAUAAAAAGUACACGAACUGUUUCAUGCAUGCACCUACUUAGUAGCUGCUCGGAUCCUGAAAAUCCGAUUACAAACACAUCGGCCAUUGCCGCUACUGUUUGCUCCUAGUAUUUGCGGUAUGCAUAAUUAUAGUUAUGAUGAUUUUUUUAAUUAAGUACACCGUACACGUCGAGAAAUGCUAGAAAGAUUUUUUUUUUUUUUUUUUUUUUUUACUGAAAAUGUAACUUUAGCUUUUGAAAUUUAACUUUUUUUUAAUACAAUCUAACAUAAUUUUUUUUUGUUCGAAUAAAAUUUAGUGACUAGACUCUACAUAAGCAAAUUCAUUAAUUAUAUUUAACUAAUUAGACAUCAUACAUCUUUUCAAUGCCGAAAAUACCGCUAUUUAAAUAUUUGAUAUACACAAUUAAUUCCAUGCCAAUUGUAAAAGGAUUAAUAAUUUUACAAAAGAAAAAUAAACAUUAAUGUUAUAAAUUCAUUGUCUAAUAUAUAUAAAAAUAAAACAUGCCUAUAAUAGGCCAAUAAGCCUAAUAAUUGACUCAUGUGCAUGUUUUAGCACAUUAUUCAUUGCCUAACAUCCCUAAUAUAUCCAAUAAUUGACUUAUCCCUAAUAUGCCUAAUUGUUGUGACCUAAAAUUUAGAGAGGGAGUGUGUGGCGUAGAGAGAAGAAAAAGGUUUGAGGAAUUAUGUGAUGUGAUUUCUUAUUGUUGGAAUCAAGUUCACGCACCUUAGCAAUUGUGAGCAAGCCAGAGACCCAAUAGGGUGUUGGUCAAAGGUCCUUUGAUGGUCAAGUUAGUGAGCAAUAAUAAAACUUAAGCAGUGGGCAAGAAAGUUAGAGUGCAAUAAUUGCGUUACCAGAGACGAAUCCUAAAAGAGUGUACUUAUAGCAAUGGGGAGAAAGACCUUUUUAGGAUAUAACUUUGUAUUACACCAUGAGAAUCCAGAGGAUAUCUAGAAGUAGAUAUUGCAUCAUCUUGGGAGUGUCAUUACUUGCGGAGCACGCCAAUUCCUAGAUUGUUGGAACUUCAAGAAUAUGAGAAACCAAGUUGAUUCCAUGUUGGAUCAGGUUCUCAUAUCUUGCGGAACAAGCAUGGUGAAUCUCAACGAAGUCAUUCGAGUUUCGCCACUGCUGCAAAACAAGAUGAUGGUGGCAUCACUACUUUGUUAAUCCAGCUUUGCUCAGAGCUGUUGAAUCCAUGAUCGGACAUCUAAGGUACUUGUAUUCUGAUUUUCCUGACUCCAACCUAGAAAAUCAUGGUGUCAUACUCAUGCCUAAUUCCUUUAUUUCUAGUAAUAAGGAGGAGAUAAUAACUUGCCCUCCAAGUAAUACAAAGUCAGAGAGGAAAGAUCUUCUAGAUCCUAAAGGAUUUCUAACUUAUCUUUACUAGGAUUUACAUAAUCGCACUACGUGAAAUAUUAAUUAUAACACUCAUCCUUAAAUGUGUAAAUACUCAAGCAGUAGACGCAUCAGAUCUUCAGAAACAUAUGAAAGUAAGGCUUGCCCAACAAAAUUUUGCCCGAUGAACCAAAUUUCGUCGAUUUUUUUAGUUGGUAGGCCAAAGAUGGUCAACAUUUAGAGUUUAUUCAAAACCUUUACGUGACGAAAAGUGAUCGUAGGGCAAGUCACAAUUCAUCGGGCAGAAUUUUGCAAGUCACACUUCUCCUCUUAGCAACUUCAGUUAUGGAGGUUUAGGGGGUAGUAUUGGUGGUAAAAAUAAGAUUUGUAAGUACGAGAAGGGUAAGGAUUGGAAGUCAAUUGUAGGGGUUCGCAGCAACUAUAACAUUUCUAACGGAAAUAUUAGAACUAGUAGUUGGAAGGGAUAAGGAUCGCCCUGUGGAGUACUUAAGUAAUUUCUUUGUGUCGAAGAAGGUGAUGACCAAAAGUUACUCAGAUUUCUUACAUGCAUGUGGAAAAACAUGGAGAGGAUGCCACCGUGAUGAUAAAAAAUAUCCCAACCAAAUACAUGAGGCAAUGCAAAAUCAGAUUUGUCUUGUAUCACAGCAUUGACUGAUAUCAUUUAAAAUUUUCUUCUUUUCUCAAUUCUUUUUGUAAUGGUUCCAAAGCUCUAAACCCUAUGCAUGAGCCUUUGUUCAUGAAAGAAUGCAUUGUACUUAAUAAAAGUAUAGAAUAAACUCUAAUUGUUUGGAAUCCCUAACAAAUGCAUGAGGCAGUGCAAAAUCGAAUUUGUCUUCUAUCACAGCAUUGUUUGAUAUCAUUUAAUCCAAGAGUGAUGAUGAGUAUAAGUGUAGUCCCAUUUUCAUCAUUUCAGGGAUCCUAUAUCUAGAUAUGUGAAAACAAAACCCUAAUCUCUGCUUCAAUCCCUACUGUUGGACUCAUAUGUGCUUCUACUUUAUAAACACUCAUUCUUUCUCCAUUUUUCAACUCACUCAACUCCACCAUUAUGAAAAAAUCUCAAUCCACAAUCCAACCGUCAAAUGUAAACACAUAUACUUUGAGAUCUCCUACACCAAAAAUCAUCUAAAAAAAUGUUCGGAGAUUUGGUAACAGAACAAAAUCGUUCGAUGGUUAGUAACAAAAAAUCACGAUUUAACGGUCGUUUUAGCUCCGAUUUUGUUGAUUUUUUACAAAUCCUCAACCCUAGAAGAAUAAGAUGUACGAACACGAUCAUCAAUCUAAAAUAUUUAAAAUAGUGGAUACACCAAAAACUUACAUUCUACUUAAUGGAAGUACAGAAUAAACACUAAGUGAUUUGGAAUCCAUUCUUUACAAAGGGACACGCAUUCUACGAAACUAGUUUUCAUGAUCCAAUCAUCGAACAUGUUUGCAUAUACUUCAAGUUCUUCUACACCAACAAUCAUCCAAAAAAAUGUUCGGAGAUUAGAUAACGAAACGAAAUCAUUAGACAGUUAGAAACGAAAAAAUCAAGAUUUAAUGAUCGUUUUAGCUCCAAUUUUGUACAAGGACCCAAAUUGAAAGUAAAAACACACACUAAAUUUACAUGAUUAUGAAAUUCGAUGAUUUUUUUUUAACCGUUUGAACAUAAUGUUCAAAACUCAAGAAAAUUCUUUUUCAAAGUUGCCCAACGAAAUACUUGAAUUUGUCGGGCCAAAUUCCUAAAUUUUGUUGGCUAAAGUUAUGUAUUCGUCGGGCAAGGUUUAAAAGAACACCCCAAGAAUUUCCCAAAAAUUUAAAUUUGCCCCGCAAAAUAGAGGUAACCCAACAAAAUAUUCCAUAAGUUUGUCGGGUAACCCACCAAUUUUUAACUAAAUUGCGUUUGCUCGACGAAAAUCUAGGGUUUUGAACACAUCAAAAUUUUAAAAGCUUUUGCCCCAUAAACCUUCUGUCGGGUAAAGGUUUAAAAUGUUUUAACAACCGUAACCUUCUUCUUUCUUCCUCCUCAUACCGUGCAACUCUCAAAUCCUCUCUACAAUCUCUGUCAGUGUCAGCCCUCCCUCUCAAUCUCUCUCUCAGUGACCCACCACGACGUGCCGUGAGCCACCAAUCUAAAUAUUGAAUUAUAGCGGUGGGUUCAAAAAAUCGAAACCGAAAAAAACCGAGAACCAAACCGAACCGAGACCGAAAAAAACCGAACCGAAAACUGUCAAACCGAAUAUGGCUGGUUCGGUUUUGGUUUUUGAAGUUUGGAAACCGAACCGAAUAUAUAUUUAAUUAUUUUUUAUAAUAUUUUAAUUAUAAAAAUUAAAAAAAUCUCUAAAGUCCUGGAGGCAUGUGGGUUUGAACCCGUGUGCUCCAGUUGAAAGGUUUCAAUGAAACCAACAUGGCAACUGGUUUUGUUUUGUUAUAGUUGUAUAACUAAACUAUUUAUAAAGAUAUAAAACUAUAGUCUUUUGUGCAAUUAGAAAUCAACAAAACCCUAGCCACUAGUAGUAGCAACCAGACCUUUUCUUUUUUCAUUCCCCUCUUCUCUCUCUCGUCCCUGCGCCUCCAGACUCCCUCCUUGUCCAUGCCUCCAAUUUCUCCAUUCUUCUUCAUUCUUCUCUCUCCGUUUCUCGAUCUUCUCACUCCAGGGUAAGAUCUCCAAUCUCUCUUAUUUAUUUUGUCGAUUUAUGGGUUUUUUUAGAGUAAAUUCUAUGGAGGGAAUCUGAAAUUUGGUGUAAAUUUAUGGGUUGUUGUUUUGUUUUGUAUUGUAGAUUUGUUUGAUUUUUGUGUUGUGAGAGUCUCACCCAUUUCUUUCCCUUUCUUUUUUUUUCUCCCCUGAUAUCAUUAUUUGCUUAUCCUCUUUCUUUGCCUCAGCGGCAACACCACCACCACAACCAGUUGCAGCAACUGCAACAGCACCACCUCCACCAGCUGUGGUGGUCUUGCCGCCCAACACAGCCAACAACUAUGCAGCGACCACCUUCAUCUAUGCUUGAGAGGGCUCCGGAUCUGCGGAGUGUGGAGAGAAAGGGUAAAUUUGUAGCCGAAUGCGGAAAAAAAUCUGCUUCAAGCUCCAGAUAUUAAAAAAAAUCAUGAAAAAACCAAAAAAAAAACCGAAACCGAAAUCAAACCGAAAAAAAUCAAAACCGAAAAAAACCGAAAAAAAAUCGGACCGAACUGAACCGAACCGAAAUUUUGGUUCGGUUUCUGUUUUAACAAAAAACCAAACCGUUUCAAACCGAAUCCAGCCCUAUUAAAUUAUAUUGAAAAUAAUUUUCUAAUUUUCACAUUGUAUAAUAAUUAAAAAAAAUUCUUUUAAUUUGUUUUAGCCAUCUGGCACAAAUUUGGACUCCAAGUCAGCAAAAUGUGGUCUAUGUUCUUGUCAUGUCAUCACUUAACAGUCAAUUUAACAGAUUAAUUAACGGUUGUAUGACAUUGCUACGAAAUCGAGAGUUGUUGUAUGAAGUUGAAAAAAAUAAAUGAAGUUGUACGAGAGGACAUGUAAUUUACCCAUUGAAUUUUUAUGUAAGAGGUUAUCAAAUUGAGACGAAAAGCCACAUGAUGUUACCUACAUAUACCUUUUAAAUCUUUCUUAAAUCUUUCAAUUUCUAGGAGUAAAAAUUGUAUUCCCCUCUUAUUGUUUUUUUCCUCUUUUUGAUGAUCGGUACGUACGCUGGAGAGGUUUGAAGUUAACUCGUUAAGUUUUUAUUGUUUUUGUCUCAAGAAUCGUGAUGAAAAUUUGUUCAUCCAAACUUUGGAGCACUUGAUUUAAACUCGGAUGUAAUGGUAAGCACAUCCUUUCUUGCUGCUGUGGCUAAGUCUGGAUAUUCACCUCUUGUUAGCUCGCUUGGCAGUCUAAUUUUGGAUAAAAUUUGAAAGCGAUUGAUUUCAAUCUAAUACAAUUCUAAAUGCCAACCUGGGAAUAUUUUUGCUCAGCUCAAGUGAUGGUGAUGAUCAUUACUCUAGUUAUCACCGUUGAAUUAUUUUAAAUUUUGAGAUCUGUGUAGUAGAUAGACGUAAAUUUCAAAAUAUUAACUCAUCCAACGGUAAUAAGUAUUGUGGAUGCAAAUUUUCUCCUCCUCGAUCUUGGACGAUUUUGCACCUACAAAACAACUAGCACCUUAGGUUAAGGCCAAAAGCCUCACGCGCCCACGAUGAAUGGGGGGGCUUUGGCCGAAGAACCUCCGAUGCCAAAGUUAGAAUUUUGGAGAGAAAUAGUGUUUAGAGUGUUUGUGAUUUUUUGCAAGAGGUUGUGGAUUAGUGUUUUGUGAAAAUGGUACCCAAUUUAUAGGAGAGGAAAGGAUGAUUUAUUUUGGGGGGUUAUGGAGAUAGUGGGCUAGUUAUUUUUAGGGAGUUAUGGAAAUAAUUGGCUAGUUAAUUAGCAAAUAGUAAUAACCUAAUUUACUAGCUAUUUGAAUGUCACAAAAAGGGGGAGAAAAUGGCAGCCACCAACAGGAAAUAAAGGGCAUGACCGGCCUAGUGGGUUUUUGGUUAGUUUGUGGUUUAAUUAGCCACUUUAAUUGGCUAAUUAAAUAUGAAAAGAAAUGUUAUAGUAAUUAUGGUAUUGAUUGGCUAAUAAAAGGGAAGAAAUGGUGGGAAAAGGUAACAAAAAAGGUAAUGGUUUAGGUUUUGAAUGGGAUAGCCGGCCCUCUAGUAUUUUUAGGUUUGAGUGGAUGUUUCAAAUUGAUAAUUAAGGGAUUGAUUAGGUAAUUAAUCCCUUAAUUAGUCAAUUAUUAUGAUUUGAGGAAAUAUGAAAGGAAUAAGUAUAUUAUUUAGCUAAUUGAUUAGCUAAAUAAUGAAAUGGGAAAUAUAUGAAUAAAUUAAGUUUUAAGUUGAUACCUAUUUUGGGCACUUUUGACUUGGUUGAAAAAUGAUUGCCCACUGCUCGCGCGUAGGAAUCCCGGUAUGCCUCAAGGGUAUUUUUGUCCUCUUAUGUUCAAAAGUCCACGUGUCGCCUAGUGAAUAUUAUUUGCUCCACAAGUAUGGUGGUGAACAUUACUAUCACUUGAGGGUGAUGAGCAGAAAUGCAUCUAAACCAAACCAGGUUUAUAAGCUCUUCUAAUACAGUGAAAGUUAAAUCAAUAGACCAAAUGGUCGGCGGUCUUUCAUUCACUUAUUUAAUUAGAACAUUAAUGUCACUUAAUUUCACAUAAAACUAAAGCUCACCACUUUGUUUUUUCUUUUUUCGGAGAACUAAAGCUCACCACUUUGGAAUUAGAU
rnacentral:lncRNA from 1 species